rnacentral:lncRNA from 1 species
CCUUAAUCAACCCAAACAAAAUCAUGGGAACAACCUGCGUCCUUUUUCUGUUUUGUUUUGGACAAUCCUAUCUCUUAUUUUGCUAUGACUAGUAAGAUCCCAAGAAACUUCCCGUGUUUGUGCAUAUACUCAUUGACAUCACUCCCAAACUUCCGACCUAUUCAAUCCACAAGAGAAAACACCUCAAAUGAGUUCACGUACCUCCAUCGGAUGAAAGCAAAAUACAAGAAUAGAGGAUUAAGCCUGAUAUAGUGGCUUUUAAAACCUUUGUUCAAGCUGUCGGGCUAGGACGAAGAGGACUGGAUGUCGCCGUCAGCCUCAUAGAGCUCUUGCAUGAGGACUCGACAUCAUCACGCUCGAACAAAGAGGAAAUUUGGGGACUCGACGAAGAAGGACACUCAGACGAAGAAUAGGAGGAUCGAUGAACAAGAAGCAGACUCCACAAACAAGAAGUACACCAUGGAGGCAUGGACAAGAAAGACCAAUGAAGAGGUGAGGAGAACUUGAGAAGAAAACCCACAAAUUAGGAGAAGUGAAGAAAACUGGAGAAGAAAACUCAGUUAGGGCUUGGAAAUUUGGAGCAAACCUUAAAUGGAGACAUUUUUGCACACAAACCUUUUCUUUUAAGCUCUACACCGAGUACGAGAGUGAAAUGAAAAAGAAAAUGCACCGAAUGCAAUAAAUCAAGUAUUUAAACUUCAGUACAGUCCCCACCAAAUGCAACCAAACCAAGUGUUCAAACUUCAGGCAUAUAGCUAAUCUACCAAUGGGAAUUUAUCUCAUAUAAAGCCAGGCAUUCCUCCCUCUUUCCCCAUACACUCUCUUCCUCCUGCAAAAAUGGGAGACAUUAACAAACCCUGGGCAUCGAAUAUCACCAUUUUUGUCGCCUCACCAGAGGCAGGACACCUAAUUACCACAUGUUGGCCCUACUAAAAUUCGAUUUGACAAAGAACUGACCAAAUCAAUUUUAAGACUCACAAACAAACGCAUUUUAUCCAGGUUCUUGUUUCAUUGCCUAAAGGGCUCCAAGCAACAAAUUUGGCAACAUGAAAGUAGAAAAAUGAAUACCAUCUUCCCUAAGUCACCAUCUAAUGUUGAUGAUUGUAACGCUGAAAACAUGCUUUUUCUACCUAUACCACGAAUGGUGCUGUACCAGCAACAGCUUUAGCAACUCAGACCAGAUUGUCCUUGAAAAUCGGCACUCCAAGAAUAGAUAGCACUUUGGAUUGUCAAAUUAUGUAGGCUAGUUCAAGCUCUAAAGAAAAUAUCCCUAAUACAAUAUUAAAGAAAUCAUACAUUCUUUGGAUAUUCUGGAGAUUCUAAGUGAACAAAUAGCACUUUAAGUAAAGAUGACACCUUUAUUUUGACUCCACGGGCCAAAAGAUGGAUUCAUAAUAAUUUGAAAUUGAAUUUUCAGGAAAUUUCCAUGGGCGUUAUGCAUGAUAUUCAAGCCAAAUCCCCAAUCUUUUUAGCAUGUUUCCAAAGCAGAGAACCGCAAAAUUGAGCAUUAAAUAUAGUUGCUCCCGCCUUAAUCAACCGAAACAAAAUCAUGCGAACAAUCUGUGUCCUUUUUCUGUUUUGUUUUGGACGAUCCUAUCUCUUAUUUUGCUAAGAUUAGUAAGAUCGCAACAACAUCCUGCGUUUGGGCAUAUACCCAUUGACAUCAUUCCCAAACUUCAGACCUAUCAAUCCACAAGAGAAAUCAACUCAAAUGAGUUCCCAUACCUCCUUCGGAAUGAAAGCAGAGUACAAGAAAGGAGAUUAAGCUCGAUGUAGUGACUUAUAACACCCUCAUUCACGCCACCCGGCUUUGGACGAAGAGGACCCGACAUCGCCGUUGGACUCAUCGAGCUCUUGCGCAAGGACUCGACGUCGUCGCGCUCGAACGAAGAUGAAAUUUGGGGAUUCGGCGAAGAAGAAAAAGGACACUCAGAUGAAGAAGAGGAGGAUCGAUGAAUGAGAAGCGGACUCCAUGAACAAGAAGUACACUACGGACGAGAAAGACUGAUGAAGAAGUGACGAGAACUUGAGAAGAAUACUCAAUCAGGGCUUGGAAAUGCUAAGUAAAACCAAUUGUUUCUUAUAAAAUGAGAGAAAAUUUUAAAUAAUAGGCUAUAAGCUAUUCUAUAUAUAUAUAUCCUAUAAAAUGAAGUUUUUCCAAAUAUUUGUGAUAAAAUCUGAACCUCUUACUGCAACUAUGUAACUUUCUCAUAUACAGAAAAAAGGAAAAGCCAAAAAAACGCAGAGAGAGAAAACAUCACAUGCGUCUACUGGUUUUUAAAGUAAGUGAGACCGAGACUUAUUGUAUGAUUGUUUCUUUUUUUAUUUUCCACAAUUAUUAUAAAUCUCCUUAUAGUUGAAUUUAUGUUUGUGAAUGGUUUUGCUGACUCACCUUAUAUUGCUUGAAAUCUUGGACGGAGCCUUCGAAUAUUGUCUUAAGCCCAAGUAAUUUCGGGCAACAACUAAUAAGUAAGUGGCAAUCAUUUGGCAAUUUGGUGGUCGAUACAUCAAUCGGACUUUCCAACAAUGGGUUGCUAAUAAGGGUUAACAGCUCCAAAAACUCCAUCUUGUCAAGGCCCUCGACAAUUCCAAGCACAGGGCAGAAGUCUAUGUGCAAGCACUUGAGAUUCUUUAAUUUUGACAAACCACCAAGACUUUGCAAAUGAUAACCAUAAGGUGUCGUUGUUUGCAACAAUUCUAACGUAUCAACAACUUGAAUACCGAGUAUAUUAUUGCAACACUGUAUGCAGAGUCUCUCCAACUUAUUGAAGACUCUCGAUGCAAAGACUAGUGAAGANNNNNNNNNNNNNNNNNNNNNNNNNNNNNNNNNNNNNNNNNNNNNNNNNNNNNNNNNNNNNNNNNNNNNNNNNNNNNNNNNNNNNNNNNNNNNNNNNNNNNNNNNNNNNNNNNNNNNNNNNNNNNNNNNNNNNNNNNNNNNNNNNNNNNNNNNNNNNNNNNNNNNNNNNNNNNNNNNNNNNNNNNNNNNNNNNNNNNNNNNNNNNNNNNNNNNNNNNNNNNNNNNNNNNNNNNNNNNNNNNNNNNNNNNNNNNNNNNNNNNNNNNNNNNNNNNNNNNNNNNNNNNNNNNNNNNNNNNNNNNNNNNNNNNNNNNNNNNNNNNNNNNNNNNNNNNNNNNNNNNNNNNNNNNNNNNNNNNNNNNNNNNNNNNNNNNNNNNNNNNNNNNNNNNNNNNNNNNNNNNNNNNNNNNNNNNNNNNNNNNNNNNNNNNNNNNNNNNNNNNNNNNNNNNNNNNNNNNNNNNNNNNNNNNNNNNNNNNNNNNNNNNNNNNNNNNNNNNNNNNNNNNNNNNNNNNNNNNNNNNNNNNNNNNNNNNNNNNNNNNNNNNNNNNNNNNNNNNNNNNNNNNNNNNNNNNNNNNNNNNNNNNNNNNNNNNNNNNNNNNNNNNNNNNNNNNNNNNNNNNNNNNNNNNNNNNNNNNNNNNNNNNNNNNNNNNNNNNNNNNNNNNNNNNNNNNNNNNNNNNNNNNNNNNNNNNNNNNNNNNNNNNNNNNNNNNNNNNNNNNNNNNNNNNNNNNNNNNNNNNNNNNNNNNNNNNNNNNNNNNNNNNNNNNNNNNNNNNNNNNNNNNNNNNNNNNNNNNNNNNNNNNNNNNNNNNNNNNNNNNNNNNNNNNNNNNNNNNNNNNNNNNNNNNNNNNNNNNNNNNNNNNNNNNNNNNNNNNNNNNNNNNNNNNNNNNNNNNNNNNNNNNNNNNNNNNNNNNNNNNNNNNNNNNNNNNNNNNNNNNNNNNNNNNNNNNNNNNNNNNNNNNNNNNNNNNNNNNNNNNNNNNNNNNNNNNNNNNNNNNNNNNNNNNNNNNNNNNNNNNNNNNNNNNNNNNNNNNNNNNNNNNNNNNNNNNNNNNNNNNNNNNNNNNNNNNNNNNNNNNNNNNNNNNNNNNNNNNNNNNNNNNNNNNNNNNNNNNNNNNNNNNNNNNNNNNNNNNNNNNNNNNNNNNNNNNNNNNNNNNNNNNNNNNNNNNNNNNNNNNNNNNNNNNNNNNNNNNNNNNNNNNNNNNNNNNNNNNNNNNNNNNNNNNNNNNNNNNNNNNNNNNNNNNNNNNNNNNNNNNNNNNNNNNNNNNNNNNNNNNNNNNNNNNNNNNNNNNNNNNNNNNNNNNNNNNNNNNNNNNNNNNNNNNNNNNNNNNNNNNNNNNNNNNNNNNNNNNNNNNNNNNNNNNNNNNNNNNNNNNNNNNNNNNNNNNNNNNNNNNNNNNNNNNNNNNNNNNNNNNNNNNNNNNNNNNNNNNNNNNNNNNNNNNNNNNNNNNNNNNNNNNNNNNNNNNNNNNNNNNNNNNNNNNNNNNNNNNNNNNNNNNNNNNNNNNNNNNNAAGUUGAGUAAGGGAAGCUAACUCAGUGGGAGCAGGAACAUGGAGGAGACACAAGCUUAAUUUUUUUAGUUUGGAUAACCCCUGAUCGACUCUAAAUCACCCAAUAUAAGUUCCAUCACGUUCGUCAAUUUUUUUGGAGCCGUCAUCUAGUUUCAACCUAACCAAAUUAGUCAAGUUUGAGAGGUCCGGCAACUCUCGGAUUUCAUCAAACCCUUUUAACAAGCCAAUUUCAGAAGGAAGUUGACUUUUCAAAUUUCCUUCAACCUGAAGCGGUUUCAGAUUCUCAAACUUUCCGAUGGCACUCGGUGACUCCACUGGAUGUGCAAUUGAAAGCUGCAACUUCCGCAAUGAUUUCCACUUAAAUAUGAAAUCCGGUAAUUCCUUCAUUGCACAACAAGAUCGUAAAGAGAAGUGCUCUAGAUUCUGUAGGUCCCUGAUUUUUUCAGGCAAACCUUCAAGGCGAAUGCAAAGAUCAAACUUUAAAUCUUUCAGAUCCUUUAACUUCCCAAUAGAGCCAUCAAUCUUCGUUAAGCCGUCGCAAGCGAAAAAUGUCAGCCUCUCUAAUUUUGAGCAUUCAGAUAAGUCUGGUGUUCUAGUUAUGCCAUGACAUUUAGCAAGACUAAGAACUUUCAAUUUUGUUGUCCCCUGUAAAAAGUGAAUGCAUUAUCCAAUGGAAGAGCAAUUCAAACGUUCAUUUUAAGGACAAAGAAAGGAAAUAAGCAUAUGACGCACCUUUAUUAACUGCAAUAAUUUCUGAUCGUCUAUACCGUGAACGAAUGAAAAGUCAAGGACAACCACAUUCUUGAAGCACAUAUUGGUCAGCUCACACUCUGAAAACAGAGAAUCUCUCAAAUGAAUCCAUUUUAGUUUGGGAAAACAAUCCAUUAGAUCGCCAACAAAGUUUCCUCCAUUUAAUCUAAGGAACCUUAGUUCUUUAAACCUUCCAAUCUCUUCACUUUUGAUACAUAUGCUUUUUUGAGUUACUUCCAUCGCUUGAACUUUCUUCAUCUCCAAAUAGCCAAGCAAGGAUCCUCCAUUUAAUCUAAGCAAUUCUUUAAAACUUCCAAUUUCUUCACUUUCGUGAGUUACUUCCAUCGCUUGAACUUUCUUCAUCUGCAAACGAGAACAAGAAAGGAGUAGCAUUCAGCAUUCCAUUUUAUUGAGGAAAAGUAUUAAAACCAAGAAGCAAAAAGAGAAUCUAUUAGUUCUCUCAUUAAGUGUUCCACCUCCUUUGUCUUCAUUGUAGUGAGGACUUCAUCUUGAAUCCAUAACCUACUACGCCCUUCAGGAAUUGUUCGAUUUUCUUGACGAACAAUUUCCCUUCCAAGACCUCCAAGUUGAUCGUGCAUCCAAAACUCAUUGUCGUUUACAAUCUUUAUCAAGGACUUGCUUUUGAGGACCUCAAUUCCACGGAUUGGGGAAAAACCACAAUCUGUCCACAUAUAAAUUGGGUUUGUCAUUAUCUCACCAAUGAAAAAGCAUGCAAUAUCCAGAAAAAUUUGUUGCUGCUCAAAAGUCAAUGCUUUAUAGCUAAUCCUCAACUUUUCGAAAACACUCUCUGGAGGUGCUUUGCGUAAAUCGUCCAAUGUUUCUUUCCAUAGGUCUUGUGUUCCAUGGUUCAGAAGUGAACCAAUUACUACAAUAGUCAAAGGAAGGCUUCCAGUAGCAAAUACAAUUUCCUUUGAAAUAUCAUCGCGAUCAUCUGGAGGAGAGUCCUUGUUAAACGCAUGUCUGCUGAAGAGCUGAAGUGCAUGAUCACUACUCAUCAUCUUCAUUUCAUAAGGUAAUAUACUGUACUUCAGUUGAGAGCCUUGCAAAAUAUCCUUGUUUCUAGUAGUAAUCAAUACUCUAGACCCUGAACACAAAGCACCUGUUCCAACUAAUUUCUCCACUUGUUCCCUUUCAUCAACAUCAUCCAAUACAAUGAAGACCUUCAUAUUGCAAAGUGUUUCUUCGAUCCUCUUCUUUCCAUAUUCAAUUGCAUCGAUGCAUUCUAUUCCUGCGGCACUUGCUAUUUCAGAUAAUAACUUCUUUUGCAAUUCAACUAAGCCAUCCAAUCUUGACGACUUUUCUCGAAUAUCUUCAAGAAAGGAGCAACGCUUUCCAAAGUGGGUAGAAAGUUCAUUAAACACGACAUUGGCAAGAGUUGUUUUACCGAUACCCCCCAUGCCAUGAAUUUGAACGAGCCGUCCACCUCUAGAGCCUACGUCUAACAAAUUUUUUACUGCUACCACUUGAUCAUCGAUUCUAAUUAAAUGUUCAGUCACAGACUUUUGCUUUGUCUUCAACUUCUUCACAACCUCGUCAACAACCAACUUAAUGAGUUCCCCCUGGCUGCCAUGAAGGAAAACCAUUUCAAUAGGGGAAAAUUGCAGGGAAGAAAAAAAAAAUCUAAAUUUCAUUCGUGAUACGAUUCCAUCAGACUUCGACGGAAUCUCCUUUUUAUUUUGUUCGUUUCCUAGCAGUUGAUGUUAUUCAAUUACGUUUGCUUAACUGCGCAAUAAUUCAAUAACCAAUAUGACAUCAACAAUCAAGACGUUUCUUCUCAAAUUUUGUACUGAAUGUAAGGUUUUCUUAGUUAUCACUUUUGAUAACUUAACAUUUGUAAUUUGAUGUGUUGCGCAAACCUUGUGUACUUGAUCUUGUAAAAUUCCAAAAUAACACCAAGCAUGCAUAAAACAAAUAUUUUGACUAGAAUGAUGUAAUUGACCUUAAAGGAUUUCAGAUUUGAUUUUUCUAGCUAAUUCUAUGAACCAUAAAAAAUAUGAAUCUACAUCACUUUCAAAGGCACUUUUCAUUCACAUUGCUAGGUGCCACGAGUUGCAUUGUGUCAUAAUGAAAAUUGACAAUCCCAACAUGUGAUUAGCAAUCCUCAAAUUAUGUUAAUCUUCUUUGUGCAAGAUGAAUGUACAAAUAUUUAUGCAUUGCGAAUUAGAAUUUUAUCAGUUAUAUUCAUGGGACAACCUUAGAAGUGGUACAUAAUAUGUUCAGGAGGAGAAAUGUUUGAUGCAUUAAUUGAAAGAUCAAAUUAUUAGACAGGAACGUGCAUGGUAUUCAUUUAUUCCACUUUGUCACCCAUAGUUCACAUUUUAUUUUACACGCAUACCAUUUAGUAUUACCUGUGGAAGUCCCACCUCAAAUGUUGUGAUAUAUCUCUAUUACUAAGUUUUGAGCAGUAGUUCUAGAAGCAUUAGAAUUUUACUAAGAGUUGCUUACUAAAUGACAGAAGUGAAAAAGGAAACAAAAUUCAUACAGACCAUCAAAGAAAGGAAAAAAUGAGCGUUUGUUUCUAUUUUUAUUUCUUCAUUAAAAAUAGACAUAUAUGAUAGUGCUUCUAGUGAAAUCAAGAACACUAAUAUUUUUAGUAGCUCUAGCAUGAUUCUUAUGUUUUUGGAUUCUCUUCUCCUACAUUUAGUAUGUUCCUUCUUUCUAUGAAUUAUAUACUUAGUUUUUGCAAUCAGGAAAAAGAAAUUAGGGAAAAUAGGGAUCUUAGAAUGCAGAAAGCUCACCCUUUGUAUUUCUUGACUUCCCACCCCUUUAUUGCAUCAACCUCUUUCAAAGCCUCUCUCCAGGAAUCUACUUGUUCAGUGCUCAAGUUCUUCUCACGCUCCAAGUUGAGUAUGGCAUCGCGAUACAAUGGAGUUUUCAGCUUAACAUCGUUGGGUUCCACGUCAAAGAAAAUAGGCAGGAUCUCUUUAUGCCCGCUGGACUUGGAAGCGUUCUCCAUAAUCUGUGCGAGCUCGCACAGACACCAUUGGCUUGAAGCGUAAGUUCGAGAGAAGAUGGGGAUGUAGAUCCCAGAGUUGUCGAUUGCUCUCGGGAGCGCUCCAUCAAUUCUUUCACCAAUAGGGAGCUCUUCAUCAUCUCGAAAGACACAGAUGCCGGCAUUGGUCAAGCUAUGGUAGAGGAAGUCGGUAAAUCCAUCACGAGUGUCGGGUCCUCUAAAGUUCAGGAACACUUGAUACUCGCUUCCUGACGAUGUUCCUGCCUCUGAGCUCCCCAUUUUAAACUUUAGCUUUAGCAGCUCUCUUCCACCCUCCCUCGUGGGUGAACAAGAUAGGCCUUCGCCCUUGGCUGAUCGAAGGUCUCAACCACAAACAUAUCGCGUAAAUAUAUCAUGAAUGAGAUUACCAAUGAUCAGAGAAAAGCAUAAAAAAUACCAUCGCAGACUAUUAUAUAAUUUUUUUUUUUUGGUAAAGCAGAUUUUUAUAUAAAUUCAGCUACAGAAUAACAAAAAAGAAGCACGUAUGUAAAUUCCCGCAUUAUAUUCAAACUCCCAAUGAUCCAUAUCAUUUGUAAGUCAAAGUUUUGGAAAGGUUGAGAUUAUCCUGCAAUCUUUUCAUAAAUCCACUUGUCUAUUCUUGUUAAGAAGUUGAUCAGGGAGACUUCGGUCCAAUUAUACAGGAAGGAACGCAAAAAAAUACAAAUGGGUAUAUCAGUCCCGACGAUCAGAUCCGUCCUCGAUCGUGGACAACCGCGCUCAUUCAGAGCAAGGUUUUCAUGAAACCGAACUCUUCAAGGCAAAUCCAGAACAAGUCAGAAGAGAAUCGUACCGUGUUCGUGGUCACUGCUGCUGGGAAAGGGCUUCGUGAAGAUGAAUAUCGAUGGCUCCUGGUCCUGGCUAGCCGAUUCGUCGGAGGGGUUCGUUGCCGGAGUCGCUCGGGACGACCGGGGGACGUCGAUCGCUGGGUUUGAGAAGAAGAUCGUGGCCUCCUCUCCCCUGCAAACGGAAAAACUAGCCCUCAAAGAAGUGUUUGUCGGUGGCUGUGCGAGGAAAGGAAGCUCGAAGACUUUUAAGUCUUCCAAGCGAUCUGAGAGUGCCUUCCAGCUGUAUGUACGGUGCAUGGGCCCCCCGGUGUUUCAUUUUAGACAAUUGAAUUUUCUCAAAUUGUUUCUUGUCGUGAACAAAAAGUGUUUGCGGCAAAAUAAUAGUUGCUAAGGAAAAAAAAUGCCUAGGACACGGAAUUGAUCUUAAAGAACUAUUCCUACAGCACCUAACCAAAUCCACCUACGUUAGGAGAAAUAAUAUCAAAUGAGUAAUAAAUUUUAUUGUACAUAUAUUAAUUCAGUAAUAUUUUUUUUUACUAAUAUAACUUUAAACCUUAGUACAAAAAAUUCUAAACAAAGCCUACUGCGAUAUAUUUAUCUUAAAUUUUUUAUGACAUCAAAAAUUCCAAAUUUAUAUUUAUUUCACACAUUAUAUUUAUCCCAAAUUUCUUCUUGUGACACUAAAAAUUUCAAACUUGUAUAUAUGUAAUAGACUUAUCCUAAAAAUAUGGUGUCGCGUAAAAAUUUAGAGUUUUUAAUGCCAGAAAAAAAAGAUUUGAUAUAAAUGUAUCACCCUAUGACACAUAAUUUAGAAAUUAUCUGUAAAAUUUCUAUGCAUAGAGUAGCUUGCUUGAUGUGUCAACCGUUAUCAGGCACAAUACUUCAAUGCGAACCUAAGAAGGACAAUAAUGCACUCGAAAAGGGUAAAAAGAAACACCAAAGAAACACUCCAUGUGCAUACUUUAUGGAAGUGAAGCAAAAGCAAUAGUCGACAAAAAGUUGAAGGGAGGCAUGAAGUUUCUAAAAAAUGCCAAACAACUUUAUAGAAACUGGGUCGAAAGGUGCCCUUGCUUUUCCUAAAAUAAAUACAUAAAAAUAAAAACCAACCUGCCUUUUGAGGCAAGCACAUAAAAUUCUCUAUGGAGGCUUGUUCCAUUUUUCAAUUCUAACCAUUAGAAAGGGCAUCCGGAAAACACAAACAUAAUUCAAGGAGGUGGCUUAUAUUUUGCAUAUAUCUCUGUGCGUGCAUAUGAUUUAGGCAAUGGGAUUAUAUCACGAAUCAUGAAAUUGAUUGGAUACUCUUAAUUACUCAAUACUCAAUAUCAAUAGGAAACAACAUACAACCUAUUUUCUAUAUAUCUCAAAGUGUAUUAAGAAUUUUGAUUCAAGCUUAGCUCCCUACAUUUUCUAGCACAAGUUGAUCUCUUUGAAAGGGAUUAAAAUGAUGACUAUAUAUGUGCAAACACUUUAGAAUCUUCAAAAGAGCGGAAGAAAGAAUAUAGUCAAGAGCGGAAGAAAGAAUAUAGUCAAGGGCUAUAUCUUAAGAAGGAACAAGCUUAGCUCGUGAUUAUUCCCUUUAGUCGAUCUACAUCUCUGAUUGGAGAUAAAAUCUCUCAUUUUCCAUAAGCGUAUUGAAUCGACAUAGAAGGAGAAAAAUAAAUGAAGUGCAGGCUGUGUUGAUGUCAUGACGAUUGUAAGUGGGGGCAGUUCCGCUGUUUUCAAACUCUCAAGCAACCCUCAUCAACGGUUCCACACCCUACGAAUUUCUUUUUUUCUUCAAUUUUUGUCUCCUUUUAUUUAGGUUUUCUCUGAUUUUUUAAAUAAUUUCUUUGGUCUUUCUUCGCCUCAUUAGCACCAAUGUAGAAAGAAAUUACAAAGCGCCACAUCCAAUUUUGGAAUCUAUGUUAGCAAAUUUGGUUAUGAGUCUGUCAUAAAGAUUAAAUUGUACCCAACAAAAAACGUUUAGGACUUGAUUGCACACAUUCAAAAUUUGGGACUUGACUGCAUAUUCGGCCAAACAUUAUGGACUUUUUGGUGUGAUUUUCAUUUAUAAGAACCUAAAAUGAGAAUCAGCAUAGUGGAUAGUAAAUAUUUUUAUAAGAUAAUAACAAAUGAGGGUUACUCAAAUAAAAAUUUAUAGUUUGAUUCCCAUCCUACAUUAAUCUCUCCCACCGAGAAGAGCUCUACUAUUGACUGGUUUUCCCAUGCAUCUCUUGUCUUGAUUUGGCAUGUCCUUCCACAGCUGUCGAAUAAACUUGUAGAUUAGCAGCAAAAAUAGCAUAUUGGUUGUGAGGACAAACUUUCACGCCAACAAGCGCAAGGAGAGGGAAAUCGCGUGGAGUGGGGUCGCUGUUCCAGCCAUGCGUGUGUAAUGAACACGUGAAAGUUCAACUCUAUCUCCUUGUGAAAUCCCCCAUGUAAACGCAAAAAAAAUUGAAAACGCGUGGCACGACUCUAUUAUAUGUUGGCAAAAGCAAAAGGGGAAAGACUCGUGCAUGAUUUUUAUCUCUUUAGUGUUUUUCCACAACUUUUUGUUUGUCAUUUUGACAAUUCAACUCAAUUGUAAGUCAAUGAAGGAUACAUAAAAGAAAAGGAGAGGAAAGAGACACGAAGAGGACAAGAGACUUUUGCAAUGAGGUCGAAACUUUAUGGGGCUUCUGAGUUGAUGGGAUGUUAAGUUGAAAAUGAGAGAAAUUGAGUCGGAAGGUACCUGUGCCUGUCCUAAAGGAUAAAAAUUAAAUUAUCUUUUGAGUCAAGCACAUAAAUUUCUCUGGUGGGUUGUCCCAUUUUUCAACUUCAAUUAUGCAAAAGGCAUCUUGAAAACACAAACAUAAUCGUUGAGAAGUGCCACAGAAGUGAUCUAAGGUAUUUGGACUAUAUCACGACUCAUUGAAUUGGUUGCAUGUACAAAGCAUCAAAUAUUCAAUAAGAAAAAAAAAAACAAAACCUCUUUUUGUAUAUCUCUGUGCGUGCGUAUAAUUUGUUUCAUGUUUAGCUCUCUCCAUUUUUUAGUAUAAGCUAAGCCAACGAAUCAUAAAAUAUUAAUGAAAUAUAUAACUUACAAUUUAAUAUAGCUGAGCCUCACAAUAAAGGAAAUUAAAAUGCCUAGGUUCGACAAACUGAUCAUCCGUUUAAAAAUAGGACUCGCGCGUAAACCAAUUUGGUGGAAAAUUUCUAUGCGAUAUAAUCAGUUAUUUCAGCUCUAAUACCAAAUAAUUCGAGACAAUAAGGAGAAGAAGUGAAUCAGAAGCGGAAAGGGGAUGCCAAGAUCAAAAUUGACAACAAAGAAGAGAAAGAAAUUGAUUUGUGAAAUUGAUUGAUGCUCUCAAAAAAAUCAGAUACUCAAUAUCAAACAACAUAAAACUUUUUUUUAAAUAUAUCUCCAUGUCUGCAUAUAAUUUGGUUCAACUUUAGCUCUAUCCAUUUUUUGGCAUAAGUUGAUUUAUUUGAAAGGGGAUAAAAUGCCGACUAUAUACGUAUAAAUAGUUUAAAAUGAGAGAGAGAGAGAGAGAGAGAGAGAGAGAGAGUAGACAAAAACUACAUCUUUAGGAGGAAUAAGCCUUAGGCCCCGUUUGGUUCGGCAUUUAGAAGGGGCUUUUGGCCUCUAAAGGGGUUUGGGCAAAAGCGGAUGGUGUUUGGUUCAACAUUUUGGGGACUUUGGAGAGAUGCAAUUGCAUCUCCAAGGGGCUUGAAGGGGCUUUAGGGGAAUAGAGGGGGAGAGGUCCAUUGGGAAGUUGCAUUUUCGGAAUGCAACUUCUACUGUUCAUCUUCACCGGAGAGAAGCCGAUUGGAGGCCGACGACCGCCGGCCAAGGGGUCGCGCGCGCCGGCAAUGCGCCGGCGACCGCCAGCCAAGGGGUCCCCCGACCCCGGCGACCGUCGCCGGACCUCAGGCGACGCCUGGGUCGCACGAACCAGGCGGCUGUCGCCUGAAUCGCCCGACCCAGGCGGCCGCCUGAGGUCGCGCGACCCAGGUGGCCAAAUCCGGCCAUUCGGCGGUCCGGCCGCCAAAUCCGACGGUCCGGUGGCCGAACUUCAAAAAAAAAUAAGACAAAUGCUUUUUUGUUUUUUUAAUUUAAUAAAAGUCAUUUACAAAUGUAAAUUUUACCAAACGGUAUUUUGACCAAAGUUGCAUCUCCAUGCAAAUUUUACCAAACGAUAUUUGCAUUUCGGAAAACCCCAUUCACCCAAAGGUAUUUGCAUUUUGGCAAAUGCAUUCCCCAAAAGCCGAACCAAACGGGCCCUUACUCGUGAUUACUCCCUUCAAUCGGUCUACAUCCCUAAUUCGAGGUAAAAUAUUUUAUUUUUCAUAAGCUCUUUGAAUCGACAUAACAUUCUAAAAAAUCAAGCUAUAUGAUUUAAUAUUUUACAGGCUUGUGGCAACUAAAAUGAAUAGGAUGAUGAGGACAAAGAAAAAGAUGUGUAGGCUCUGCUCAUGGACAUUAUAGUGGGGGCAGUUCUGUCGUCUCCAAACCCUCUAACAGCCCUCACCAAUGGUUCCACUCUCUAUGACUUUCAGUUUUAUCUAGUCUUUGUAUUUUUUUCUCCAAUUUUUAAAUUUUUUUAAUUUUCCUAACGUGGGGCCACAUCAGCACGACAUCAGAGCCAUGUAUGUUAAAAGAAACUACAAAAUGCCAAGUCGGAUUUUGGCAUUUAUGUUAGCAAAUUUGACCAUGAGUUUGCCAGCAAGAUUAUAUUGCACUCAAUGAAAACCGUUUAGGAUUUAUUUGCAUAAAUUCAAAAUUUAGGAUUUGAUUGCAUAUUCGAUCAAAUGUUCUGAACUUUUGGUGUUUCACUUACAAAAGCCGAAAACGAGAAUCUAGAAAGAUAAGAAAAUUUCACUUAUAAGUACCAAUUAUUAAGAUAAAAAUUCUAGUUUAAUUCGCAUCUUAUAUUGGUCUCGCCAACUGAGAAAAACUCUGCUAUUGACAAGUUUCCCAAUGCAUCUCUUUUCUUGAUUUGGCUUAUCCUCCCCCAACUUUAGAAUAAUAAACUUGUAGAUUAGCAGCUAAAAUAGCACAUUGGCUGUGAGGACAAAUUUUCACACCGACAAGCGGCUGGCACAAAAUCUAUAUGGUACAAUAUGUGUUCUUGGUUGUAAUGUUCCAUCAGUUAAGCGAGAUUGACAAUUUUCUCAUUGAUUUGACUCACUAACCCUUGCAAAACUUCCGAACCAAAAAAGAAAGAAGAAAAAAACUCUUGCAAAACAUGAACAUGGCGCACCCAUUUCUUUAACUUUUUGUCAUCAUAAGACUCACUAAAACCAUAUUACAGUUGAAAAAACCUUCAACACAAUUUAGUCAGUGCUUUUGGCUCUAAAAUUAAAUAAUGCAGGAUGAAUAUAGUUCUAAUACCAAUUGAUGAAGAACGUAACUAGAAGGAGAAGAAGAAGGAGAAGACGUCAAGAUUGGUAAUGGAUAGAAGAGAAUAGAAAUAUAGGAGAGAACACAAAAAUCAAUAUUAAUUUAAUAUUCAAUCAGUCUCUUGUUUUAAUUGUGAUCACAAAGCUAGCUUUGGAGGAUAUUGGAUAUCAUACAUGUUUCUCGUCCAUGAUUGUCCAUGUUUAAACCUAUUAUGUUGAUAGAUAAGUCUCCCAUAAGCUCAAAUUAGUACAAGACGAUUUAAAAUUGUGCAAGGUUAGCAAGCCGCCGUCAAGACGGACAAUAACACUAGCAUCAGCCGAAUGGGACUGCCUAGUAGUCCAAAUCAAAGUUUUAUCCCCCUCAAAACAAGAUCAAAUUGAAUCGAUCUGAGAGAUGGCACAGUUUUUACACACAUGAUUAAAAUGUAAGAGAUAAAAUGCAAGGGAUAAAAUAAUGCCAAUUUCUUUGGCUGUAAAAGUAAUAAUAGGCCACUUUAGUCAAGCCAUGUCCAAGUAAUAAACACACGAAGCUUUCGCUCAACUCCUCGUGAAAGCCCCACGUAAAUGCAAAGAAAGUGAAAUGGGUGGCUCGAUUCCAUUAUAUGUUGGAAGAAGAAAAAGGGGAGGCACGUUUCUAACAUUAUCUUUCGUGUUUUUCCACAGCCUUUCUUUUUGACAAUUCAACUCAAUUGCGAGCAAGGGAUGAAGUAUACAUAUAAAAUAAGAAAGGAAAGAGACACGAAGAGGGCAGGAGACUCUUGCAAUGGCGUCGAAACUUUUUGAGGCUUCUUAGUUGCAAGGAUGUUAAGCAGUAAAUGAGAGGAAAUUGUGGGGGCAAGUAAACACAAUGAUUUUGUGUUCUCUUUUGUAACCAACCAUGACCUAAGUCCACUCUAUUUGGUUUUCUAUAUUUGCAAGACAAACUUUAAAGUAUUUAAUUGCUGGAAGCUAGAUUUCACUUGAUCUAGUAACAUCUAUUCAUAUAUCCUGACAGAAGAUUCAAAAUAUGACAAGAUAAGAGUUAUAUUUUCCUUCGUGAAUGGAGGAAAUUUUCUCCAGCUAUGCCUCUUAUUAUUAGGUUAUAAGUCAUGGAUAUCCCUCAUAUGGAAACUAAACUAAAUAGGAAUGCAGGUGAUGUCUAUAUUUUUCACUCACCAAUCAGAGGUAUGAUUUCCUCCAACUAUGGACACAUGAAAAACAUGGCUUUAAUAAUAGUGUACAGCAAUUUAUUGCCGUAAUUAUGUAUCUAUCUCCACAUUAUGAAAUGGCAUCAGUCAUACCUACAAUAAUAGAUAGUAUGUGGCCCAUCUCUAUUUUCCGUAAGAGUCAUUAUAUGUGAAUGUUUCACAUCUCUAGCAAUGUUUUUCAAUUUUCUAGUUGAUUCCACUUGUCCUAGAGCCUCAAAAAGGACUUGAGUCAAUUCUUCAGUAUCACUCUUUAAAAAUUAUUCAACAUGAUUGUAUUCUUGCGACUAUUUUAAUGAUGACAAAUAAUUAGAAGGCUAACAAUAUGUACAUUUGGAGUGGCAUGUUGAUGAAACAUCAAAUGUUUUGACAAACCUCAAUAUUGGAGAAGGUAAACAAAUUACAUGACAUUGUAUCGCGGCCAAAGAGUUUUGAAUGUAGAUUUGUAAGGACCUUGGUACAAGUAGUGAAUACACAACGGCACCAAAUAUUGUCAAGUUAUCUGAGCGAAACUAUAGGCAGAAAGUGGACAAUCUACAAGAGAUGAUGGACUUCUAUAACUAGAUUUUGAGUGUCUACAUGCUUGAUGAAAAAACUCAUCUUAAAAAUUUGAUUUGAAUUCAAAUUGGUAAUUUGUAGUAGGAUCAAGGCAACGGAAUAUAAGGAAAAUAGGUAGGUUAGAGAAGAUGGAUUAGAUCUUAAUUUCAAGAAGUGUCCCGGGAAAAAAUGUAAAUUGCAUUGAGAGUGAUAUUAUAUUGAAAGGAAAUACACGGAAUUGGAAAUUGACAUCACUGAAAGGACAUUGCACAGAGAUAAAAGUGCAUGAAAACGAAAAUAGAAGGAAAUUGAAAGCACAAACUCGGUGUGAGUCUUCAUGUUGUUUGUGAGUGUCCAAGAUUAGUCGAGUCCACCUUAUUUUUCUCUAGCUCCCGCACUUCACAUGUUCGGUAACUUCUUAUGUCUUCAUGUUUGAUAAAUUCAUUCAACCUAGUUUGGUCAAAUUCAUACAUGACAUGGUUAAAAUGGACACUCGUUAAUGGUCGCCCAUAGCACCGGAUUGCAACUUAGUCUAAGUGCAAAUAAAGAUAAGAUGAAUUAUGUAUAAACCCAAGUGAUGAACUAGGUUUAGAUAAAAGUAACUAGACCAAAGAUAUGGAACUCUUAUCCAUCAACCAGAAUUUUUGCUUGGUGAGUUACAUGUUAGGCCGUCAUUGACAUGCAAACUUAACAAAAAUUAAAUGUUGGUGAUAUUUAUGUUGGUAACCUAUUAAUCAAAAGACUAACUAGAGAAAAUGUCCUUUUUUGAAGGGAACAUAAAUCAAGUGAAAAAUCUUGAUAAUGAUUAUCACGUUUUGUUAUAGUAAUUAUAUCAUAGACAAACGACUGUAUAUACACUUCUUGGUGAGAAAAUCCUCAAAAUCUCCCGUUAUUCUACAAUCACGCUUGGGUUCGAGUAUGAGCCCGGAAGCUCUUUGCUUAUUGAUGACCAAAAUGUAAACUGGGCCAAUAAUCCUUACCCGGAAGCUCUGGACUUUGUUAGGUUUGAGCCGUUAUUUGGAUUGCACCAAACAUACGUGAUUUCUUCCUUUUUCAGCCCAUGGAGAUCACGUUGAUAUUCAAUUUAGCGUGUUCAAAAUUUGAGACACCAUCCGUAGGUGGAGCGUAUGUCAGACGAAUAGAAGGGACGAUAUAGUUAGAGGCAUCCUACCAAGCAUGGCCUCAUGUCGGGACCUUACUCAGCAGGGUUACACAUGUAUUAAAAUAAAAAUGAGUUUAUUGUUUUCAUACUAAGUGUGGAUAAUAUGCACAUCUUAUUGAUUUCGAGAUUUUUUUUUUUUUUUGGUACUGUGAAAAGAUGUAAAACAUUCGAGGUCGAUUAAUCUAUAAUCGUAAAUCAUGAAGGAGCAAACACCAAGUGGGGUUGGCGAGGGUCAUCAGCUCCUUUGAGCGUUCUGUAUUUACUGCAAUUUGAAGGACCUAAUUGCAAAUAGUGAAUAGAUCAUGGGGCAAGGGCCAGAAAGUGAACAAUCUACCAGACAUAAUGGAUGGCUCUAUUGCAGAAGAGCAUCUAUAGACUUGGUGAGAAGACUCGGCUUCAAAAUAAAAUGAAGUUAAAGCUUUAUAAUCCAUGGAAAGUAGGAUCAAGGCUUUAAAUCCAUUGAAAGCAGGCCAGAGAGAAAUCGAUUGGCUUUUGCCUUUUUCAGGGUAAGUAUGGAAGGCAACGGUGAAUGCCAAAAGCAAAGAAACUAUUUUACUUGGAAUACAGCCAUCGGAAAAAUUUGAAUUUACAAGGUCACUUGGAAUUCAUGACCAAAAAAAAAAAAAAAAUUCUCAACAUGGUUCAAGUAGGACCCAACAAUAAUCCCCAAAAAAAAUUAUUUUUAUCCGGUCCCAUUACUUUGGAAUAAACAUCGCCCUCAUCGAUUCGUCAGUCAUCGGAAUUUGUGACUUGUUUUACUUUUGGGAAAAUUAUCCAAUUAGUUGUAAACUUAUCAUAUAAAUUAUAAUUUAGUCGUAAACUUUUUAAUUUUGUCAAUUAAUGUUAAACUUUUGUUCAAAAUUCCCAUAGUUGUUUCGAUCAAUUUUUGCUGAAAAUUGCCCUAUGUCGGCAAUUUCAAAUGAGGUGUGCACUUCCUUUAUUCAUCAGGGACAAACUUAACCUUAUCACUCAUUGACCUUCAUACACCUCGCUAUCAAAAGAGUUGGCAAUGAUUAAAAGAAAGUUUCUUAUAACAUUAAAAUCCUUCUUAUCCUAAACAUUGUCAAUUCCAACCUUUCAUCCACCUUUUGACUAAUUAGAAGGAGCUUGGAAUUUUAUAUGCUCUUUUUACAUUAAAUUGCCUUCAAAUAAGUAUAUAAGUUCGGAGUUUUUGGUAGUAAACAAAAAUUAAUUUAUAAUAAAUUUGUUAUAAAUAUCAAUUUUGGGGUUUUACGUAAUAUAACUCUUUACCAUUUAGGGUUUUUGUGAUAUGGUGACAAGUGUCACUAUCUCACGGGUGAAAGUAUAAAAGUACGUAUUAUCCUUGUGUGACUAAUGGCAAGCUCACAAUGGUAGGGAUUUGGGUCAAUGAGAAGGUGCCAUGUCGGGUGAGAAUUUCAAGCUAUAGAAAGAAAGGUGUGAUAUGAGGUCGAAUUAGGCCCAGCUCUAUCUGAGCUCUAUCCGACUGGGCCUAAUAAGUCGGCUCCAUCUCGGUUAAAUUGGGUUAACCAAAGUCUUUAUAGUCUUUCAUAAUUAACAAAAUCUUUCAUAAUUAACAAAUUUUUUUGGCUACGUUUGGUCGUCCGGAUUUCUAAUCGGGAUAGGAUUGGAUAGGAUAGGAUAUGAAAUCCUAGGAUUUUUUUAUGUCCUGUCCAAUGUUUGGUGAAUCACAGUAUUAAAGUCGGAUAUGUUCACAUCAUAUACAUUUUUAUUUUUAUUUUUAUAUAAACGACAUAUCAUUAUAAAUGAACAUAAAUGUUCAUAAAUGAAGAUGGUGAAAAUAUCUCGUAACACUAUUCCUUAAUUUAUUUAUUAUUUAUUAUUUAUUAUAUUUUUCCUCUUUUUUAUAUUAUUUUCAUUAUUAUUUCAUUUUUCCCUUUCAUCUUCUUUAAUAAAAAUUUAUCAAAUAGUAAACUAUACUAACAUAUUUAAAAUAAAAAAAUACCUAAAAUAUAUAAUAAAUAUAAAUAUUUAAUUUAUAGAUUGAAUUUUUAUUAUAAAAUAGAAUUAAAAUAAGAUUAAUUAAAAAUAAUUUUUUAUUUUUAUUUUCUUAAAUUAGAAUUCAAAUAUUAUUUAUAUUGAAAUAUAAUUUCAAUUUUGUUAAUUUAAUAAAUUUGUUAUUAAAAAAAAAUAACUUUCCUAUUAUGGACGUUAGAAAUCCUAUCCACCUUUAUCCCACCCCCCAUGGGAUAAUUUUAUCCUGUUUGUAUCCCCCUUAUAUCCGACUUUAUCCUAUCCUGAGUGAGCACCAAACGUAAGAUAGGAUAAAUUAUAUUAUAUCCCGAAUUUUAUCCUGACUGCCAAACGCAGCCUAAUAGUCUUUCAUAAUUAACAAAAUCUUUCAUAAUUAACAAAUUUUUUUGAGAUACCAGUUAGGAAAAUUCAUAUGUCAACACUACUUACAUAUAUUUAGGGAAGUUUCUUGAAAAAAAUCAAAUGUCGUAUAUAUAUCGAGAGAUUAUUUGAUGGGUGUAUUAUAUAUACUAAAUUGUAAUCGAAUCAUCUGUGGUCAUGAGAUCCACGAGGGUUGACGUGAGACGUACCAAAUCUUGCCGUUUCGAUGCAGUUUGAUAUUUGUGACACUCACCCAAUGCCCGCCCCUCCUAGAUAAGAAGGCAAUACAAAAAAAUCUCAGGCUAAAUGACCGACGAAAUUAAGGCGACAAAGAAAAAUGGAUCACAAUUCCUUCUCACUUUUAUGUCCUUUACUCACUUGAUGCCUAGCUUUGCGUUGAAAGAACAUAAUGAUAAGACACCACUUAUCUUAUAAGACACGCCCCACCCCGCCCCCCCACCCCCAAGCUUCAGCUAUGUGUUCAAGGAUUGCUCUAAGGCUGAGUUUAGUUCAAUGGAAAUGAUAAUGGUGUGGAUACAUCUCUUAUGUUUGAUUUUCCCAUUUGAAGGACAUGAAAGGGGUGUAAACGGUUCGGUUCGGUUCGGUUAUUUUGAAAAACCGAACUGAACCGAACCGUUAGAGAAAAUUUCCAAACCGAACCGAAUAAGUCCCGAAACGAUAACGUUCGGUUCGGUUCGGUUCGAUUUUUCGGUUUUCAACUUUUGGUUUUUUUGAGUUCAACUUAGAUGGAAACCGAUAAAAACCAAGAGACACGAAAGGACUAGAGAUGGGAGUCGGGAGAGAACCGAAUUAGAUUUGAUUUUAUCGGUUUUCGGUUCGGUUAACUGAUAAAAACCGAACCGAUAAAUUUUUUUUGGUUUUUGAUGAAAACCAAACCGAAAACCGAACCGAACCGAAAAAAUCAAAUUUUUCGGUUCAGUUCGGUUCGGUUUGCGGUUCAAUUUUCGGUUCGGGUCUUGAUGCCCCUAAUGAAUAUGUUCUUUUAUAACAGUUUGUGCUUAAUUAAUUAAAUGAAUUUAAGAAGAAACUGCAGAUUUUCCUUUUCUUAAAACCGAACAAGACGUCCCUUCGACUGAGCAUUCCCAAAAAAUAUUCCCUUUUUUAGUGACAUUUCCAAAAUUGCCCUAGCAUUGAACUCCAUUUGAACACGAGUCAUCCGUUACCAUCCCAAUCACGCAAAAAGCAUAUUUUUUUUAAUGCAUUUUUGAAGGAAAACAAUGUACCUUUUUUUCAACCUUGUUAAUAUUAACAUACUAUUCAAUUGAAAAAAAAAAUUUGAAAUACUAUAUUUGAAUCUUCGAAACUCGAAAAGGUCAACAAACUUGAGCACAAGAUUUAGGAGAAGCGAAAGGUAAAAAUUAAAGAGUAAAAGUCAUUCCAUACAUAUAGGAACAUGUACGGUGAUUAAACAACAACAUACAAACCCCUACUAUACGUCAACAAAACCAAUUAUAAUGAGGACUGAGACUUUUGAAAAUCUUAUCUGUAGAAGUCUCCAAAAAGACAAUAUCCCUAGAUCCUAGCCCUGAUCAAUCUGAGAAAAAAGAGGUUAAUGAAGGAAUAAGCAAUCACUACCUCAGCAAAUGAACUCUCAAGACUUAGAAUAGGACAUCAAGUGCAUUCUUAAAUGAAACCUUGCGAUUUAACAUAAUAAGCCGUGAACACAAAUAUAAAUGUGACGUGAAAUUGUCUCACUCCAGAUCAAUCACCCAACCAACAUAGAAGCUCAACCAAUCACAUAUCAUAUUAUGAGACUAAAGUCCGUAAGUGUAUUUCAACCCAAUAACUAAGACAUCCCUGACAACAAGGCAUUGCUUUGAGAGAGUUUUUUUUUUAUUUUUUUAUUGAUUUAAAGUAAAAACUUCAUUCAAUUCUCAAGAUGAUGCAUGAGAGGUUCAAAACAAAGCAGAUACAAAAUAGCAAAGUAGAAUAAUAAAGUAAGCACACUUUCAUCCCACAGGAAUAUAUUUGUCUCAGCAUAAAAAAAAAAAUGAAUAGUGGCCAAUCACCAAUCUCACAUCAUCAUAAGUAAUAAGCACAUACUAUAAUCUUCUUCUUCAAUAGCUACAGCUUUCCGGAUAGUUGAUACAUGCUUAGGUUCAAUGUUCUCAAUGCCAUCACCAUAUAGAGACACCAAAAACAGGUUAAACAGGCUCCCAAAUCUAGAUCUAGAUCGGGAGAUGUUGAAGGAGCACAGCAAAGCCUUUAAGGAACUCCCAAAUAUAAAUAUAGAUCAAAAGAGAAGAGCUUUCAAAUCUAGAUCUAAAUUAUUUGAGAGAUGAGAACUUCCAAAACUCGACGGAGUCGUAUAACCACUUUCAAUGAGUAUGAACUCGGCAUAUUUCUCUUCAAUCCCAUUGUACUUCUUGGUUUGGACGAUCUAUUGCCUAACGAUGGAAGCUGAAGAUACGCCCAGCGAACAAAGAAUUGUAUCAACAGUGAGCAAAAGAAAAAACAAAAAAACUUAUUUACAAUAGGCUAUUUCUAAACUAAACUUAUUUGUUGAUGUGACUUCAAUCACUACUUGUUUAUGGUGUUGGUAAGAAAGUUGAAUAAAAGUUGGAAAUAAUAAGAGAAUUAUUUUUGUUAGCAAUUAGAGAAAUUGGUAACUUUUAUAAAAAAAAUAUAUAUGUGUGGGUAACUAACUCAAAUAAAGAGUUAAUAACACAAAGUUCGUCGGUAAUGCAAUCAUAGAAAGAAGGUUGGCAAGGCAAAUAAAGGAUGGUAAUUCAAUAGAAAAAAGAUGAAUGCUUUAGCAUGACAAAAACUUUUCCCGUUGGCCUACCAACGAUAGGGGCAUUUCUCUGCACAGAAAAAUUAUGUGCUAUAUAUCUAAAUUACCCGCAUAGAAAGCAUGAUCUACUGUCAGUUGAAGCAUCCGUUAAUAUAGAACAAUCAUGUGCUACAUGUCCAAUUUUCCUACAUAGAAAGUAUGCCCUCAUACAGACAAGUGUUCUAUUCCCACAGGUGUCAUAAGAGCCCUGAUUAUUUUGAUUUAUGGACUUUCUUGGCAAAAUUAUUAGUCCCGUUUGGUUCGGCAUUUGGAAGGAGCUUUUGGGCCCUAAAGGGAUUUGGCCAAAUACAAACGUGUUUGGUUCAAUUUUUAGGACAAUGUUGGCAAGAUGCAAUUGUAUCUCCAAAUGACUCUAAGAACCUUUUAGCUCAAAGCAGCUUUGGAGAUACUUUGGAAAGUUGCAUUCACGGAAUGCAAGUUCCACGAGUACUGUUCAUCUUCUUCAAAGAAACAAACGGAGGCCGACGAUCGCUAGCCAAUGAGUUGCCCAUGCCGAUGACCACUACUUGAGGCGUCGCCUAACCCCGGCAAUCACUACAUGAGGCGUUGCCUAACCCCAGGGAUUGCGGCCACCCAGUGACCGCCGUCUAAGGUUGUGUGAUCUUAGGUGAGGCGGCCUGAGGUCCGACACAUAGGGUUCGUGACCCAGGCGAUUGUCGCUUGGGUUCAUGCGACCUAGGCAACCGAACCCAUGCGAUAGUCGCUAGACCUCAAGCAACUCCUGGGGUUCGCGACCCAAGCGAUCAUCGCUUGAGUCACGCAUCCUAGACAGCCGCUUAGGUCACAACCCCAGGCGUCGCCUGAGGUCAUGUGACCUUAGGUGAGGUUGGCCGCUUGAGAUCACAUGACCUUAGGUGAGGCUAUUUGGCAACCAGAUCUGGCCGCUGGUGGCUAUAUUAAAAAAAAAUUAAAACUUUUUUUAAUGAAAAAUUUAGCAAGAGUCAUUUGCAAAAUGUAUUAAGCCAAAGUUGUUUCAUAAUGUACCUUAAAAUUGCAAUUUACCCAACGUUAUUUGUAUUCUAAAAAUCCCUUUAGCGCACAAGUAUUUGCAUUUUCCCAAUGACAUUUGCCUAAAGCUGAACCAAACGAGGCCAUCACCUCUUCGUUUAUUACCACUUUGAGCUUUGAGUAAGCUUUCCAUUGGCCUGUCGAAAUUGUUUUAUUUACGAAUAAACUUGGUUUAAUCAAAUCUUGCUUAGGUUUCUACUUGAUUUUAAUAUAUGUUUUUACUUAAUGAUAGGAUUUUCAUUUUUUCUACUCAACGCAAUUUUUCUUGUUUGGUUUUCCAAUGUCAGAUCUAGCAAGAGAGGCCUCGUUGGUGUUCACCUCACCUAGGUGCGACCUAACGAGGCCAACUCUCACCUGGGAGAGGCCAUCCCUCAUCAACCAUGGCCUGAGUCACCAGAAAUUGCAAAGAGAACAUGGAAAGAUAAAAAAAGAAGAAAAUUAUUAAAAAUUUAUUUAAAAAAAUCUACAUUAGCGUCAGUUGUGCUAUAUAAUACGAAUGAUGUCAAUGUCAGUAAUUUCCAACCUAAAUUUGUCAAAUGAACAUAAUUUGGACCAAUGUGAAAAAAUUAAGUAUUAAAUUAGCUCAAUUGAAAAGUUAAUGACUAAAUUGAUAGCAAUGACAUAGGUGAGGACUUUUUUUGGCACUUUUUUUCUUAAAUAGCAUAUUAUAAUACAACAACUAGAAUAACUAUCAACGGUUACAUACCAACAGCCAUGCCCAACAGCUGAGUUCGUGUUGUCUAGACUAGGCCUGAGCGGUCAUAGUCCGCUGUCCUCACCGAUAUACUCGGUGGAGAUUGAUAUCACCGGAAUUUUUCUUUACCAAGGUUGUCAAAUAUUUGGCUUGUUUAAAUGGACGAAUACCAUUAAAGACAACUUUUUAAAAAAAAAUUUCACCGAUGCCUAUGCCUAAUGAGUGACUUGUUGGCUUUGGUUCGUCUCUGUUAAUCGGUGGUGUCAUUUGCUGUGGUUUUUCCUAUGUUCUUUUGGUCUCUUGGGUUCGGCUUUUUUUUAUAGCUAGGAAUUGGAGUGAUUCAGGUUUUUUGACUCAUGAAUGAACUCGACAUCCUCAAAAUGUAUUUGCUGAUUGUCAAUUGUGAUGUGAACGGGUAUGUUCUGACUUGCUUUCCAUUGAUUUCUGCAUUUUUUUUUCGCCUUGGUUUCUUUUCUUUUCCUUGCUUUGCAAGUUUUAACCUCUGUUAGUUUCCUAAUAAAGCCCAAUUUCCCACUUGAAUUAUGAGGUUUUACCCUGCUUUUUCUUCAUUCCAAUUCGUGCAGUCCACAUUAUUUGAGUUUCAAUUAUCGUUCAUGUUAUGUCUUGGUCACAUUUUAAUGUCCUAAGAAUUUGUUUUGAGUGAGGAUUUGAACCUUGUUGACAUCCAAAUGUCUACAUUUUAAAUAUCCAUUUAUAUAUAUAUAUAUAUAAAGAUGAGUAAAAUAGGUGAUAUAAAAUGAAUAAAAAGUAUUAAAAAAAGAAAAAAAGAGUCGAGUGGGCCGGCGAAGUUAAGCCCAUUCUUUUUUAUGCUUUCGCAGCCCAUUCCUUUAUUUCUUCUUCAGCCCAUCCAUUUUUUGUUUAUUCUUUGAGCCCAUCUGAAACAAUUAAGAAAAGAGGCCCAGCCCCACAUGCUCUCUCUCUCUCUUUUCCCUUCGCACGACCGACAUGCGGGUGACAGAAGGAGACGAACUCAGCAAAGGAAGCGGCCAUGAGCGGGACCUCCACCUGAUCACCAUCUCCGUCUCGACUUCCAGAGCUUCUUUCCUUCUUCUCGGACGUUCUCUCGUCGCCUACUCAGCUGCGACGGCGCCCUCGAAGUUCCGAUUUCUCCUUGUCGUGUAGAGUCUCCCUUCUUUCUAUCGGCGCGUGGCGACGUCGCUGAUCGUAGUUGUCCGGCGGCGAGAGCGAGCUUGAGAGUUCGAGGAGUGCGAGAUGUUGUCGAUCCUGUGACGAAAAGCCGCCGCCAGAGUCACGGGUGCUAUGCUGUUAAGGAAGAUACCGGAGAGAAGAGGGAGGACUCGCGUUUUUGAGGAGAGGACGUUCGGCCGUAGAGGGAGGUCGGGAGGAGAGAAGGUUUUUGGCUGGAGGAGAAACGCCGGCCGAAGGUCUCUUCAGAGUCGUCUGAAGCUUCACCGGAGGCCAGCUCGCCGUCCACCGUCCGCCAUAACCGAUUCUCGAUCCAGGCGAGUGCCUUCCUCCUUUGUAUGUGACGUGUUCCUACCAUAUUGGAACUCGAACCGUGCACGAUGAAGUCGCGGGGAAUUUCGUGUAGAAUGACACUGAUUUGUUGCUUGAUGAUCUCAUCCGAAUGCCUGUAUGCCGCAUUUAGACCGAAAAUCAGACGAUAAUCGGAUCAGAAGCUUGUUCUUGAUACUGCCCAUUACCUGUUUGAUGAAAUGUCUAAGAGAAAACCGAAGAGCAAUUUAUGUUUAAACUCAAGAUUGAUCCAUGUUUGAAUCUACACUUAUUGAACAAUGUCUGAUAUUCGUAUUUUCUUUGCAUUUUUCAUGCGAGUUGGUGAAAAAAUUCCUGUCCGAGUUGGUCGUUCAUGGAUCUUCCCCUCGCCGGAGCUUCACCUCCCUUCGCCGGCGAGCCCUACGGUUCAAGGCCGUCCGAGUCAGUUUUUCUCUUCAUUCUAAAUGUAUUCAUGCUUGGUUGAUUGUUGGAUUGCUGGUUUUAGAAAUUCCGGAUCGAUAGGUUUUUAUUUCGUUAGAUUUUGUGUUUGCCCGGCGGGAGACGACGGACGCCGGCAGGAGUAGGCGGCAGGUGGUGGCCCGGUGGCGGCAAUCACGUGGCAAGGGCGGAUCACUGUGGCGUUGAGAGCUGGCAGUCCCAGUUCGGUAAGUUGCAGGGAAGAAGACGUUCGGUGAAGAAGACGUCCUGAGGUUGAAGAUGAUGCGAGGUGAAGGAGAUGGGCAGAAAAGACAAAACAGAGAAAAAGACCAAAAAAAAAAAAAGAAGAAUAAAAACCCCUUAAAAAAUUCAAAAAAACAUAAAAAUAUUAAAAAUAAUUCGCUUUGAUCCGACCAGGUCGGAUCCGAGUAGACGGGUCGGGUCAAUGUGCCGGAUCGGGUGAAUUCGGUCCGAACCCGUUCCCCAAAUAUAAUAAUAAUAAAAUGGACAUUAAAAAUUAAAAAAAUGGAAAAAAUUAAAAAUUGAGAAAAUGAUAAAAAUUAAGGAAAUAAAAAAUUUAGAAAAUUUGGAAAAACAUUAAAAAGUUUGUUAAAAUCAGAAAAUUCAUAAAAUUUAGAAAAUUGAAAAAUAAUAAAAAAUUAGAAUUCAGAAAAUCAUUAAAAAAUAGAAAAUCCAGAAAAUAACAAAAAUUAGAAAAAGCAUUAAAAAUUCAUAAAAUUAUUAAAAAAAGAAAAUUUUAGAAAAGUUGGAAAACCCUUUAAAAUGUUAAAACCUAAAAUUGGAUAAGCCUUUAGGGAUUUUUUUUUUUUUUUUUGUGUUUUAGAUUGUCUUUUCUUUUUAGAGACAAUUUAAGGAUGCUUGCAUACUUCCUAUUAUGAUUAUAAUUGACUGCGCUUUUCAAUAUUUGGAUUUUAAUUCCUUGUUUUAGUAUGGUUAGGACAAAUUUCGACUUUUUUUAGAUAGGUUGCUAUGGUGUUAAUUAGCACAUGACCGAAUUAGAUACCAAAAUGGCGUUAGUCUUAGGGCUAACAUAAUCAAGUCCUUGAGUCUUGAAUCUCUGAUUGCGUAAAUAUUAAUAUUCUCCCAUAUCUUACUGCUUUCUAGCCUACCCAAAAAGGUUAGUGGCGACUUAUUUAUUAAAAUUUUCAUAGGCUUAAUUGAUGAAAAUCUUGAACGCCUAUUGCGCAAGAUAUGGGCUUGGGAGAGUCCAAGUCAAUGGAUGGCCGUCGGCCCGAGGUCAACAAUACCCUUAAACCUAAUAGGCUCCCUUCCCAUGAGAGAGUUAGGUCGCGACAGCUCGGCAACUCUACUGGGGAUCAAACCUAGAAUCUCUAGUUGCUUAAAUACUAAUAUUAUCCCGUAUCUUAUUGGGUUUCUAGCUUACCCAAAAAGACUAGCGGCGACUUCUUUAUUAAAAUUUUCAUAGGCUUGACUAAAUUUUGAACAUCUGAUUUUGCGUGAGAUAUGAGUAGGGUGAGCAGUUUCAGCUUCCGUAUAGGUUCUACUUGGACCUACUCGUUGGAACAGGUUUCUCAUUUUUUGGAACCUACAACCUACCCUCAAUAUCCUAGAAUUUAGAACCUAUCUUAUCACAGGUUCCGAUGGUCUAGUCAAGUUUCAUUUAUAUUAUUAAUUGAACGAUUGCAGUGAAUUAAGACCUUUAAUGACUGUACUCCCUACUACAAUUCAUUGAUCAUAAAGACAUACUAAAAGUAUAAAUAUUGAUAAAGUAAAAGUCAGUCAUAAAAUGGAACUUUAGACUAAUAUUUCUAGAUUAUACACUAAUCAUCAAACGACAUGGAAUAUUACAAGAAUGAGUGAAGACAUGAACAAAAAAAAAAUUGUUACAAGUUUAAGGUUCUAAGUUUUUUCAACUAAGAACCUGAAACCUAUUAGCUGAAACAAGUUUCUCAUUUUUUGAAACCUAGAGUCUACUCUGCAAACCUUGGAAUCACCCCUAGAUAUGGGCUUGGGAGAGUCCUAGUUAAUGGAUGGCUGUUAGCUCGAAGUUGGCAAUACUCCUAAACUUGAUAAGGUCCCUCCUUGAAAGAGGGGUUAGUUUGUGACAAACUUUUAAGAGCUUUUUCUUUACAAUUUUGUGUUGGGUUUGUUGACACCCAAAAUUUUCGUCGACAUUUUAAUCAUCCAUUUUGCAAGAAUAUAAAAAAAAUAAAGAGUCAAUAAAUAAAAAAAUAAAAAAAAUAAUGAAAAUAUAAAAAAAAUAGAGAGAGAAAAAAAAAGAGAAGUAAAAGAAUCAAUAAAAGAAAAAAAAGAGAAAAAGAAAAGAAGAAAAAAAGAAGAAAAGAAAGAAAGAAAAGAAAAGAAAAAAAUGAAAGAAAAUGAAAGAAAAAAUAAGAAAUAAAGAAAACCAAAAAGGAGAGAAAAAAAGAAAAAUAAAAAAAUAUAAAAGGAAGGGACGCUCUCUCUCUCCAUGGACGCUCUGGCUCUCCACACUUCGCACAGAGUCUCUCUCUCCUCACACGGGCUCUCUCUCUCUCUCUCUCUCUCUCUCUCUGCGUUCGUAUUUUCUGUGGAGUCAUCAAUGGAGUUCGAGGCAGUUGCAGCAGAACCCUAGCCUUCCCACGACGUCAAUAGCGGCAUCUUUCUUGCGCUUCUCCUCGGAUCAUCUUCAUGCCAUCUUUUGAGCUCAUGGACUAGCGAUCUUCCUCUCGCGGACCUCGUCUUCUCUCGGCCGACUCAGCGCUCGAAGCUCAUUUCGAAGACGCGGCCGCUAGGACUCAGAUCUCGGAUCCCUAGCCUCGAACGAUCCCCGUAGACAUCCGUGAUUCCUCAGGGGAAAAUCUCGACUUCGCUCGCGGUCCAUCGAAGGGAGUUUCCGCAUCCGUCUCCAGUACUUCUCCGUUGAGCUCAAGUCGAAGGCGAGGGUUUUUCUCUCGUUAGCGAGGAUCAGAAAUUGAAGACCGGCGGUUGGGGAUUGCGAGGGGAGUUCCGUUUCGCUCUUUCUCUAGCGAUUCUCACUCAGCGGAUCCCUCUCUUUGUCGGAGAUCAGACGUGAGCUCUUUUUCCAUCCUCCUCGAUCUGUUAGGGUUUUCGAUUUCUGUUCUCUAUUUGCAUCCAUUUGGGUCGUGGAUUCUGAUCUCUCUCUAUCCCUCCUUCGGACGCUCACUCGCUUAAUCAAUCCGACGCCUUCGUCGCGGAUCACGCCCUUCCGGAGCUCGAGAUACAGGUAAUCAGGUUUUUCUCUUAUCUCUCUCUCGAUCGCUCUGUCUCACGCAUGGUUCGUUACUCUCUCCCUGGUUUGAUCGCUGUCUUUUUUCUUCUCGAUCACUCUUUCUCUAUCGAUUUUGUACUUGUAUCUGUUUUUUUAGUUCCGAGGUUGUGUGUUUUCAUUAGCCUCUUCUGCCAAGUCACCUUAGCUUGUGUGUCGUUCAUGCUAAUUGCUAUGUUUGUGAUGUUCUGUUGAUGCCAUUUACUCCAUAACCUGGAAAUGUUCUCCACCUGUUUGAUAAAAUUCCUGAAUUAGACCAGUGUGUGUUUUGAUUCAGAAUAUGAUUGAGAGCUUCCCUUUGCUUGAUCGAUACACUAGUUUUGUUGUAUAGACUUUACUUGUAUUUCGUUUCCUUUCAUUUCAGAACUUAGUAACUAGCCGUUUUAGGAUUUGUUAUUGAAAUUCUUGGGUUAGAUACAUAUCUAGUGCAAAGCAAGCUGAGCAAACAGGACAUGUACAAGAAGAAAAUUGAUUGGUUUUAAUAAAAUUGGUCCCCUGCUGUUGCUGUGUUUUUUUUUUUUUUUUUUUUUUUAGAAUUCCUUGUUCUUAAUAUGGAAUGUGUUCUUUGCUAGAAAGCUGUGAGUUCAUUGGUACACUUCAAUCUGGAUUGCUUUCUAUAUUUUGCCCCUUGAUGAGCUUGUAGUUGUCAGUAAACCAAUAUGGUUGUGCGGCCAUUGGAAGAGUUUUUUUUUUUAUGCUCCUUUCUAGAAACUGCUGUCUUCUAUCGGUUGGGAAUAGCUGUUUGAAACAUGAUAGGCAAGCUACAAUUUUUUAUUUGGUUGUGUGUAUACCCAAUCGUGAUUUGUUCAUUUCUUUUUGUGCCUCUUUCGAUUUGAUUUGUGUAAAUGAGGUGUAUAUGUAAUGCAUGAAUGUUAUAUAGUCUCAAUGUAAGACAUGAAGAAUCAGCAUAAUUUGUAUCACUGUGCUUGCUGCCAUCUAUGAUUGUCUAGCUUGCCACGAAUAUACAUGUUACAUUGUGGUCACCUUGUUGUGUUUGUACCAAUGUGUGAUGAGCUGUGUUGAGAAUUGCGUCAAUUCUUUGUGUGUUUGCUGUUUUGACGUACUGCAACUUUCUGUUUUGGUUGAAACGAGGUGUUAGAUAAGUUUUUUUGACUUCGAGCCCUUCUAGACAUAUAACAUACAUUUCUAGAGCUUCGUUUUGAUAUGUCGCACGCCCUGAAUAGACAUCAUCCGGUCAUCGAAAAAUACCGACAAAGUCUGUCAAUUCUGCAGUAGUUUUUUUAGGUUGAUUUGCUGUUUUGACCUACUGCAAUUUUCUGUUUUAACCGGAACGAGCUGGAAGAUGUUGUUAUUAGGACUUAAUGUCUUCUAGAGAUUUGUAAUAGGCUUCUCAAACUUUCCAUUGACAUAUUAUAUGUGCGAUUUGGUCAUCAUUUGCCCUGCCUUUCCUUUUUUCAAAUCGAGCUUUGAAAUCUGGAAUUUGUCUUGAACUGCAAUGCUGUCUUUUCUGUGGCUAGUUGCUGUUAAUCUUAAAAUAAGAUAGUAGAUUUGUCCAAAUUGCCUUCAAUAUGUUGUAAAAUGACGGUGUGACAUGCUACUAUGAUCUAUUUUUGAUUGAUUUGUUCAUGUUCUUAAUAUUUUUAGAAAUUCAUGCGUUAGGAAUCUUGAGGUGCUUCCUUCAUGGAAUGACAUCCUUUAUCAAUUGUCUACAAAACGGUUUUAGGUAUCAUGUGGGUUACACAUUGAUUGCUCCGCUUGCCUUAAAUACAUAUGUUGAGUGAAUUCAAUGGUGCGUGUUUUGGAAUAAGUGAUCUUUAGUUGGUUCAUUCAUUGUUUUGAGUUGAUUGAGGACCAAGGUUAUAUGGCUUGAAUGUUUGUCAUGUUAUAUGCUUUGUGUGUGAUCGUUAUAUGGAUGAUUUAGGUGUAAUACAUAAUGAUGCUAAAUCUUGGGAUUUCACUUAGAAUUUGAUCUAGAAGACUUUGUGACUUUAGUCACUCUUUGUGAACAUAAAAGAAUGUCUUGCUUUUGAUUGUUUCGAUACGUGAUGAUUGUUUUUUUCAUUUGUAUGCAUCUAAUCAUCCAGAUUUUCUAUAUUAGGUUUAGAAUAGGAUCCAAAAAGUGGAGAAGAAGUGAAGAUGGUGGAGGUCGAUGUCCACUCCGACCGUUAUUCUGUAAUAUUCGUUUUUCUCCCGACAUAUGUCUCGGGUUCCUUGUGUUGUAUAAAACUCGACGAGUUGCGGGUUUUCUCUUUUUCCCUUUUUUUUUUCUUAAUUGUGUUUUCUCUUUUAUAUUUUUAGAAUUGCAUGAUUAGGUUUAUUGCUUUCUCUUGAUUGUUUACUUCAUGUCUUGCACUUUCAAUUUCAUUGAUUGUUUUCUUUUCAUUUUUUUAGAAAUAAAAUAGCAUGAAAAUGAUCAACCACGCAUGAUCACUUAGCCUAGGAAUUGAUGAUCCCGAAAAUGUAAAAAGAAACGCAUGGAUAUAUUAGGAAAAACACAACAUACUGUUUAGGUACCGAAAGGGCGCUAAUAGCAAUAUUAGCGUAAUCCAAGUCCCCGAACCUAGAUAUCUGGUUACGUAGGAAUCGAUGGAGCACUCCCGACUCUCGAUUGGGUUUCUAGUCGACCCCCGAAAAUGAGGCUAGUGGCGACUCCUGUAUAUUUUUAGGUUGUUAUAAAUACCUAGAUUAUAUAAAUAAAUCCGCUGUCACGCGGGGUACGAGCUUGGGAGAGCUUGUGAUCUUGAGAUCAAGUACCCCUAAACCCGACCUUUCCCCAUCUUGGAUACUUUUCGAGGGGGCGGCGAGAUCGGGUCGCGACAGGCUUGUGCUUGGAGGAGUCUACGUUUGUUUAUUCAUGGCUUUGCCUUUCUUAUUGUGGCAAUUUUCUGUUAUGUUCGUGCAGGUAAUGAAGAUAAUAAAUAAUUAGAUUAAAAUUUUAAUGAAGUUGCCGAUCGCUUAGUAAGAAUUGUUAUUACUUUUUGUCUAGGUGAUUUAUAUCCAUGGGAAACACAAGACGUAUGAUCACAUUUGUGGGUUCACGCAUGGUGCAAAUAAGUUGUGAGUUAGAAGAGAAGCUCGAAAAAGUACACAAUGGUGACAAGUUAUGUUAUAAUUCAAAGGUUGAACUGAUCAGCCUCAAGAAGAGAAAUGUGAAUGCAUCAGGUAAGACUUACCUACAUAUAUAUUGUACAAUUUUUCAUCAUACUAUACUGAGAUGGUCCGAGUAUUGAUAUGGUUUGAUAAUAUUAGAUCCUUCUUUUGAUAUUUAGAAUUUCUUGUCUAGUAGCUGCCUCUAGAAAAAAGGAAGCACAACUUUAUGUGUCUAUAGGGCAUAUGGAAUCUUUCUCCUGAGAAAUGCAUCACUUCAAGUUAGGGAAGAAAAUGCAGCCUAUUGGAGGUUUAAGGAGUUUCUUGGAACCAUUGCUAGCGUGUUGGCACUAUUGUUCACAACUUUGAAGCAAACUACCAAGGAUAUGAGGAUGCCAUGAUUAGGAUCGUAGAGGUAGUUAGCUUGUACUUGUAUGAAAUUUUAUUCAUGUCAUAAAUAAAUUUAUCAUCAUUAUUAAUAUUUCUUUGUUGUUGUCUAAGUUUGAUUAUCUUCAUACCAACCAUGGAAAAAUGGAUUCUACAUUCCUUAAUACUGGAAAAGUGAUCUAAAAACUGCUCAAUAUGAUAGCUUUCGAUCAUUCUCAUAUCAUUUGAAGAAUCUGUCAGAAAGAGUGAGGAGAGAUCAAUGCAAAAAUCUAGUGACUUUUUGGAGUUCAUGGGACACAUUGUUUUAAUAUAUGACCUGUCAACUUAAAUAGACUCUCAUUACCUCUUACUGACUAUUUUCUGAUAACCUUGUUUUUUUAAUUGGAGAAGCUGAGUGAAACAAAUAAGGUAAUGGAGCAAAACAAAAAAAUAUGACACACCUUAGGAAACAAAAUUUUUGCUAGAAUAAAAAUAGAAAAGGUAAGUAUUCUCAUGUUUCCCCUUAGAUUUUUGUGUUUCCCUGUAAGUGAUAUUUCCAUUGUGUAAUCAAUAAUUUCUCUUUAGAAAAGAUUCUGCUGAGGUGAUAUCUUUGGACUUAAGGUAAAGAUGUCUAGAGAUAUUUGCCACUUUUCCGACACUACGUGUGUUUAGAUAGCAGUUGUCAUAGGAAGAAAAGAUAGGAUGUGUUCUAGAAAUGCCUCCUUAAGAUUGUCUACGUUCUUAGCACGUGCAUCGAUUUCUUGUUAUUAUUCCCUUAGCUCUAUGAUUUGGAUUUGCUAGUGACAGCACAAUAAUCCACAACUUGGUUCAGGUUUAUCUAGAACACAAUGUCCAAAAUCAUUAACAAAAGAGCUAUGCAGCAGCUAGAGCUAUAAAGUAAAUUAUAAAUGAUGAAACCUGUACAAUUUUCUAUUAAUUUGCUAACGUGACUGCAGUUUGGUUUAAUGAGAGAGAUCAAAAAAUAGAAAAGUACUGUAGCCCUAAAAUACCCAAUUGCUAGCUGUGCCAUUUCACAUGCAUGCACACAUCCCCUUAAUUGUUGAAAAGCCAUUCAAUAUAGUUCAUCUAGUGUCAACAAAUGUUAUUCAGUCUUGGCAAUGACAAUAUUGCUGCUGUAAUGUUAAUCCGGGAGUGUUUAGCUUAGAGAAAAAGGACCAUAGGCGAGCCGACGAAAAUCCCAUUUCGUUUUAUUGAGACGGAUCGAAAAUUCAGGAUGUCACAAUAGGGGUAUUCCUUUGCAUGGAACAAUUGUGUGCUAUAUAUCUAAGUUGCCCGUAUAUAAAAAGGAUGAUCUACUAUCAUUUGGAGCAUCCUCAAUAUAGAACAAUCUUGUACGACACGUCUCAUUUUCCCACAUAGAAAGUAUGCCCUUAUGUUCCAGUAAUACCAACAAGUGUUAUGUUUUCCACAAGUGUUGGCCCUGAUUAUUUUGAUUUCUAGACUUCCUUGGCCUAUUAUUGGGUAGAAGUACAGUAUAAAUGUAAAAUUUUGGUAUGUAGAGACAUUUAAGUAUCAAAAGUUACACAAGGUACACAUAAGUGUCACUUUUUUUUGAAAAAUUGGACAUUUAGGGGGUGUUUGUUUGUAUUUUUUUUUGUUUAUGAACAAAAAUCCUUUUUUUUGUUUGUUCCAGAGAAUAAAAAAAGAACAAAAAUGUGUUUGUUUGCGUUUUUGUUCCAAAUCUAUUUUUUUUUGUUCCCGGGAACAAAUUUGAAACAGAAACAAGAAACAAAAAAACUUGUUUCUUGUUUCUGAAACACUUUUAAGAAACAAAUUUUCUCUCUCUUCUAUUUUUCUUCUCUUUCUUUCUUCUUCUUUUCUUUUUCUUUUUUUUUUGGCCGGUCACCGGCCUCGGCCAUGGCCGACGACCUUGCUAGAGCGUCGCCGGCCCCUAGCGAGGCUCGGCCUUGCCAGAUCCAAGAGAGCCUGAGCUCGCCCAGCCAAGGCGAGGCCGAGCCUUGCGCUGGCUAACGACACUCCGCCUUGCCUUGGUUAGGUGAGCUCGAGCUCGCCCAGAUCUGGUGCCGCCUGGAGGUGGCCCAGCGAGGCUCAGCCUCACCAAAUUUGAGCGAGCUCGAGCUCGCCCAGCCAAGGCAAGGCCAAGCCUCGCGUCAACCGGCGACGCUCGGCCUCGCCUUGGCUGGGCAAGCUCAAGCUCACCUAGAUCCGGCGAGCCUCGCCAUGGCUAGGCGAGGCCGCCAGCCCUCAUCGGCCGGUCACCGGCCAUGGCCGAGGUCGGCGACCAACUACAAGGAAGAAAUAAAGAAAAAUUAAAAAAAAUUAAAAAAUUAAAAGAAACAAAAAAAGAACACAAAUUUACCAAACAUGUUUUUGUUCUUUUUAUUUAUUUAUUCCUGGAACAAGUUUACCAAUUACGUUCUUCUGGUAAAAAAUUAUUCCCUAGAAUAGAAAUAGUUUUUUCUAUUUAUGUUUCCUAGAACAAUUUUUGAACAUAAAUGUUAUCACACGCACCUAUAAGUGCCAAUUCCGAUUAAAGAUGCUAGAAAUCCCAUAUAACAUAUUUUUUUAAUAAUAUAACUUGCCUACAUGGCUCACUGGACAGCUAAGUUAGCAAAGUAGAGCCAAAACAAUGUCAUUUUGCCCCUUAUUUGAAUUUUAAUAUGAAUAUUAAUUAAAUUAAAUUUAAAACUAAAUUUAAUAAAUAAAUAUUACAAAAAAAAACAUGGGUUUGCAACUCAGCCCUCACUGCCGCCUCCCCAUCAUUGCUGGGAAGGGCCGGCAAUGGUGGGAGGAGCGUUGCUUAGGGUCGUCGAGCCUUGGUUAGGGGAUGUAACCAGUGGCGACCCUGGCCAACUAGCAUCGAGGGCCUACAAGCCCUCACCCAAAUCUGGGGCAAGGGUCCCAACCUUCCCUCAGAUGCAGCAAAGGUCGCUAGCCCUCGCCUAGUCAAGCCAAAGGCCACCACUGGUUGGGUCACCUAACUAAGGCCUAGUGACCCUAAUCGACCCUCCCUUCACCAUCGCUAGCCCUUCUCAGCAAUGGUGAGAGGCUGCACCCUCGUUGUUCUACAAACCCAUCUUCCCCUUUUUUUUUAUAUUUAUUUAUUAUUUAUCAAAUUUAGUUUUAAAUUUAAUUUAAUAAUAUUUAUAUUAAAAUUCAAAUCCCAAGCAAAAGAACAUCGUUUUUGGCUUUUCUUUCCACGUUAGAGUGCAAAACGACAUCGUUAUACACUGAUCUCAUUGGAAAAAUGUUACGUUAAUAUUUUGACUGUAUUUUCUUGUCACUGGUACUUAGCUAAUCCAUUUUACUCCUAUUUUGGCACUUAUGUGUACCUUUCGAAACUUUUGGCACUCAAAUGUUUCCUCGUGUCAAAUUUUCGCACUCCAAGUGUCUGCGUCCCCUUAUUAUUGCCUCUCUAGUUAUUCCUGCUUUGAGUAAAAUUCCCAUUGGCAUGUUAGAGUAGUUUUAUUUAUGAAUAAACUUAGUUUAAUCGAAUCUUGUUUUGGAUAGUUAUCUACUUGCUUUUGAUAUAAAUUUCUUACCCAAUAUAUAAGAUUUUGAUUUUUUCUGCUCAAAGUAGUUUUCAUUGUUUGGUUUCCCAAUGUCAAGUGAGUGAUGCUUAUCUCUUCUUAGAUUUGGAAACCCAUGUAUUGAAACAAUUAAAAAGGAAAAGUGGUGUUUCAAGCAUAUUUGUUGCAUAAAGCUAGAUCAAGUAAUUACUAUCCGUUUGUUCAUUAGAUAUUGCAUAGUAAACCAUUUCUUAAAAUAGUUUGUGAGUUAAUUAUUUGUUAUAAGGUUUGGGAAAUGCUAUGUAAAAAGUAUUGUGCUUGAUGGAUUAAAUUAUGAAAGGCUAUAUGAUUUGUGAAUCCAAUUCAUGAAAUGGAUUCAGAAUUGGUUUUGUAGAUGGUUGGAUAAUGAGUCAGUUGUUUAUCAUAAUCACUAUGAUCUAAACCUUUACAGGGUUGAACAUAUGCAUAUUGUUCUUAAGAAUUGGUUUUGUAGAUGGUUGGAUAAUGAGUUAGUUGUUUAUCAUAAUCACUAUGAUCUAAACCUUUACGGAGUUGAACAUAUGCAUAUUGUUCUUAAGACAUGCCAUUAGGGCCAAGCCACCAGUUGUCAUUGGUGAAGGCAUACGUGACCAAAUAAACAUUGUUAAGCUACAUAAAACAACUAUUUUGUGAGAUAAUUGGAGCAAGGUUGGCAAAUCAUACAAAAAAGGAGUGCCAAACACCCUAAGUGCCAAAACUUGGCGUGGGUAAAUACUUAAGUACCAGAAUUUCUAAAAGGUACACUUAAGUACCAAAAUCAGAGAAGAAAAUAACAUUUAAGUGCCAGCGGCGAGAAUUUCCAACUAAACUAUUGAUGUGGCUCUUUCCAACAAGAUUUUUUUUUUUUUUUUUAUUGAUGUGGCAAUUCUUUUAAAAAACUUAUCCACAUGAUGCUAACAUGGCUAGAUAUGCCCAAAACGAUACUGUUUUGACUGAAAAUUUGAUUUUUAAAUUAAAAAACUAAAUUACAAAAAAAGAAAAAAAGAGGGAGGUAGUAUUCGGCGAGGGCCUCCCUAGCCCUUGCCGUCGCUGCUGCCACCCCACCAUCGUUGAAAAGGGCAAGCGAUGGUGGGAUGAGGGUUAGCCGAGGUCGCCAGACCCCAGCAAGUGGCCAACGACCUUAGUUGACUGCCAGCGAGGGCUUGUAGGCCCUCAUCCAAAUCUAAGGCGAGAGGUCGUGGGUGACCCCAUCACAGCUAAUGGUGGCCCUUAGCCCCUUUGGGCGAGGGCUAGUGAUCUCGAUCGACCUUUGCCCCACCAUUGUCGACCCUUUCCAACGAUGGUGGGGCAACCAUGGCAAGGGCUAUGGAGGCCCUCGACUCUCGUUUUUUUAAUUUAGUUUUUAAUUUAAUAUAAUUAAUAAUUAUAUUAAAAAUCAAAUUUGGGGGCAAAAAGAUGUCGUUUUACACAUUGAUUGCUAAGUAGACAACCUUUAGUGAGCCACACAGACCCAUAUUUAUUAUUAAAAUAAUGCCACAUUGGAUUUCUAGCUAUCUUCACUAGAGUAGGCAUUUAAUUGUCCAAUUUUUAAAAAUAGUUGCACUUAAGUGUACAUUUUAGAUAUCUUGGUACUUGAGUGUCCACCUGUGCCAAAUUUUUGCACUCAUAGUGUACUUUUGCCUACAAAAAAGGUUAAAAUUUUCAAAUAAUAGUAGUAAACUCAAGGCAUUGCCAAUAAAGGUAAAUAAAAAUUAGUGAAAGAUAAACAAAGGUUUUUGUCAAAGAUAGAAGAAGAUGGCAAUUUAAAAACAAAAACAAAAUAAAUAUUGGCAAGUAUCUUAAAUAAGAGGUGGUAACUUGAUUAGAAAAGCUAGUCCUUGUAAGUAAAAAUAAUUGACUAUUGAUAAGCAACUCAAAUGAGAGUUAGUAACUCAAAACUAGUUGGUAAUUUGACCCCUGAAAACUUUGUGAGGUCACGCAAACAAAGAUUGAUCAUUUCAUAUGGUAGUUGGUAAAUUUAAACCUUAAGUAAGAAAGGUAAAUAAACGUUGGUAAGUAAUUAGAGAAGCUUUUUUUGGUUAAAGAUAAGAGAAAUUGGUAAUUUAAAAGAAAAUCCCAAAUAAAUAUUGGUAGCUAACUCAAGUAGGAGUCGGUAUGCAAAAUAAGUUGGAAACUUAAUUAGUUAAAAGUAGGGAAUCGCUAAAAGUUUCUAAAAACAACCGGUAGAUUUAUAAAGUUUGUCAAGAAGGCAAACAAAAGAAGUGACUUAAUAAAAAUUUUAUAAAUAAAAAAAUAAAUGAACUUUGACAUAAGCAACUCAAAUGAGAGUUGACAACGCUAGCCACUAGGUUACUUAAUUGGAGUGACAUGUUAGUAACUAAAAAUAUAUGGUAGUUGAUAAAACAUUGGUGGUAAACAAGAGAAGUUUUUUUUUUUUAGGUCAAUCACAAGGGAAAGUUUUAAUUGAAAAUAAAAAAACAUCAAUAGCUAACUCAACUAAGUAUAUGUAAUGCAAAUUUUGUUAAUGACUUGAUUGGAUAAUGUUGAGAAUCACUACAAUUCCAAUUCCCAAUUGCAAUUUCUAAAAAGGAGUUGGUAGAUUUAACAAGUGGAUAAAGGAGGCAAAUCAAAGUUGGUAACUCAUUGAAAAAGUGGAUAAAUUUUUUAGAAAAAUAAACAUUGGUAGGCAAUUCAAAUGAAACUUAGUAAAUCAAAGCUAUUCAAUAAUCUAAUGGGAGAACAACUGUUAACUCACACAAUUAAAGGUUGGUGAAGUCAUAUAAAAGUUGAUAAAUUUAAGUCAUCCAUAAGAGAGACAAAUAAAAGUUGGUAAUAAUAAGAAAAUUUGAUAAAUUAAAGUAAGAUCAAAUAAAUAUCGGUAAGUAAUUCAAAUAAAAGCUGGAAAACCAAAACUAGUUGGUAAUUUGAUUGGAAAAAAAGUUGAUAAGUCACUCAAAUAAAUAUUAAAAGAUUCAUAUAUUUGUUGGUAAAUAUUAAUGAUUCAAAAUAAAAGUUAGUGUAAACUGCUAAAAGAGUUGGUAAUUUCAUGAAACUCUUGCUAAAUUACCAAUAAAUUACGGAAUAAUAAGGGACCGGUAGCUUAUUUCUACUUGUAUUUUUAUAUUUAUUAACUCUAUCAGAAAUCUACAAGCAAUGAACAAAAAUCAUUUUUUUAGCAAAAGAAUAGAAUUGUCCUAUUUACUUUUCAUCAUAAUUAUUUAAAAUAUAUAUACAUAACCAAAUCACUUAGUGGCUUGAGAAAUGAGAGAUUAACCCACUAAGCCAUGAGUGUUCUCAUAACUUUUAUUCUUAUCAUACGGAUACCAAUUCAAUUAUAAAUUAUUAUUUUUGUCAAUUAAGCCAUGAAUCUUGUAAAUAUCGUACUUUCAGUCAAUUUGAAUUAGAAAUUACUGACAUAGACGUUAGUUGUCUUAUGUGACACGAUUGUUGCUGACAUAGACAAUUUUUAUAAUUUUGUUAGACUUUUUGAAUUUUUUAUUUUAUAUAUUCUUUUUCUUUCUUACUUUUCCUUCUUUUUUUUCUUCUAAGUUUGAUGAGGAUCGUCGACCCUCACUUGCCAUAGAUUUGGCAAGGGCUACAAAGCCCUCCCCAAUCAUGGUCAAGGGUCGUCGGCCCUCUCUUGUGGUCGACAAGGGUCGAGUGGCCCUCAUUGAACUUGGUAAAAAAAAAUGGAAAAGAAAGAAAAAUAAUAAAAAUAAUAAUAAAUUAUAAAAAUUGUCCACAUCAUAGUGUCAACAUCAACAAUUUUCAAUUAAAAUUGGCCAAAAUGACUACAUUAGUAAAUCAUCAAAUUUUUUAGGAUUCAAUUUAUAAAAUUCAAAAACUUAAAACUAAAUUGACAUAUGUAUAAUAGGUUUAUGACUUUUUGGGUAAUUUUACUCAUUUGCUAUUGAUAAUGCUUUAAAAAGUUCAUUUAAUAUCUUAUUAAUCUUUCAGAAUGAGAAGGGAAAAAAAAAAGAAUCGAUUGGUUUUUAUUUUCCUUAAGGACAAUUAUUAUUUUUUUUUUGGUCAAUCAAACAUUAUGUAAGUCAAAUCCUUUUCAUGUAGACUCCUAGCAAGGUUUGGAUAACCAAGGAUACUGGAGUUGGCAAUUGAUUAUCUAGACCUUGCUAUAAGGCAGCCAGUCCAACAUAGUGCAUUUCACCCUCCCAUUUUCACCCUAGACGUGAAAGGCUAUUAUACCUGCCUAUCCGACAGUAGCCAGAGUGUUUCCACCCUAACGUGGUGUCUAUUUUCACAACUAAAGGGCCUCCUAAUUCCCUUCUCUAUCUUUUUCUUCCCGAAGAGGAGGGAAUAUGGGAGUGACAUUAUAGGGUCUUUCAUCUUAGGGUGAAUCUCUCGCCUAUUUCUUCCCCUUAAGUAUUUUAAGGACCUGCUUAGGUCCAAGUCUACUUUAUUUAGUAUCUUAUCAUAGUUGUUUUCUUUUCAUAAGUUCACACAUGUAUGUGUGUAUGUAUGUAUGUAUGUAUGUAUGUAUGUAUACACACGUAAUAUAUAUAAAAAUAGGUUUUCAUAAGCCUGGAAGAAUUUUAUACUAAUGGUGGUCAUCUUUAAUGAACAGGAUAAGAAAAACGCUUUAAUGUCAACACAAGAAAGAAAUUAGGAGAAACCCUUUCUUGUGCGAAGGAAAAGACGAAGAAGAAGAUAAGAAAUAAUCAAUCCAUUGUUUUAUAUUUUCCACUUACUUAUCUUAUGUUUAGUAUCCGUUGAAUUUUAGAUGUUAAUCAUUAUUAGAAUAUGAAACUAUUGAUCCAUUAUAUGACAUUCAAUCUUGCAAGAGGGACAUAGUGAUGCCACUCGAAUUUGGCUUGAAAAGGAAAUGGAUAAAGUCAAAUAAUAUUCUUCAAAUACACAUGCUAUGACUAGAAUGUGAGACAUGUUAUUUCUAACAUCGAUAUCCGAAAUAGAAUACAAGCAAGAAGCUUUUAAUAAUUAUUUAUCAUAUAUAACAUAAUUGAAUCGUCAAAACAAUAAUUCGAUUCUUUUUACUAAAUUAAUAUUGGAAAUCUAUAAAACCUAGAAAUCAAUUUCAGACAAUUGAACUUCUCAAGUCGUCUCUUGUUGAGAACAAAAGGUAUUUGUGCCAAUAUAUAAUAUGCUAAAAAAAAUAAAAUGCCUAGAACAUGGAAUUGAUCUUAAAAGUACUAUUUCUAUAUCAUGGCAGGAGAGAUAAUUAUCAAAUCAAUGCUAAAUCUAUUGUUUAAAUACUAAUUCAGUCCUAAAUAAUUUUGUCUAAUGUAAUUUUAAACCUUUGUGCAAAAUUUCGAAAUAGUUCUUUUAUCCAACUACCGCAAAAAACUGUUGAUGUCAUGCCUAGUCAUCUCCGAUCAUCCUACAUAGUAAAUGAUAGUGAUGGCUUUGCUCAAAGUAACAUCUUUUGUGGACCACAAUGUUAGCAAUUGGCCAGAAUGACUAUUUUGAAAUUUCGCACAAAGGUUUAUGUUGAUGCUCAAGUUUUUAUAGACGUUUUAAGUAUUCGCUCAUUUUAUGAGAUAUACAAAAUAAAUAUAAUAAUAAAGAAUGAGAAAAUUAAACAAAAAGUAAUGGUAAUAAAAAAAUAAAAAAGAGAUAUAAAACGAAGGAGAUAAAAAAAAAUGGUAAUAAAAUUCGGAGCCCAUAUUCCUUAGCAAAUUUCGGACCUGCCGAGCCCGCGUAACCAGCCCAUUUCUCUUAUUUCGUUUAUGUCUUUCAAACUCACUUUGCUUGGCCCAUUUUCCUUUCUUUGUUCACAUAAGCCCAUCAGAACUAAAAAGAAACAAAAAGCCCAGCCCAGCCCAGCCCAGCCCAGCUCAGCCUUUCCUCUGGCCUUGCUUCGGUAAGGAGCAGCGUGCUUGGGGAGAAGAAAAGGAGAAGCGACCGCAGCGACACAGCAGAAAGACAGGAGCGUUCGGCCAUUGUUGAGGGAGGGGAGAGCAAGGUUGGCUCUGCAAAAAAGUGACAACCAGAGGGAAGGAGGGACAGCCAAGGGAAAAGUUCACUAGAGACAUGUAGCUCGCUCGACGGAGGAGAGCUCAUUGGAAGCAGCCAAGGAGAAAGGAGAAAUCUGAGAGAAUGAGAGAGUGCCGCGGGUUUCGAUCUCAGAGAUGAACUCAAGAUGGGUUCGACGAGAUCGAAUCUGGCGGAGUCGUCGACUGCAGGGAGGAUGAAGUCAGAGUUGAUGGCGAGGUGAGCGAUGAUGUCACCGGCGAGAGGAUGGAGUUAGAGUUGACGGCAAGGAUGGACAGCUUCAGAGUCGACGGCGCUAGGGUUUUUGGUUGAAGCGUUGAGGAGAAGGAACGCCCCCAUCUGGUGAACGAAGAAGAUGCCCAAAUUGGAGAAAAGAAGAAACGAUUUCUAUUCAUAUUUCAGAAACUGAGAAGUUACAAUUUUUAGCUUCUGAUUUCUCCUCCAAAUCAAUUUCUGGAAUAGAAAUCUAUUUUAGAAAUAAAGAAAUCAAAUUGCAUUACCAAAGGGAUUUCUGUUCCAAACUUGUUCCGGGGAACAGAGAAAUAGAGAAAUCAAGAAACAGAAAUUUAUUAUGUGCAGCCUUAAGUACCAAAAUCAGAGAAGAAAUGAACAUUUAAGUGGCAAUGGCGAGAAUUUCCAACUAAACUGUUGAUGUGGCUCUUUCCGGCAAGAUUUUUUUAUUGAUGUGGCAAUUCUUAUAAAAAAUUUAUCCACAUGAUGCUAACUUGGCUAGAUAUGCCCAAAACGAUGUUGUUUUAACUCCAAAUUUGAUUUUUAAAUUAAAAAACUAAAUUACAAAAAAUGAAAAAAAAAAAGAGGGAGGCAGCAUUUGGCGAGGGCCUCCCUAGCCCUUGUUGUCGCCGCCGCCACCUCACCAUCGCAAAAAAGGGCCAACGACGAUGGGAUGACGGUUAGCCAAGGUCGCCAAACCCAAGCAAGUGACCAACGACCUUAGUUGACUACCAACGAGGGCUUGUAGGCCCCGUCCAAAUCUGGGGUGAGAGGUCGUGGGUGAUCCCAUCACAGCUAACAGGGCCCUUAGCCCCUUUGGGCGAGGGCCAGUGACCCCGACUAACCUUUGCCCCACCGUUGUCAACCCUUUUUGACAAUGGUGGGGCAACCAUGGCAAGGGCUAUGGAGGCCCUCGAUGAAUGCUACCUCUCUCCUUUUUUUAAUUUAGUUUUUAAAUAUAAUAUAAUUAAUAAUUAUAUUACAAAUCAAAUUUGGGGGCAAAAAGAUGUCGUUUUGCACAUUGAUUGCUAAGUAGACAACUCUAGUGAGCCAUAUAGACUAUAUUUAUUAUUAAAAUAAUGCCACAUUGGAUUUCUAGCUAUCUUCACUAGAGGAGGCAUUUAAUUGUCCAAUUUUCAAAAAUAGUUGCACUUAAGUGUACAUUUUAGAUAUCUUGGUACUUGAGUAUCCACCUGUGCCAAAUUUUCGCACUCGUAGUGUACUUUUGCCUACAAAAAAGUUUAAAAUUUUCAAAUAAUAGUAGUAAACUCAAGGCGUUGCCAAGAAAGGUAAAUAAAAAUUAGUAAAAGAUAAACAAAGGUUUUUGUCAAAGAUAGAAGAAGAUGGCAAUUUAAAAACAAAAACAAAAUAAAUAUUGGCAAGUAUCUUAAAAAAGAGGUGGUAACUUGAUUGGAAAUAUGCCAGUAAUCACUCUAAUGAAGUUGGCAAUUUCAAAAAAAGAGUUGGUAAAUUGAAAAUGUUAGUGAGUGAGGCCAAUAAAAGUGGUAACUCAAUAGAAAAGCUAGUCCAUGUAAGUAAAAAUAAUUAACUAUUGAGAAGCAACUCAGACAAGAGUUAAACUCAAAACUAGUUGGUAAUUUAAACCCCGUAACUUUGUGAGGUCACGCAAACAAAGAUUGAUAAUUUCAUAUAGUAGUUAGUAAAUUUAAACCUUUAGUAAGAAAGGUAAAUAAAAGAUGGUAAGUAAUUAGAGAAGCUUUUUUUAGUUAAAGAUAAGAGAAGUUGGUAAUUUAAAAGAAAAUCCCAAAUAAACAUUGGUAGCUAACUCAAGUAGGUUAGUUAAAAGUAGGGAAUCGCUAAAAGUUUCUAAAAACAACCGGUAGAUUUAUAAAGUUUGUUAAGAAGGCAAACAAAAGAAGUGACUUAAUAAAAAUUUUAUAAAUAAAAAAUAAAUGAACUUUGAUAUAAGCAACUUCAAUGAGAGUUGGCAACGCUAGCCACUAGGUUACUUAAUUGGAGUGACAUGUUAGUAACUAAAAAUAUAUGGUAAUUGAUAAAACAUUGGUGGUAAACAGGAGAAGUUUUUUUUUUUUUUUAAUUUUUUUUGGUCAAUCACAAGGGAAAGUUUUAAUUGAAAAUAAACAAACAUCAAUAGCUAACUCAACUAAGUAUAUAUACUGCAAAUUUUGUUAAUGACUUGAUUGGAUAAUGUUGAGAAUCACUCCAAUUCCAAUUCCCAUUAGUAAUUUCUGAAAAAGGAGUUGGUAGAUUUAACAAGUGGAUAAAGGAGGCAAAUCAAAGUUGGUAACUCAUUGAAAAAGUGGAUAAUUUUUUUAGAAAAUUAAACAUUGGUAGGCAAUUCAAAUGAAACUUAGUAAAUCAAAGCUAUUCAAUAAUCUAAUGGGAGAACAACUGUUAACUCACACAAUUGAAGGUUGGUGAAGUCAUAUAAAAGUUGAUAAAUUUAAGUCAUCUAUAAGAGAGACAAAUAAACUUUGGUAAUAAUAAGAAAAUCUGAUAAAUUAAAGUAAGAUCAAAUAAAUAUUGGUAAGUAAUUCAAAUGAAAGAUGGAAAACCAAAACUAGUUGGUAAUUUGAUCGAAAAAAAAAGUUAAUAAGUCACUCAAAUAAAUAUUAAAAGAUUCAUAUAUUUGUUGGUAAAUAUUAACGAUCCAAACAAAAAGUUAGUGUAAACUGUUAAAAAGAGUUGGUAAUUUCAUGAAACUCUUGCUAAAUUACCAAUAAGUUACAUAAUAACAAGGGACUGGUAGCUUAUUCUACUUGUAUUUUUAUAUUCAUUAACUCUAUCAGAAAUCUACAAGCAAUGAACAAAAAUCAUUUUUUUAGCAGAACAAUAGAAUUGUCCUAAUUUACUUUUCAUCAUAAUUAUUUAAAAUAUAUAUAUACAUAACCAAAUCACUUAGUGGCUUGAGAAAUAAGAGGUUAACCCACUAAGCCAUGAGUAUUCUCAUAACUUGUAUUCCUAUUAUAAGGAUACCAAUUCAAUUAUAAAUCGUUUAUUUUUGUCAAUUAAGUCAUGAAUCUUGCCAAUAUCGUACUUUCAGUCAAUUUGAAUUAGAAAUUACUGACAUAGAUAUUGGUUGUCUUAUGUGACACGAUUGUCGCUGAUGUAGACAAUUUUAUAAUUUUGUUAGACUUUUUGAAUUUUUUUUAUUUUAUAUAUUCUUUUUCUUUCUUACUUUUCCUCUUUUUUUUCUUCUAAGUCCGAUGAGGGUCGUCGACUCUCACUUGCCAUAGAUCUAGCGAGGGCUACGAAGCCCUCCCCAAUCAUGGUCAAGGGUUGUUGGCCCUUGCUUGUGGUCAACGAGGGUUGAGUGGCCCUCAUAGUACUCGGUACAAAAAAAAAAAAAAGGAAAAGAAAGAAAGAAAAUAAAAAAAAAAUAAUAAAUUAUAAAAAUUGUCCACAUCAUAGUGUCAACAUCAACAAUUUUCAAUUAAAAUUGGCCAAAAUGACAACAUUAGUAAAUCAUCAAAAGUUUUAGGAUUCAAUUUACAAAAUUCAAAAGCUUAAAACUAAAUUGACAUAUGUACAAUAUGUUUAUGACAUUUUGGGUAAUUUUACUCAUUUACUAUUGAUAAUGCUUUGAAAAGUUCAUUUAAUAUCUUAUUAAUCUUUCAGAAUGAGAACGGAAAAAAAGAAGAAGAAUCGAUUGGUUUUAUUUUCCUUAAGGAUAGUUAAUUUUUUUUUUUGGUCAAUCAAACAUUAUGUAAAUCAAAUCAUUUUCAUGUAGACUCCUAGCAAGGUUUAGAUAACCAGGGAUAUUGGAGUUGGCAAUUGAUUAUCUAGACCUUGUUGUAAGGCAACCAGUCCAACAGAGUGCAUUUCACCCUCCCAUUUUCACCCAAGAGGUGAAAGGCGAUUAUACCUGCUUAUCUGACAGUAGCCAGAGUGUUUCCACCAUGAUGUGGAGUCUAUUUUCACAACUAAAGGGUCUCCUAAUACCCCUCUCUAUCUUUUUCUUCCCGAAGAGGAGGGAAUAUGGGAGUGAUAUUAUGGGGUCUUUCAUCUUAGGGUGAAUCUCUCGCCUAUUUCUUCCCCUUAAGUAUUUUAAGGACCCGCUUAGGUCCAAGUCUACUCUAUUUAGUAUCUCAUCAAAGUUGUUUUCUUUUCAUAAGUUCACGAGAAUAGAAUAUAUAUAAACAUUUAUGUAUGUAUGUAUGUAUGUAUGUAUGUAUGUAUGUAUGUAUGUAUGCACACGUAAUAUAUAUAAAAAUGGGUUUUCAUAAGCCUGGAAGAAUUUUAUACUAACGGUGGUCAUCUUUAAUGAACAGGAUAAGAAAAACGCUUUAAUGUCAACACAAGAAAGAAAUGAGGAGAAACCCUUUCUUGUGAGAAGGAAAAGACGAAGAAGAAGAUAAGAAUAAUCAAUCCAUUGCUUUCUAAUUUCCACUUACUUAUCUUAUGUUUAGUAUCCACUGAAUUUUAGAUGUUACUCAUUAUUAGAAUAUAAAACUAUUGAUCCAUUAUAUGACAUUUCAAUCUUGCAAGAGGGACAUAGUGAUGCCACUCAAAUUUGGCUUGAAAAAGAAAUGGAUAAAGUCAAAUAAUAUUCUUCAAAUACACAUGCUAUGACUAGAAUGUGAGACAUGUUAUUUCUAACAUCGAUAUCCGAAAUAGAAUACAAGCAAGAAGCUUUUAAUAAUUAUUUAUCAUAUAAAAAAUAAUUGAAUCGUCAAAACAAUAAUUCGAUUCUUUUUACUAAAUUAAUAUUGGAAAUCUAUAAAACCUAGAAAUCAAUUUCAGACAAUUGAACUUCUCAAGUUGUCUCUUGUUGAGAACAAAAGGUAUUUGUGCCAAAAUAUUAUAUGCUAAGAAAAAAAGAAAAUGCCUAGAACAUGGAAUUGAUCUUAAAGUACUAUUUCUAUAUCAUGGCAGGAGAUAUAAUUAUCAAAUCAAUGUUAAAUCUAUUGUAUAAAUACUAAUUUAGUCCUAAUUUAUUUAUUUAUUUUGCCAAUGUAAUUUUAAACCUUUGUGCGAAAUUUUGAAAUAGUUCUUCUGUCCAACUGCCGCCGAAAACUAUUGACGUCACACCUAGUCAUAUCCGGUCAUCCUACAUAGUAAAUGAUAGUGACGACUUUGCUCAAACAACAUCUUAUGUGGCAAUUGGCCAAAAGGCACUAUUUUGAAACUUUGCACAAAAGUUUAUGUUGACACUCGAAUUUUUAUAGAUGUUUUAAGUAUUCACUCAAUUUACAAGAUAUAAAAAAUAAAUAUAAUAAUAAGAAAACAAGAAAAUUAAACAAAAAGUAAUGGUAAUAAAAAAUAAAAAAGAGAUAUAAAACGAAGGAGACAAAAAAAAAUGGUAAUAAAAUUCGGAGCCCAUAUUCCUUAGCAAAUUUCGGACCUGCCGAGCCCGCGUAACCAGCCAAUUUCUCUUAUUUCGUUUAUGUCUUUCAAACUCACUUUCCUUGGUUCUUUCUUUGGUCACAUAAGCCCAUCAGAACUAAAAAGAAACAAAAAGCCCAGCCCAGCCUAGCCCAGCCCAGCCCAGCCUUUCCUCUGGCCUUGCUUCGGUAAGGACCAGCGUGCUUGGGGAGAAGAAAAGGAGAAGCGACCGCGGCGACACAGCAGAAAGACGGGAGCGUUCGGCCAUUGUUGAGGGAGGGGAGAGCAAGGAAGGUUCUGCAAAAAAGUGACAACCAGAGGGAAGGAGGGACAGCCAGGGGAAAAGUUCACUAGAGACGUGUAGCUCGCUCGACGGAGGACAGCUCGCUGGAAGCAGCCAAGGAGAAAGGAGAAAUCUGAGAGAACGAGAGAGUGCAUCCCGUUUAGGAGCGACGGAAAACCGCAUCGCCGGAGCUCGCCGUCGAUUUUCAGAGCUCCGGUCAAAGGCCAAUCCGCGAGUUGUUCUUCACAGUUGCUCUAACCAGACGAUCUUCAUCGUCGUCAAUCGAGACCUCGAUCCGCCAAACAAACCGGGAACAAUCUCGCUCCAAACGCUCUUCUCUGUCUCAGUUUUGGCCGAGAAAGAAAUGCUCGACUCGAUCGAUUUUCUUGAAAGAAUCUUUGAUAAAACGAAUUUUUGUAUUGUUGCUAAAAAUGGUGUUUUAAGUCUGUACGUAACGUGUGAAGCUGAGGAUCUCGUUAAAAUCAAAAUCAGAGAACUGUUGAAAGAUCUGCAUAUUGCACGUUUGAUCAAAAUGCCUAACAGAGGGCCGAAAGUUCAAUCACGUUUAAACUCAAGAUCGAUUCGUACUUGCUGCGUCAUUUGUUGAAUCAUGUCUAAUACUAGCAUUUUCUCUGUGUUUCUAUGCGAUUUGAUGAAAAAUCUUUGCUCGAGUCCAACGUGCAUGCAUAUAUCUCCAAUGCUGGAAAGCUUUCCGUCGGAGAAUUCCAUCGCACCCAGCGAAGUCAGCGUUUCAAGGGCAUAUUAGUUAAGCCCAUCUCGCUUCAUUCUAAUGUAAGUUUUCUUGUGAACUUGCUGGGGUUGCUGCUGUUAAAAAAGUGGAUUCGGUAGGAUGGUUUUUGUUAAGUUUUCGGAUAGAUGGAGUGGGCAGCCGGAGGUGGUCAAAGUGGGUCGGAAUAGACGAUCGGCGGUCGGAGAUAGGUCGGCGGUGAUCUAAGCUUUCGUGAUAAACUCGUCGGUGAUGAUAUUUGUUUCGUUAAAAAGGAAUAUAAAAAAAAAAAAAAAAUUUGGCCGCGAAAGGUGGAGUUGCAGGUUGAAGAUGGUGUUCGGGUAGAGGAUGUCGAGAGAGGAAGGGAGAAAUGCAGGCAGAACGAGACAAAAACAGGAAAAGACAAAAACAAAUUAAAUAAAAAAAGGCAAAUCAAUUAAAAAAUUCAAAAGAAUAUUAGAAAUCGGUUUUAAUCCGACGCGGGUCGGAUCCGGCUAUACGGCUCGGGUCAUAGAUUCGGAUCGGAUUAACGGUCCGAACCCAUUCGCUGAAUAGAAUAAAAUAAAAUAAAAUAAACAAAUUCUGAAAAAAUUCUAAAAAAAUUCAUAAAAGAUAUAAAAAUCCUAAAAAUCAAUAAACAAUAGGAAAUUCGAAGAUAUAGAAAAAUUCCGAAAAUUUUUAAAAGUUAUUGUUAUAAAAAAUCGAAGAAUAGAAAAUUCUUAAAUAACAAUAAAAAUAAAAAAGUUCAGAAAAAUUCCAAAAAUAUUUAAAGAUUCAAAAAAAAAAAUUCCACAUACAUAGAUUUUUAAUCUCGAAAAUAAAUAAAAUAAAUAAAUAAAUAUUAAAAAUUCAGAAAAAUCAUUAAAAAUUCAUAAAAUUCUAGAAAAUGAGAAAAAAUUCAGAAAAAUUUGCAAAUUAUUUAAAAAAUUAAAAUAUAAAAUUAGACAACCCUUUAGCACUUUACAAUAGGAUUUUUAUUUUGAAUUUCCCAACAAAUUUAUGAUUCUUGGUGUACUUAUGCUUUGGAUAUUCUAUUUUUAUUGUAAAUAUCGCAAAUUAUAAAAUUCUAAUUGUUGGUAUAAUAGAGAUAUUUAAAUUUUUUUCUGAUUUUCUAUAUUUAUUUUGGUUAUCUAUAUCUAAUUAGAUUUUUUUUAUCUCCUUAAUUAUUCAACUACUCUUUUUUAGAACAUCGAAAUUUACAUAAACUUCAUAUUAAUCUCUUCCGCAUCAUUAUUCUUAACUUAAAAAAAAAAACAAAACUCUAAAGUUUUUUCACCACAAACCGUUCAGCUUCUCUCUAACAUUUUCUCUCUUCAUCACUCACAUCGUUCACUGUAAGCUCAAGCUCAAAUGCUCUCUCUCCGUUCAUCUUUGCUUUCACCAAUGCCUGUGCCCAGUGAGUGACUCGCUGACUGUGGUUCGUCUCUGUUCAUUGGUGGUGUCAUUUACUAUGGUUUUUUCUAUGUUCUUUUCUUCUUUUUGGUUUGGCUUUUUUAUAACUAGGAAUUGGAGUGAUUUAGGUUCAUGACUCGUGAAUCAACUCGAUAUCCGUAAAAUGUAUUUGCUGAUUGUCAAUUGUGAUGUGAACCCGUUUGUUCUGAUUUGCUUUCCAUUGAUUCUUGCAUUUUUUCCUUGCCUUGGUUCCUUUUCUUUUUCUUGGUUUGCAAGUUUUAACAUCUGUUAUUUUACUGAUAGAUUCUAGUUUCCUACUUGAAUUAUGAGGUUUUACCCUGCUUUGUCUUCUUUCCAAUUCGUGUAGUAUACGUGAUUUGAGUUCCAAUUGCUGUUCAUACUAUGCCUCAGUCCCAUUGUUUAAUGUCCUAAGGAUUCAUUCCGAGUGAGGUUUUGAACUUCUAAGAGCUCUUUCUUUAGGAUUCCGUGUUGGGUUUCUCUUGGAGGGGUUUAAGUCUAUUUAUUCAUGGCUUUGCCUCUCUUAUUGUGGCCAUUUUCUGUUAUAUUUACGAUCUUAUUGGAUAUUCGUGUGACCUUUGCCUCCAGCAGAUGAAGAUAAUAGAUGAGCAUUUUAAUCGAGUUGUGAUCUCUUACUAAGAAUUGUUAAUAUUUUUUGUCUUGGUGAUUUUUAUCCAUGGGAAACACAAGACGCAUGGUCAUAUGCGUGGGUCCACGCGUAGUGCAGAUAAGUUGUGAAUUAGAAGAGAAGGUUGAAAAAUCACACAUGGGUGUUGAGCUACGUUCUAAUUCAGAGACUGAAACUAAGCAGCCUCAAGAAUAGACUACAAAUGUGAAUGCAUCAGGUAAGACCUACCUACAUAUAUUUUGUGUAAUUUUUCAUCAUACUAUACUAAAAUGGUCAGUGUAUUGAUCUCGUUUCAUAAUAUUAGAUAUGUCUUUCAAUAUUUAGAAUUUCUUGUCUAGUAGUUGCCACUAGAAAAAGGAAGCGCACCUUUAUGUGUCUAUCGGGCAUAUGGAAUCUUCCUCCUGGGAAACACGUUAUUGUCAAGUUAGGGAAGAAAAUGCAGCCCAUUGGAGGUUUGGGGAGUUUCUCAGAACCAUUGGUAGCGAAUUGGCACCAUUGUUUACAACUUGAAACGAAUUACCAUGGAUAUGAGAAACAUUAUGAUUAAGAUUGUAGAGAUCGUUAGGUUGUACUCAUAUGAAAUCCCAUUCAUGUUGUAAAUAAAUUUAACACGAUUAUUAAUAUUUCUUUGUUGUAGUCUACGCUUGAUUAUCUUCAUACCAGCUAUGGAAAAAUGGAUUCUACAUUCCUUGAAUUCUAAAUGGAGAUAUUGGAAAAGUGAUCUAAAAGCUGCUCGCUAUUAUAGCUCUCAAUCUUUAUCGUAUCAUUUGAAGAAUCUUUUGGAGAGAUUGAGAAGAGAUAGAUGGAAAAAUCUCGUCACUUUUUGAAGUUCAAAGGAAGGGAAGGUAUGAAUCUCGUUCCAGCAUUGUUUUAAUAUGACCGGUCAACAUUAAGUAGACUUUCAUCGCCCAUUAUUGACCAUUUUGUGAUGAACUUAUUAUUAUUAUUAUUUUUUUUUAUCGCAGAAGCUGAGCGAUGCAAAUAAGGCUGAUAGAGCAAAACAAAAGAUACAACACACCUUAGGGAAUAAAAGUUUGUCUAGAAUAACUGCAGCAAAGGUACUCUCAUGUUUUCCGUUAAAUUUUUGUGUUUCCCUAUAAGUGAUAUUUCCAUUUUGUAAUCAAUAACUUUUCUUUAAAAAUAUUCUGCUGUGGUGAUAUAUCAUUGGACCUAAGGUAAAGAUGUCCCGAGAUUUGUGACUUUUCCAACAAUAUGCGUUUUAAUAGUAGUUGUCGUAGGAAGAAAACAUAGGAUUUGUUCUAGAUUGCCUCCUUAAGAUUGUCCACGUUCUUAGCACCUGCAUUGAUAUCUUGUUAUUAUUCCCUUAGCUUUGUGAUUUGGAUUUGCUGGUGACAGCACAAUCAUCCACAACUUGCUUCAGGUUUAUCUAGAACGCAUAGUCCGCCAUCGUUAACAAAAGAGCUAUGCAGUAGCCAGAGCUGUAAAUUAACUUAUAGAUUAUGAAACCUAUACAAGUUUCUAUUAAUUUGCUAACAUGACUGCACUUUGUAUAUGAGAGUGAACGAAAAAACAGAAAACUACUGCAGCCCUAGAAUACCCAAUUACUAGCUGUGCCAUGUCACAUGUAUGCACACGUCCCCACAAUUGUUGAAAAGCCAUUCAAUAUAGUUCAUCUAGUGUUAACAAAUGUUAUGCAGUCUUGGCAAUGACAAUAUUGCUGCUGCAAUUUAUUAGGAAUUUAUACAGUUAUCUGAGCAGAAGAUGAAUGGACCAAGAAAAGAGGGUAGGCUGGAAUAAAUAGUAUAAAAUUAAAACCAAAAGUCUAACUUCCUAGUGUGUGUUUUCAUAUGGUUUUGGUAGAUGACAAGCCAUAUAACAAUCCGCAAGAAACACCUAUAAAAAUAAAGAAUGAGAUUACUUUUCAAUUUGAUAUCUCUGGACAUCUUUUCUUGUUUUACAGGAAAGUCAGUUAUGCUGACUAACCAAGUUCUGGCACAUGAUAGGAAGCAGAGUUAAGAAUUCAGCUUAAAAUUACUCGACAAUAAAUAGUAACAUCAUUAUUUUAUUUUAUGUUACCGAAUUGCAAGGAAGCAUGAAUGAUCUCAUAGAUCUAUAUUUGGAACUUGGAAAGAGCAAUCCCCCCAUGAAAUACUGUUUUUCUAGUGUUGGGAAAAAAGAAACCUGGUGUAUCUGAUGCUAGGGCAUAGUCCAUGCCUGAAUGAUUUGGGGCCUCAAAAUCUAGUUGUCUUCCAACCGAGAACUUAAGGUCAAAGAAAAAGAAGGAUGAAGAGAUUCACAUUUUGAAGAAAUAUAGUUGUCUUCCAUCCGAGAAAUGAAGGUCAGACAAUGAGAAAGAUGAAGAGAUUCACAAGUUGAAGGGAAUACUGAAAGCAACAAAAGAGCAAUUACAAAAGACAAAAUGGAGACGUGCAAGAGUUACGGGCUCAAAAAGAUGUCUACUAUUAUACAAAAUUGUUAGCAUGCGGCAGACUCAAAGUGGUAUCACGAGAUCUAGAUGAGGUAGUAUGUCAUGAGCCAUGAGGUGUGACUAAUUUCAUUGAAUGUUAAAAUAGUGAAAGGUGUUUUAUUUACUAAAUACUGAGUGACCUAGAUAUUGGACACUAAGGGGGUUUUAAAGGGAAUAUAGGUGGGAUAGACUUGAAACAUGAGUAUGGUAUCGGGAUCGCUUCAAUGGAGCUUGGAAGUGGAAUACAAAUUUAGCAUAUUGUUACUAUGUUUUUUUUUUUUUUUUUUUUUUUUUUUUUUUUUUUUUUUGCUGUGACUAAAUCAUGUUUUGGGUUUACUUCUCUUGCAUCAUGCCUUGUCCUUUUUGCUAAUUUUGAAGUACACAAGUGAUUGCCCUUAUCAGUCACUGCUGGGUGUUGCUCCUUUUUUUUUUUAAGGUCACUUCUGAGCUCUUUUGUCCUUCUCUGUAUAGAUCCUGGGGUGUUAUAGCAUCUUUUAUAUUGAAGAGAAGUUGAAAUGUUGCCUGUUUUGGCACUUGAGAGUGGUUGAGGGACACGGUCAAAUGCUUGGAAAUGGUCUAUGUUGAUGAAUGGGUUUAUCAGAUGACCUAAUACCAUAUGUUGAUGAACCUUACGCUACUCUAUUUUUGGCCCUCAAUGCAUUUCUUCUUCUUCUUGCUCUUAAAGGUUAGGCUUCUAUUUUCAUAAUCAAACUUCUCGAGUUUGCUGGGUUACAGCAAUGAUUGUGAUUUGUGAACUGGUUUACAGCCAUUCAAUAUUGGUUGUAGUGUUUAUAAGAUGCUUUGGCCACUCACAACUAUGUUUUUUGCAAUGAAGUGAAUGGAGCUCCUUUGUUCACGUCUCUGCAUUUUUUUCAAGUGACAGGAAAUGUGGCUUAUCAUGUCUUGCUCAUUCUGUUUUAACAAAUAAGCUUCUCUACGUUUUGAUAUGCUUUACAGAUUAGUUAUGAGCUCCUACGUUCAUUUAUUUUAUUACUUUCUGUGAUCUAAGCUUCCUCUACAUCCUUCUCCAAUCCAAAUUAUUGAAGGUUUAAUUGUGCGAUGUUCAACUAGCGAUCACUCUCAUGAUAGCUUGUGCUGAUUUCACACCCAUUAUGCUUAAUCCUCUUUCCUGCACUCAUUUGCUUUGCUGGAUGAUGACCAUCAUAACCCACAAUAGAGAUCUCCAAAAAUCAGUUUAUGCUCUCCAUUGUCGAGUCAUGAGCCACACUCUAAAAGAUGGGGUUGGUGUUACCUCCAAAGGUACAGUGAUCAUUGUAGAGCCCGCAUUCUAUUUAUUUUUUGUUAUAAAUGUCUUAGGUCUAGUAAAAAAAGAACAAAACAGCUUCUUGUGCCCGUUGUUGAAGAAAGCUCAUUAAAGAACUAGUAUAGUUCCCGCAUCUUCAAGAUAUGAUGAGGCUAGAAAAGAUUUUAUAGCGAUGAUAGGACCUCUUUCAUGUGCAGUCGAACAUUAUGUCCGAGCUAUAGCUGAAAUUGCUUUAGAAUGCGAAAAAGGAAAACACAGCAACAUAGUGUUUUUGUUGCAGUGAUUCUCUCUUGGACAUAGGGUGUCUAUCUCUCCCUCUCUGAACCUACCUUGUUUAAUUAUUCCUUUCUUGCAUUGGAAUAGUACAAAGAGCAAUCUAGAGAGUCCAAUAACUUAUGGAUGUCGGUGAAAAAUUGACCAUUGUCCUUCAGUACAUCUAGACAAUUUUUGGAUUGCGCCAAAAAGGCGAAAGCCCAUGCUUGAGAAGUUUUCGCCUUUUUGUUGUGAUUUGUGUAACGUGAUCAAAUGGAUGAUUCAGGGGUUUCAUGGCUGUUGCGUGACGGCUAAGCAAGUUGAGCGUCAUAACUCCUGAGCACGUCAAUUUGUUGUUUUUUGAAUCUUAUGACUUUGAUAAGUUAAUAGAUUUAGCUUUGAGAAGAUUUUGGAAUAAAGUACUCAACGGAGACGAGGAUUUCGCAUUAUUCAUCCGUUGAUGUUUCUUGGGUGGAUAUGUGAUGCGUUGUCCUGAAGGAUGUUGAGGACAUGAGGCGAUUCUCUUGUUCCGUUUCCGAUUAUUAGCAAAGCCAACAUCUUGGGAAUCAUCUAUAGCAUAAGAGCUAAAAACAAAGAUAAAAGUAAAUAGGCGUGCGCUAUGCAAACGCAACAGACCUGAAAGAGUUUGUCAUAUACAUUUAUUAGUCAACCUUUAUAAUGCAAUAUUUGCUUGUGGUUAUCUAACUAAUUUCGAUGACAUGUUACAGGUGUCAAAUGUUGUAGGUGUCAAAUUUUGUAAUACUACAUUCAUGUGGCUUGCAUGUUGUGUUAAUAAUUUAAAGGAUGUUAGAAAAAUGAAAGCAUGAUAUUACUUUUUUUUAAUUUUUUUAUGAGAACUAGAGAUGGAGUUCAAGUUUCACAUUGUGGUUUAGUUUCUUAGUUAUCAAUAAUUGAGUAGAAUCAACUUUAAUCUUGGACGCAUAUGCUAUAUAGAGUUGAGCUUGAGCAUGGGAUUGAGAAACAAAGUUUUGGCAUACUAACAGUACAAUAUCAAACCAUCAAUUUGAACUUAAACUUUGUAUCAACAAACUACUUCAAAUGAAUUUAUAGCUUGACUGCAAUUUUAUAGCUUUUUUUCCCCAAAUGAAGUACGUUUUCUUAGACACUUUUAGUUCAUUGACCAACUAAAUAAUAUGCUACGACAUUCCUUGCAUGCCGACAAGAAUGAUGCUAGUGGUCUUCAAAACUUCACCAAGCCUCUCCAACGUAUACAAGUCCCGUGAGAGCUUGAUUCCUGAAAAAUAUAAUCACCAUCAAUCUUUCGAGAAAAUUUCAAAAUAAAAUUAAGAUAAUCAAACUAUGUAGUCAAAUCAACCAAAAAUACAUGUGAACUUAUUUUUACUGUGUUUAAUAUAUUUGUCAAUGUAUACUAUUUAUAACAAAUAUAUAGAAGAUGUUAACUGCAUUCAUUGAGACUGAAAUACUCGAAAGGAUGCUGAUGAAAGUAAAAAAUAAUUGCAUUCAUUGAGAUUGAAAUAUUAGAAAUGAUCUAUAUAUAAUAGAAAAUGAUAUCAUGUGAAAAGAUACAUAAAUCUGGUGAGAUUCGUAUUGCGAUUAAAGGAAUGGGAUUAUAUGUGCAGAUUUAAUAUAUCACAUAAGUUUAUUUCUUGCACCACCAAAUGCAAACAAUUUAAUACUAAGCCAUUCACCCAAUCUUUGGCUUGUACCCUACUUGGUCCAUGAGAUUAGUAAGGUAUGAUAUGGGCUUGACAUCUUAUCUGCACAAGAUAAGUUUCUUGGAAGGAGAAACAAUAUCUUAUUACCAGAAAAUGGCCAGUUUAUUUAUAAAUCAAGUAGAUAAAGCCCCCUCCUCCUUUCCCCCCUUUCUAUCUAGUGCACUUAUGGAAGUAGGUCAAUGAAAUUUCAUUUAUGUGAAUUAACAUACGCAUAAAUACACUUUUUUUGUUUUUUUUAACGACUUUUAUGAAAACUGGUUUUGUUCUCAAUCUAGCUAAAUUAAGAAAUUUUUAUGUUCACAAUCGACUAAAUUAUAGUAGAAGAUAAAACUAAGACUCAACCUAGGCAUCAAAAGUUUAAUGAGUAGCAGAAAUAGACACUGUACCUGACAUGAAUCCUUCAUGACUAAAAGAAUGAAUUCCUAGAAGAUCGACUUCUUUAACUCCUAUUUGAAGUGGCUUUUAAUCGAAUGUAAAAAAUGGGGAAGGACACAGAAAUACAUCAUCCACCAAUUAAUAAAGUAUUUUAGGUCUAAAGUUUGAGAGUGAAAGGAGAUGUGACAAGUUUUUCCGACCUGCCUAUAUCUCCUUUCCUUCUUCGUUCAUUCUACUGGUAAGCGGCUGCUAUUCUUCGGUCACUCCUGGUGAGCAUCCGGUGCUGUGGGUAUCCUUCCAUUGGCUUCAUGAUCUCUAAUUGCAAUCAUCAUCAUCGUGUUAUCCACUGUUUUUUUAGCUCCAGUUCUGAUUUGCUUCAUAUAUCAUGAGACUAAACUAACGACACAAAAAAGAAAACCUGUCUUUCAUGGGCAGUUACAUAUCUCGCUCUGCAGCUCCUUGGCGAGGUUUGCAUGUCUGUGUUCCUCUUAUGUUCUUGUCUUUUGGUAGUCACUGAUGUAGCAUUUGGCGAGCUCUUCUAAUAGAUUCUCUCUCUUUCACGCGUGCAUAAUGCGGCCCACUAAGGAAUAGAAGUCCAAGAAUGUAAACAGAAUAAGAAACAUAAUUCAAAUUGUUCGCAGGAUGUGAAGGUUCUGGGAUGAAUAUUCUCUUCGUAGCAUUAUAAUAUUCCAAAAAGGGAGUUAAACCUCACCUUCGCAUGACUUGGGUUGUAACGUGGCCAAAACCUUGCACUUAAAUGUCACCAAUUUCUUCGAUGCUCUUGUGAUCAGGCUAUACAUGGUAAUGUCUGUGAAUUCAUUAUUCUUCUUGCAACAACAAAGUCCACUUCUUUUUAUACAGAUGCUGUUCUUUUUGCUUUGCAUUGUCUAUGUUAUAGUGAAGAAGCUCCUAGCAGAAUCCUGAUAUAACCGCGAUAGUCAACAGAUGUUUCUUCUGUUGCAUUCAUCCGUUGCUUGUGUUGCAUUUAGUAGAGCCUUCAGUUGCCAAAUCAAAGAAUGUUGGCCAGAAGAUUGAGGGCGUUGAUGUCUAAAUCAAGUGGUGUAACUCCUAAUGAGAUUGACUCAGAGCUUAAUUGCUAUUGUGUUCUUUGAUCACCAAUUCUCAUCACAAAAACAAAGUAGGAAUUGGUUUUAUGGUUGUAAUAAGUUGUGGAUUGAUCUGAAUACACCAGAUUGAGCUAAGGACAUGAUAAUCAACAUCCUUGAAAUGAACCAAGCAUUGUGCAAAUCCAGCCAAUCAAGGCACGAGGAGGUUAAUGUGAGCUAACUUCAACUGAAAUCAAGGCUCAAAGGGCCAAGUAUAGACAUUAAAAGGAGCAAUUGCAUGAGUAAAGAAAAAAAAUGAUAAUAUCAAUGGUCAUUUGUUCUAUUAAGGUGUUGUGUCAUUGUGCUGGUUGUGUCUAACACGAGAGUUGGUGGGAAGUUUCUAAGCCUUCCAUAGUUUAUUUAGGUGUGAGUGUGUGCAUCUGUGUCAGGUUGAACUACUGGAAGUCCUGCUUCCCUCGUCUUCAGUACGCUUGUUCCGGCUUCAUGCUUCGGACUUGCUUUACCACUGAAAACUAGAUAUUCUCAUGGAAAGCUGUUGGCUCUUUGGCAAUAUGACAGAAGCUUUCGUCGUUCUUACCAUUCUUACUAAAGAACUUCUAAUACCUUUUCAUUCUGUUACGAAAAAUCUAGUGAACUUAACAGCUUUGGCCUCUUGUAUAGUCUAAUAUAUCACCAGAUGUAAUGGCACAUGCUAAUCUUGAUUCUAGAAGAGGCGCCUGUGAAGCGAGACAAUGAAAUGCCAACCCCCUCGAGCGGAAAACAUUCCAACAUAAACAGUGAUUUAAAAUUUGACCCUGAAUGGUCAGGGCAGGACGAAUGAAAUGAAGUCUCAUUGUUUUCUUUUUCUUAACCCAACGGUUUAUCAGAGGUCUAAAUACUUGUGUACUUCCACACUAAAGACACUUAAAUACGUGAUUUUCAACAAUACUUCCACAUCUCUGCAUAUUUGCAGACCUGUAGGGAAUACUCGUUCUCGUGCUGAAUAUGUUAGUUUUUUUUCUCUUAUUGAAAUCAUCGAACAGGUGCAUAUGUACAGCUUGGGACUCCACUUUGCUUUUGUUAGGUCCCUUCGCUCGGAUUCGUGGUCAUCGGUUUCACAGCACUUUUGGGCGUGUCAGACACAGGCCCUCAUCCACAUUAGAAAGCAAUUUCCAUAAUGCUAUGCCAUUUUGUAGGAUUAACUCCAUGUAUCGAGUCACAUAGGCAAGCCACCUUUAGGCUUUUUAGGUAGGUCCACGAUAUAUUUUGCCAGCCUCGUCGAUCAGAAUGCCGAAAUCUUGGGUGAUUGAUUUGGAUAUAAAAGCAUUCCUACUUGAAUGUCAAGUCUUCUAGAAGUCCAUGAUAUGUAGAGCAUCCCAUGAAUCAAAUAAGAUGCAAAUUCAAAAUCUCAAAAAUUCGUUCAACUAUAAAUUUUUUCACACAGGAUGAUACAAAUGACUGAAUAACCAAAAACGACAUGACUUUCAAGCUCAGCAGCCUCAAAGCAUUCUAAUUAUAAAUUAGACAUACAGAAACCACUAAAAAUUUGAGAGUAACCCUUUUUCUCAGAAUCAAUUUCUCUCAACACAGACACGAAUUCCGUCCAAUAGAAAAAAGCCACACCAGCUGCCAAUGCAAUAACCAAAAGCAAAUCAUAAUGAAAGAACUAGAUGUACCUGGACACGAGUAGUGGCGUCCUGACCAGACACGAUGCCGUGCCUCAUCUGCUUCACCAUUGCCUGUCUCUUGUUCCUCAGCAGAUUUAUACUCACCACUGUCAUCUUCGCUGCCGUUUUGCUGUUCAUUCCCAAAACAAAAUAACAAAAAACUCUCCAUGAAUAUAACUACAAAAAGCCCUCACCUAUUAUUUGCUAUUUACCAGAACAUAGAAAAGUAAACGCCCCCAAAGUAAACCAAUUUCAUGUGGGGAUUUUAUGUUGCAUACCUUGUGAAUAGUGGCCAAGCGUUUGGUCUCUUCCUUGAUCUGACCCAGGUGAGAGAGGAUGCAGUCGCAGAUCUCCAUCUUCUUCCUCUUGAUCCCCUCCUCCUUGGCCCUGAAAGUGGACGGAGCAGCCCUCGACAUCUCCUUGUCCUCCCUCAACAGCGACGUGUUGCUGCUGAAGCUCAAGUUCCCCGACGAGCCCUGCAGGAUCAGCAGCAGCUGUUGCUGCCGCUGCCGCUGGGCCUGUUGCAAGGCCUGCUGCUCGUGCACCUGCAUCAAGAUCUUCUUCUUCUUCUCUCUGAUCUUCAAGCAACAGAAACCCCUGUGACCUCUGAUAAACCAAGUGUAUAAACUUCAGUACCGUCCCCACUGAUAAACCAAGAAUAUUCCACCAUCUUUGCUGUCUAAUACUAAUAAACCAAGUAUUUGAACUUCAGGACAGUCUGCACCAAAUGCAACCAAACCAAGUGUUCAAACUUCAGGCAUAUGGCUAGCCUACCGAUGGAAAUUUACCUCAAAUGGAGCCAGGAGUUCCUCCAUCUUCCCUGGUACGCACAUUUGUUCUUGUGCGCUGCUCUCUGCAUGCGAAACCAAUGAUGGGUGCCAAAACAUCGACGGGUCUGUUAAUGCAGCCGGCACACUCUCUUCCUCCUGCAAAAACAGGGGACAUUAACAAACCCAGGGCAUUGUAUUUCGCCAUUUUUGUGGCCUCACCAGAGGAGGGAUGCCUAAUUACCACAUGUUGGUCCUACUCAAAUUCGAUUUGACAAAGAAAUGAGUACACCAAUUUUAAGAUUCACAAACAAACGUAUUUUAUCCAGGUUUUUGUUUAAUUGCCUGAAGGGCUCCAAGCAACAAAUUUGGCAACAUGAAAGAAGAAAAAAGAAUACCGUCUUCCCUAAGUCGCCAUCUAAUGUUGAUUACUGUAACACUGCAAACAUGCUUUUUAACCCAUAGCAUGAAUGGUGCUGUGCCAGUAAAAGCUUCAGCACCUCAGAUCAGACUGUCCUUGAAAAUUGGCACUCCAAAAAUAGAUAGCACCUUGGAUCAUCAAAUCAUGUAGACCAGUUCAAGCUCUAAAUUGAAAAUAUCCCAAAUACAAUAUUAAAGAAAUCGCACAUUCAUUGGAUAUUCUGGAGAUUCUAAGUGAACAAAUAGCACUUGUAAGUAAAGAUGACACCUUUAUUUUGACUCCACAGGCCAAAAGAUGGAUUCAUAAUAAUUUGGAAUUGAGUUUACAGGAAAUUUCCAUGGGCGUUAUGCAUGAUAUUCAAGCCAAAUCCCCAAUCCUUUUAGCAUGUUUCCGAAGCAGAGAACCGCGAAAUUGAGCAUUAAAUAUAGUUGCUCCCACCUUAAUCAACCGAAACAAAAGCAUGCGAACAAUCUGUGUCCUUUUUCUGUUUUGCUUUGGACGAUCCUAUCUCUUAUUUUGCUAAGAUUAGUAAGAUCGCAACAACAUCCUGCGUUUGGGCAUAUACCCAUUGACAUCAUUCCCAAACUUCAGACCUAUUCAAUCCACAAGAGAAAACAACUCAAAUGAGUUCCCAUACCUCCUUCGGAAUGAAAGCAGAGUACAAGAAAGGAGAUUAAGCCGCCCGGCUUUGGACGAAGAGGACCCGACGUCGCCGUCGGCCUCAUCGAGCUCUUGCGCAAGGACUCGAUGUCGUCGCGCUCGAACGAAGAUGAAAUUUGGGGAUUCGGCGAAGAAGAAAAAGGACACUCAGAUGAAGAAGAGGAGGAUCGAUGAAUGAGAAGCGGACUCCAUGAACAAGAAGUACACUAUGGACGAGAAAGACUGAUGAAGAUGUGACGAGAACUUGAGAAGAAUACUCAAUCAUUGCGUUUGAAGGCUCGAAGCUCUAUGCCACGUAGGAGUGUGAAAAGAAUAAACAAAAAUUUUCAUUUAACUAAUUGAACAAAAUUAAUAAAAUGACUCGAUUAUACUAAAUUAACAAGUUUUAUUACUCGAUUGUAAUUUUUUGUAAGCUUUAGGACUUCUAAUAUAUUUAUCUCUUUAAUGUUCUAUCUACACUGUAAAUAUUGCAAAUCAUUAAAGUCAUUGUCAUAAUGAUUGGUAUUAAGGAAGAAAUGAAGAAAAAAAAAGUGCAGUAUAUUACGUAGAAAAAACGCUAAGUAAAACCAAUUGUUUCUUAUAAAAUGAGAGAAAAUUUUAAAUAAUAGGCUAUAAGCUAUUAUAUAUAUCCUAUAAAAUGAAGUUUUUCCGAAUAUUUGUGAUAAAAUCUGAACCUCUUACUGCAACUAUGUAACUUUCUCAUAUACAGAAAAAAGGAAAAGCUAGAAAAACGCAGAGAGAGAAAACAUCACAUGCGUUAACUGGUUUUUAAAGUAAGUGAGACCGAGACUUAUUGUAUGAUUGUUUCUUUUUUUAUUUUCCACAAUUAUUAUAAAUCUCCUUAUAGUUGAAUUUAUGUUUGUGGAUGGUCUUGCUGACUUACCUUAUAUUGCUUGAAAUUUUGGACAGAGCCUUCGAAUCCUUGCUUAAGCCCAAGUAAUUUCGGGCAACCGGCAAUACUUAAGUAGCAAUCAUUUGGCAAUUCAGUGGUCGAUACAUUUUCCAACAAUGGGCAGUCAUUAAGGUAUAAGAACUUGAAAAACUCCAACUUGUCGAGGCCCUCGACAAUUCGUAGGUUAGGGUUGUACUCUAUGCACAAGCGCUCAAGGUUCUUUAAUUCUGACAAACCACCAAGACUUUGUAAAUGAUUACCAUAAACUGUCAAGUCUUGCAACGAUUCUGACGUACCAACAACUUGAAUACCGAGUAUCUUAUCGCAAAACCCUAUGCACAGUCCCCACAACUUAUUGAAGACUCUUGAUGCAAGGACUAGUGAAGAUUCAUGGGAAGAUUUCCAAUGUCUGUCAACGUACACGAACCUUCUGAAGGACUCACAUUCACUGAUAUCCAAAUUGCGCAACGAUUCCAGCACCCCAGCGAUGUGGAUCUCAUCUAAUUUUGGGCAGCACGCCACGUUGACCUCUUCUAGCUUCGUCAUGCUAGAUAGCAUGAAUCUCUCGAGGGAUCCACAGCAAAAAAUUAGAAGCUCCAUUAAAUUUGGAAGCUAAAGCCCAUCGAGUAUUAUCUCUUGUAUUUGAGAGCGAUAGAGCCUUAAAUUUGACAAAUUCUCUAAGUGGGAGGAGAGAAACGUGGUUGAAUUAAUAUUAUCAAGGGUUAGCUUUAAUAGAGAAGAGGGAAGUUGCUUGAGGGGUUGCAAGUUCAAUCCACACAAACGGAGUUUGUCAAGCCGAGUAAGAGAAGCCAACUCAGUGGGAGCAGGGGCAUGGAGGAGACACAAGCUUAAUUUUUUUAGUUUGGAUAACCCCCUGAUCCACUCUAAAUCACCAGUAUAAGUUUUAUCUUGUUCGUCAAUUUUGGAGCCGUCACUUAGUUUCAACCUAACUAAAUUAGUCAAGUUUGAAAGGUCCGGCAACUCUCGAAUUUCAUCAAACCCUUCUAACUCUAGUAUUUGAAGCCGCAGAAGCAAGCCAAUUUCAGAAGGGAGUUGACUUUUCAAAUUUCCUUCAACUUGAAGCGCUUUCAGAUUCUCAAACUUUCCAAACUCCAUUGGAAGUGCAAUUGAAAGCUGCAACUCCCGUAAUGAUUUCCACUUAAAUAUGAAAUCCGGUAAUUCCUUCAUUGGACGACAAGAUUGUAAAGAGAAGUGCUCUAGAUUCCGUAGGUCCCCAAUUUUUUCAGGCAAACCUUCAAGGCGAUUGCAAAGAUCAAACUUUAAAUCUUUUAGAUACUUUAACUUCCCAAUAGAGCCAUCAAUCUUCGUUAAGCCGUCGCAAGCCAAAAAAGUCAGCCUCUCUAAUUUUGAGCAUUCAGAUAGGUCUGGUGUUCUGGUUAUGCCAUGACAAUUACCAAGACUAAGAACUUUCAAUUUUAUUGCCCCCUGUAAAAAGUGAAUGCAUUAUCUAAUGGAAGAGCAGUUCAAACGUUCAUUUAAGGACAAAGAAAGGAAAUAAGCAUAUGACGCACCUCUAUUAACUGCAAUAAUUUCUGAUCGUCUAUACUGGGAAUGCUUGAAAAUUCAAGGACAACCACAUUCUUUAAGCACAUAUUGGUCAGCUCCCACUGUAAAGAUGAAGAAUGACACAAAUAAAUCCAUUUUAGUUUGGGAAAACAAUUUAUUAGAUUAAGGAACCUUAGUUCUUUAAACCUUCCAAUCUCUUCACUUUUGAUACUUGUGUGAGUUACUUCCAUCGCUUGAACUUUCUUCAUCUGCAAAUGAGAACAAGAAAGGAGUAGCAUUCAGCAUUCCAUUUUAUUGAGGAAAAGUAUUAAAACCAAGAAGCAAAAAGAGAAUCUAUAAGUUCUCUCGUUAAGUAUCCCACCUCUUUUGUCGCCAUUGUAGUGAGGACUUCAUCAUCAAUCCAUAACCUACUAGGCCCUUCAGGAUUCGUUCGAUAUUCUUGACGAACAAUUUCCCUUCCAAGAUCUCGAAGUUGAUCGUGCAUCAAAAACUCAUUGUCAUUUCCAAUCUUUAUCAAGGACUUGUUUUUGAGGAUCUCAAUUCCACAGAUUGAGGAAAAACCACAAUCUGUCCACAUAUAAAUUGGGUUUGUCAUUAUAUCACCAAUGAAAAAGCAUGCAAUAUCCAGAAAAAUUUGUUGCUGCCCAGGAGUCAAUGCAUUAUAGCUAAUCCUCAACUUUUCGAAAACACCCUCUGGAGGUGCUUUGCGUAAAUCGUCCAAUGUUUCUUUCCAUAGGUCUUGUGUUCCAUGGGUCACAAGUGAACCAAUUACUGCAAUAGUCAAAGGAAGGCUUCCAGUAGCCGAUACAAUUUCCUUUGAAAUAUCAUCGCGAUCAUCUGGAGGAGAGUCCUUGUUAAAUGCAUGUCUGCUGAAGAGCUGAAGCGCAUGAUCACUACUCAUCACCUUCAUUUCAUAAGGUAAUAUACUGCACUUCAGUUGAGAGCCUUGCAAAACAUUCUUGUUUCUAGUAGUAAUCAGUACUCUAGACCCUGAACAAAAAUCACCUUUUCCAACUAAUUUCUCCCCUUGUUCAUCGUUAUCAACAUCAUCCAGCACAAUGAGGACCUUCUUAUUGUGAAGUCUUCCUUUGAUCAUCUCCAUUAGACGUUCAGUUUCGUCAAUACUUCCUAUUCCUGCGGCAUUUCCUAUUUCAGACAAUAAUUUCUUUUGCAAUUUAACCAAACCAUCAGCUCUUGACGAAUUUUCUCGAACAUUUUCAAGGAAGCAGCAACACUUUCCAAAGUGGGUCAAAAGUUCAUUGAACACGACCUUGGCGAGAGUCGUUUUACCGAUACCCCCCAUGCCAUGAAUUUGAAUGAGCCGCACACCUCCAGAGUGUAUGUCUAACAGAUUUAUUACUUCUAUCACUCGAUCAUUGAUUCCAAUUAAAUGUUCAGUCACGGACUUUUGCUUUAUCUUCAACUUAACCACAACCUCCUCAACGACCAACUUGAUUAGUUUGGCCCAGCUGUCAUGAAGGAAAACCAUUUCAAUAGCAGAAAAUUGCGAAAAAAAAGAAAAAGAAAAGAAAAACAAUCUAGUAAUUAAAUUUCAUUCAUAAUACAAUUCCACUGGAGUUCAAAAGAAUCUUAAAUUUUUCAUUUGUUUCCUACCAGUUGAUGUUACUCAAUUGCAUCUACUUAACUGCACAAUAAUUCCAUAACUAAUGGGACAUCAACAAUCAAGAUGUGCCUUCUCAAAUUUCGUAUUGAAUGUAAGGUUUCUUAGCUAUCGCUUUCGAUAACCUAACAUUUGUCAUUUGAUAUGUUGCGCAAACCUUACGUGUACUUGAUCUUGUAAAGUUCCCAAAUAACACCAAGCAUGCAUAACACAAACAUUUGACGAGAUAGAUGGAAUCGAUCCCGAAGGACUUCGGAUUUGAUUUUUCUAGCUAAUACUAUAACCAUAAAAAAUAUGAAUCUACAUCACUUUCAAACGUGCUUCUCAUGCACAUUGCUAGGUGCCACGUGUCGCAUUGUCUCUUGACACCUGAAAAAUGACUUGAUCCCAACGUGAUUAGCAAUUUUCGAAUUCUGUUAAUCUUGUUUGUGCAAGAUAAAUGUACAACUAUUUAUGCAUCAUGAAUUAGCAUCUUAUCAGUUAUAUUCAUAGGACAACCUUAGAAGUGGGAUAUUAUAUGUUCAGGAGGAGAAAUAUCUGAUGUAUCGAUUGAAAGAUCAAAUUAUUAGACAGAACAUGCAUGAUACUCAAUUAUUCCACUUCAUCACCCAUUAUAUAAAAUGCCUUUAUUCCAGCAGUUCCACAUUUUUUUUACACACAUACCGUUUAGUAUCACUAGGGGAAGUUCCACCUGAUUUGUGGUGAUAUAUCUACGUUAUUAAGUUUUGAGUAAAAGUUCUAGAAGCAUUAGAAUUUCACCAAGAGUUGCUUACUAAAUGACAGAGGUGAAAAAUGAAACAAAAUUUAUAUAGACCAUCAACGAAAGGAAAAAAAUGAGCUUUCGUUUCUAUUUUCAGUUCUUCAUUAAAAAAAGACAUAUGAUAGCACUUCUAGUGAAAUCAAGAACACUAACAAUUUUAGUAGCUCUAGCAUGAAUUUUUAUGUUUCUUGAAUUCUCUCCUCCUACCCACAUAUAAUAUGUUCCUUCUAUCUGUGAAUUAUUUACUUAGUUUUUGCAAACAGGAAAAAAUAUUAGGGAAAAAGAAGGAUCUUGGAAUGCAGCAAGCUCACCUAUCACAUUUCUUGACUUCCCAUCCCUUUAUUGCAUCAACCUCCGUCAAAGCCUUCCUCCAGGAAUCUACUUCUUCAAUGCUCAAGUUAUCCUCGCCCUGCAAAAUGAGAAUGGCAUCGCAAUAUAACUGGGUUUUCAUCUUAACAUCUUUGGGUUCCACAUCGAAGAAAAUAGGUAGGAUCUCUUUAUUCCCGUUUGACUUGGAGGUGUUCUCCAUAAUCUGCGUGAGUUCACGGAGACACCAUUUGCUCGAAGCAUAAGUUGGAGAGAAGAUGGGGAUGUAGAUCCUAGAGUUGUCGAUCGCUCUCUGGAGCGCUCCGUUGAUUCUUUCACCAACAUGGAGGUUUUCACUGUCUCGAAAGACGUGGAUACCAGUAUCAGCCAAGCUGUGGUAGAGGAAGUCGGUAAAAUUAUUACGAGUGUCGGGUCCUCUGAAGUUCAAGAACACUUGAUGCUCGCAUUCUGAUGAUGCUUCUGCCUCUGAGCUCUCCAUGUUAACUUUAGCUUUAGUAGCUCUCUUCCCUCGUAUGUGAACAAGAGAAGCCUUUGCCCUUGGCUGACUGAAGGUUUCAACCACGAACAUAUGGCGUGAAUAUAUCAGAGUGAGAUUACCAACAUAUAAAUUCAGUUACAGAAUAACAACAAAACUAAAGUCAAGUAUUUAGAUAACCGUGUUAUAUUCAAACUCUCAAUGAUUCAUAUCAUUGUAAGUCAACGUUAGAAAUGCUAUAUAGCAUUGCUUUUGCCAACUACUUUUCUCCAACUCACGAAAUUCUAGGAANNNNNNNNNNNNNNNNNNNNNNNNNNNNNNNNNNNNNNNNNNNNNNNNNNNNNNNNNNNNNNNNNNNNNNNNNNNNNNNNNNNNNNNNNNNNNNNNNNNNUUUGAUAGGUGUGUUAUAUGCAUUUUCUAAGCAAGGAAUAUACCUUCUUCAAUCUUGCCAAUUUUAAAAACACCACUAUGCACCCAAAAAAAAAAAAAUCUUAAAAACACUAUUCAAAUAUUUUAAAAGAUUGUGAAACAUUAUACGUGAAUUUAGGAAACUGGAAAAGACCAACAAUCAACGAACUCGCUCCGCAAGACUUAAGAAAACCAAAAACUCAAAGAGUAAAAAUUAGAAGUCAAUUCAAACAUAUAUAAAAAAAAAAAAAAUUGUAUAACAAUUACUAUUAUGAAAUCAAAUACUAAGUCACGGGUUCUUCUAAAAAACUUAAAUUUUUGGAACGGUUUGAGAUUAGCCCGCGAUUUUUUCAUAAAUCCACUUGUCUAUUCUUGUUAAGAAGCUGAUCGGGGAGACUUUUUGUCCAAUUUCACAGGAAGGAACGCGACAAAAAUACAUAUGGGUAUUUCAGUCCCAAGGACCAGAUCCGGCCUCGAUUGUGGACAACGCACUCAUUUUGAGCAAGGAUUUCAUCAAACCGAACACUUCAGGGAAAAUUCAGAAUAAGUCGGCAAAGAAUCAUACCGUAUCAGUGGUCGCUGCCGGGAAACGGCUUGGUCGGAGGGCUCGGUUGCCGGAGUCGCUCGGAACGACCGGGGGACGUUGAUCCCUGGGUUUGCGAAGAAGGUCUCGGCCUCCUCUGCUCUGGACACGGAUAAACCAGCCCUCAAAGAAGUGUCUGUCGGUGCUGUUGCGUGGAAAGGAAGCUCGAAGACUUUUUCCUAGCGAUCUGAGCGUGACUUCAAGCUAAUAUAUACAGUGCAUAUCGGACUGGUCUAAGCCCAUGGGCCCUUCGGUGUUUAUUUUAGGAAUCCAAAGGAGUUUCAAUUUUGCUUGAACAUAUUUUAAGGUAAAGUCACCAAAAAUCCUAAAUUAUGCCUCUUCUCACACACAUUUUAAGAAUUACACAGCAAGGAAACCCUGAGAAGGACAAUAAUGCAAUCAAAAAGGAUAAAAAGGAAAAUAAUGCAAUCGAAAAGGGUGAAAAGAAACAGCAAGGAAACCUCACAUGUGCAUAUUUUAUGGAAGCAAAGCAAGGGUCGGCAAAAAGUGGAAGGGACGCAUGAAGUUUCUAAAACAUGCCAAGCCACUUUAUAGAAACUAGGUCGGAAGGUGCCUUUGCUUUUCCUAAGAUAAAUAAGUAUAAACAAAAACAAACCUGCCCUUUGGGUAAAGCACAUAAAAUUCUCUUGGAGGCUUGUCCCAUUUUUCAACUCUAACUAUUAGAAAGGGCAUCCGGAAAACACAAACAUAAUUCAAGAAGGUGGCUCAUAUUUGGCAUAUAUCUUUGUGCGUGCAUAUAAUUUAGGCAGUGGGAUUAUAUCAUGAAUCCUGAAAUUGGUUGAAUACUCUUAAAUAAUAAAUACUCAAUAUCAAUACAAAACAACAUACAACAUGUUUUGUAUAUAUCUCCAUGCGUGCAUAGAAUUUUGAUUCACGUUUAGCACUUUACAUUUUCUGGUACAAGUUGAUCUCUUUGAAAGGGGCUAAAAUGAUGACAUAUAUAUGUGCAAACAUUCUAGAAUCUUCAAAAGAGAGGAAGAAAGAAAAUAGUCAAAAACUAUAUCUUCAGGAGGAACAAGCUCAGCUCGUGAUUGCUCCCUUUAGUUGGUCUACAUCUGUGAUUGAAGGUAAAAUCUCUUAUUUUCCAUAAGCUUAUUGAAUCAACACAGUAUUCUAAAAAAUAAAGCUAUCUGAUUCAGUAUUUUAUAGGUCUGUGCUAAGUGCAAUGUUAAAGGAGGUUGAAGGACAAAAAUAAAGGAAGUGCAGGCUCUGCUGAUGUCAUGGCCAUUAAAAGUAGGGGUAGGGCCGCUGUUUCCGAACUCUCAAACGACUCUCAUGGACGGUCCCACUCUCCACAAAUUUCUUUUUUUCUCUAGUUUUUGUCUCCUUUUGUUUUAGUUUUUCUCUGAUUUUUUAAUAAUUUCUCUAGUCUUUCUUUGCCGCAUUAGCACCAAUGCAGAAAGAAAUUACAAAGCGCCAUGUCAAAUUUUGGAAUCCACGUAAGCAAAUCGGGUUAUGAGCUUGUCGAAAGAAUUAAAUUGCACUCAACAAAAAAUGUUUAGGACUUAAUUGCAUAAAUUCAAAAUUUAGGACUUGAUUGCAUAUUCGGCCAAACAUUGGGGACUUUUGGUGUAAUUUUCAUUUAUAAGAACUUAAAAUGAGAAUUGGCAUAGUGGAUAGCAGAUAUUCUUAUGAGAUAAGAACAAAUAAGUGUUACUUAAAUAAAAAUUCAUAGUUUGAUUCCCAUCCUACACUAAUCUCUCCCACUUAGAAAAGCUAUGCUAUUUACCGGUUUUCCAACGCAUCUCUUAUCUUGAUUUGGCUAUCUUUCCACAACUGUAGAAUAAACUGGUAGAUUAGCGGCAAAAAUAGCAUAUUGUGAGGAUAGAUUUUCACGCUAACAAGCGCAAGGAGAGCGAAAACGCGUGGAGUGGGGUCGCUGUGUUCCAGCCAUGCUUGUGUAAUGAACACAUGAAGUUUCAACUCUAUAUCAUUGAAUUGGUUGGAUGCAUAGAGAAUCAAAUAUUCAAUAACAAAAAAAAAAACACAAAACUUCUUUUUGUAUAUAUCUUCGUGCGUGCAAAUAAUUUGCUUCAUGUUUAGCUCUCUCCAUUUCAUUUUUUAGUAUAAGCUAAGCCAACAGAUCAUAAAAUAUUAAUGAAAUAUACAACUUACAGUUUAAUGUAGCUGAGCCUCACGAUAAAGGAAAUAAAAAUGUCUAAGUCAUACAAACUCAUCAUCUGUUUAAAAAUAGGACUUGCGUGUAAACCAAUUUGGUGGAAAAUUUCAAUGCUAUAUAAUCAAUUUUUUUGCCUCUCAUACCAAAUUAUUCGAGACAAUAAGGAGAAGAAGUGAAGCAGAAGCAGAAAGGGGAUGCCAAGAUCAACAUUUGACAAUAAAGAAGAGAAAGAAACAAUUCAUGAAAUUCAUUGAUGCUCUCAAAAAAAAAAAAAUUAGACACUCACAAUCAAACAACAAUAUAUAUAUCCAUGCGUGCAUAUAAUUUGGUUCAAAUUUAGCUCUAUCCAUUUUCCGGUAUAAGCUAAUCUAUUUGAAAGGAGAUAAAAUGCCGACUAUAUACAUGUAUAAAUAUUUUAGAUUUAGAGAGAGCGAGUAGUCAAAAAUUACAUCUUUAAGAGGAACAAGCCUAACUCGUGAUUCCUCCCUUCAAUCAGUUUACAUCCCCGAUCGGAGGUAAAAUAUUACAUUUUUCAUAAGCCCAUUGAAUCGACAUAACCUUCUGAAAUCAAGAUAUAUGAUUUAAUAUUUUAUAGGUUUGUGCCAACUAAAAUGAAUAAGAGGAAGAAGACAGAAAAAGAAGUAUUGACUCUUCUCAUGGACAUUAUAGUGGGGGCAAUUAUGCCGUCUCCGAACCCUCUAACAGCCCUCACGGAGGGUUCCACUCUCUAUGACUUUCAGUUUUAUCUAGUCUUUGUAUUUUUUUUUUUUAAAGUUUUUCUCCUAAUUUUUAAUUUUUAACAUUUUUGAAUUUUCCUGACGUGGGGCCAUAGUAGUGCCACAUCAAAGCCAUGUAUAUUAAAAGAAAUUACAAAAUGCCAAGUCGGAUUUUAGCAUCCAUGUUAGCAAAUUUGAUCAUGAGUUUGCCAGUAGGAUUAUAUUGCACUCUAUGAAAACUGUGUGGGAUUUGAUUGCAUAAAUUAAAUAUUUAGGACUUGAUUGCAUAUUCAAUCAAAUAUCUGAACUUUUGGUGUUUCACUUAUAAGAGCCUAAAAUGAUAAUUUAGUAUGAUAAGAAAAUUUCACUUAUAAGUACCAGCUAGUAAGAUAACAAUUCUAGUUUGUUUCACAUCUUAUAUCAAUCUCGCCCACUGAGAAGAACUUUACUAUUGACGAGUUUUCCAAUGCAUCUCUUUUCUUGAUUUGCCCUAUCCUACCCUAGCUUUAGAAUAAUAAACUUGUAGAUUAGCAGUUAAAAUAGCACAUUGGUUGCAAGGAUAAAUUUUCACACCGACGAGUGGUUGGCCCAAAAUCUAAAUGGUACAAUAUGCGUUCUUGGUUGUAGUGCUCCAUCUGUUAAGCGAGAUUGACACUUUUCUCGGUGAUUUUUGACUCACUAACGCUUGCAAAACUUCCGAACCAAAAAAAAAAAAAAAAAAACUCUUGCAAAACUUGAACACGCACCCAUUUCUUUAACUUUUGUUCAUCAUAAUCUCACUAAAAUCAUGUACAGANNNNNNNNNNNNNNNNNNNNNNNNNNNNNNNNNNNNNNNNNNNNNNNNNNNNNNNNNNNNNNNNNNNNNNNNNNNNNNNNNNNNNNNNNNNNNNNNNNNNNNNNNNNNNNNNNNNNNNNNNNNNNNNNNNNNNNNNNNNNNNNNNNNNNNNNNNNNNNNNNNNNNNNNNNNNNNNNNNNNNNNNNNNNNNNNNNNNNNNNNNNNNNNNNNNNNNNNNNNNNNNNNNNNNNNNNNNNNNNNNNNNNNNNNNNNNNNNNNNNNNNNNNNNNNNNNNNNNNNNNNNNNNNNNNNNNNNNNNNNNNNNNNNNNNNNNNNNNNNNNNNNNNNNNNNNNNNNNNNNNNNNNNNNNNNNNNNNNNNNNNNNNNNNNNNNNNNNNNNNNNNNNNNNNNNNNNNNNNNNNNNNNNNNUGCUUUUGGCUCUAAUAUUAAAUAAUGCAGGACGAAGAUUGUUCUAAUACCAAUUGAUGAAGAACAUAACUAGAAUGGAAGAGAAUAGAAUAUAGGAGAGAACAUAAAAAUCAAUUUAGUUUUAUAUUUAAUCAGUCUCUUGUUUUAAUUGUGAUCACAAAGCUAUCUUUUGGAGGAUAUUGGGUAUCAUAUAUGUCUCCCGUCCAUGAUUGUCCAUGUUUAAAUCUAUUAUGUUGAUAGACAAGUUUCCCUAAGCUCAAAUUAGUACAAGGCGAUUUAAAAUUGUGCAGGGUUAGCAAGCCGCCAUCAAGGCAGACACUACCACUAGCAUCAGCCGAAUGGGACUGCCUAUUAGUCCAUGCCAAAGUUUUAUCCCCCUCAAAACAAGAUCAAAUUGGAUCCAUUUGAGAGAUGGCACAGUUUUUACACAUACAAUUAAAACGCAAUAGUGAAGUUACGGUGGAAUCCCAACAGAGAAGUGAAUCAUCCAAAAAGACUUGAAAUGCAAGGGAUAAAAUAAUGCCAAUUUCUUUGGCUGUAAAAGUAAUAAUAGGCCACUUUAGUCAAGCCAUGUCCAAGUAAUGAACCCACGAAGCUUUCAUUCAACUCCUCGCGAAAGCCCCAUGUAAACGCACGGAAAGUGAAAUGGGUGGCUCGACUCCAUUAUAUGUUGGAAGAAGCAAAAAAAUUUCAAUUUUUGUCAAUUUAGUCCUAAACUUUCAUACGAAUUUCUCAUAUAGUCGUUUUGAUAAUUUUUUCCUAAUAAUUGCCCUACGUUGGCAUUUUCAAACGAGGUGCGCACUUCCUUUUUUCAUCAGGGACAAGUUUAACCUUGUCACUCAUUGACCUCCAUACACCUUGCUAUCAAAAGAGUUGGCGCCGAUCAAAAUAAAGUUUCUUAUAACAUUAAAAUCCUCCUUAUCCUAAACAUUGUCAAUUCCAACCUCUCAUCCACCUUUUGACUAAAUAGAAUGAGCUUGGAAUUUUAUAUGCUCUUUUACAUCAAAUUACCUUCAAGGGGUGAUUCUUGCCCUUGUAUGCCAUAAACGUUUUUCCUUUUCUUUUUCCGUUCCUCCAAAACAUGUGUCCCUUUAAACUAUAAGCAACUAAAUUGCCUUGAAAGGGGUGAUUCUUGUUCUUGUACACCCUAUACAUUUUUCCUUUAUUUUUCCACUCCUCUAGAACCACGUGUCCCUUUAAAAUAGAAUCAACUAAUUUUACUUGUCAAUUUCUAGAUACAUACAUCUAGUGGGAAAAUUGAUCUACAUCUAAAAUUGAUCUUUCAAAUUCAAAGAUCCAUCUAAAAUAGAGAAGCUUCAUCACAUACAACCUUCUCAUCAAAAGCGCCUAUCCCUCAUGAUCUUCAUCAUUGAGAUGAUUGUUUCAAAAGCCUUUGGUGUCAAAAUUGUUUCAAAAGCCUUUGGUGUCAAAAUACUUCUUUCAACGAUGCUUUGACAUCAAAUGACACAAUGUAAUCGAAGUAACACUAGAUCACACUAACUUGCCCAUAGGACAAGGUUGCAACACACUUGAAGAGGCACAAGUAUCAAUUUUAAUGUCACUAUGCAAAGAGUUUUUGUGAAUGAUGGUAUAACCGUAAUACUUGAACCUUAGAGAUGUUAUAACUUCAAAUAAGUAGAUUGCAAAAAGGCGAUGAAAUCUAAUAAGCAAUGUUGAUACCUGAAUUUUGUGGUCCGCUCAAGUAUCCAUUUUUUGCCUAAAAAAUAAAAAAAAAUAUUAAAUAAAAAUUACCCAAAAAAGAAAGGAUAUAAAAAAUCGAGCGGGUCUGUUUUGCCUAGCCCACUUAACAAAAUCUUCGGCCCUCUACGCCAAGGCGUCCAACCCAUUUCCCUUAAUCCCCUCGGCCCAUCUUUUACUUCUUUUUUAAAUCUAUUUCUUUCAUAGCCCAUCAGAACUAAAAAAGGCCAGCCCAAAUGUCUUACUUUUUGUUUUCUUCAAAGCCCAUUAGAAUUAAAAGAAAAAAGAAGAUAAAAGAGGCCCAGCCCAAUGUCACUUCUUCCCCUUGGUUUGCACGAACCAGCAUCCGUGAGGAGAGAGAGGAAAGAGUGACGCGCGGGUGAGGAGAAAAGAUCAGGAUCGCGCGAGCGUCCGUGAGCAAGGAAGCGUGAGAAGCCGUGACGUGACCAAGUCCGAACCUUCUAGAAUCCAUGAGCUGGCAAGGGCGUAACAGAAAGAUUCCUCAAGCGAGCGCAACGUGAGGGAGGAAGAGAAGGCUCGGCCGAGGCAUAUCGGAGGGCGAGAGGAGAGAGACGCAAAGUGGGGGAGUGACCGAGAACCCGAUCGCCGUAGCCCGCCGAUGGUUUCCGAAGCUCCGGUCAAGGGUCGGUUCGUCAGCCAGCCUUUACCCAUUCGGCGGUCUUUCUGCAGACGAGAAGGAGCCCAAUUAGUCGCUCCUCGCCGUCGCCGAUCGAGAUCUUGACUCACUGAAAAGACAGGUGGGGGGGCCUUCUUCCCGAAGCUCCUGUUUUAUCCCUGUUUUUUGGCCGGCAAUUUCUUGUCCGAGUCGAUGUAACUUUUUGAUCGAGAUCUUGACAAACCAAAGAAAGUUUAGGAUGAUUCAUGGUGUGUUGAAGGUUGAUGAAUCGGGGUUGGACUAACGAAUGUUGUAAAUCUAAGUCUGAAGCUCGUGUCCUUCAAUGCGUGCCAGGUGUUCGACGUAUUGCCUGAAUGAAAUAUGUAAUACUCAAGAGCACCGAACUCGAGAAAGAAAGUUUCAAGGGAACCGUGAUAAUCUAAGACUGGGUUGACAUAAAAUAUGAUGUUUCAGGCUUUUAUACAUCGUUUUUGACACGAAAAUUGCCUCGAAUAUCUCUCUGGAACACAUCCUUUAGAUUGCACAUCAGUCGCUCGACAAAUGCUUGAGAGAAGACCGAAACUCAUUCAUUGUUGAAUCUUAUGAUCGAUUUUCUUUUGCUUCUGUAUAACUUGAAUCUGGCCUAAUAUUAGUGCUUCCUCUGUAUUUUUACGCAUGUGAUGAAAAAUCUGUGUUCGAGUUCAACAAGCAUACAUAUACUCAAGCCCGCUCUCUGGCGAAGUUUGUGAUUCAAAGCCAUCCAGUCAGUUUGUCUCUUCGAUUUAGAGUGCACUAGUGAUUAUAUGCUUGCUGGAAAGGCUAGGAUGGAAGAAAUUAAUCUCGUGUGUAUAUUUUCCGUUAACUGUUGUGGUCGCCAAGUAAGUGGCCAGAGUUGGUGGCCGUCGGUCGGGUUAGGUGACCGUCGGUAGGUGUUGGUUCAGUGGUGAUGUGUGUGCCAGCGACGAUGCGUAUAGAGGUUGAUUCGUCGCCGAUAAUUCUGGUUCGGUCAAGUCGCAGAAGGAAAAGAGAUUCGGGGAAGAAGAAGGCGCAAGGUUGAAGAAGAAGGCGUAAGGGUAAAAAGACAAAACAGGGAAGAAGACAAAAGGGAGAGAAUAAAAUAAAUUAAGAAAAUCAUUAAAAAAUUAAAAUUUCGAAAAAAUUUUCGUUUUUUAAUCCAACCAGGUAGGAUUAGGGGUGAGCAGCGGUUUAGGGUCGAUCCUGGACCAACCCUGGACCGGCCCAACCCUGCUGGUCCUGGUCCGGUUUUCAAGGGGACUGGGUCGGUCCUUGGUCCUAAAAUUCCCGGACCAAUACUGUGCGGGUUGGUCAUCGGUCCUAAGAAUUUUGGGUCGGUCCAACCCUGGACCAACCCUGUAUAUUAUAUUAUAUUAUUUAUAAUUCUUUUAUAUAUUCAAACCUAAGUAAAAUGUCUAUUAUAUUAUAUUAUAUUGAAAUGUUCUAUCAAUAGCACUAAUAAUAAUUUCAAUUUAAAACUUUUGUUAAGUAUUAAUUAUGUGUCGUUUGUUUUGUUUUCAAGUGUUUAGAAGUUCAAGUGAAUUAACAAGAUGUGAAGUUAUAUAUUCAUGGUUUAUAUUAAGUAUUUUGAACUUUUUAUGAUUUAAUUGUAUUUUACUAAUGAAUUCCAGCUGCACUUUGCUUUUUAAUUUGUGUCAAAUGGUAGAAGUUUUUGAAGAGUAGAGUAGUACUGCAGUUGCUACGGUGAUUUGCUAGUCAAGUGAUGUGAAGCUCAUUUUUUGGUUGAGUAGACUCUAUAUGAUCAAAUGUUAGUUAAGUGGUGCGAAGCUCAUUUUUUGGUUGAGUGGACUCUACAUGAUUAGGAAGACGCUUUUGCAUAUGGUGUUAUAAAUAUUAAAGAUAGAUGAUUACAAGAACUUUCCAUCUUGUCCCAUAUCUCGAUGAGCGGUUAGCGGAUACAAAAUUUAUAUUAUUGUGUCAUCUUAAAUUUGCUAAAUAUGUAUUGAUAUUUUAUAGUUUAGUUGCACAAUACGGUAUUGUUGAUGGAUGUGUAAUUUGAAUUUGUAGGUUUGCUUUUUUAGGAAGUAUAAAAAAUAAGACGAAAAAAAUUAUCGAUCGGUCCCGGGUUGAUCCUGGAACCGGACCGAACCCAUUGGGUCGGUCCGGUCCUUGGUCCUAGGCUUAAUAGGGUCGGUCCUCAGUCCUAAAAAUUGAGGACCGACACUGUACGGGUUGGUCCUAGGGUUAGGGGGUGGCCCGGACCAACCCGGACCAUGCUCACCCUUAGGUAGGAUUCGGUUGACGGGUCAGGCCAACUGGUCGGAUCGGGUAAACGGUCCGAACCUGUUCCCCUAAUAUAAUAAUAAUAAUAAAUUUUAAAUUUUAAAAUUUUAAAAAUCAAAAAUUAAAAAUUAGAAAAUGAUAAAAAAAGUUUUAAAAAUUUUGGAAAUAAUAAAAAAAUUAGAAAUUUUACAAAAUCAUUAAAAAAUUAAAAAAUCCGAAAAAGUAGUUAAAAAUAAAUAAAAAAAAUAAUUGAAAAUAUAAAUUAACUAAGAUUUUAAAAAUUUUAAAAACUGAAAAACCCUUAGAAACCCAACCCUAAAAUUGGAUAAGCCCUUAGGGUCUUACAUUUUUUUUUUUGUUUUUGUUUUGUAUUCUCUUGUUUUCAUUUGUAGGAACGAUAUUAGAAUGCUUGUGUGCUUUCUUUCAUGAUUAUAAUUGAUUACAACUCUCAAUAUAUGGAUGUUACUUUCUUGUUUUUGAAUGGUUAAGAUGAACCUUAGAUUUUUUUUUUUUUUUUUUUUUUUAUAGACUGCUAUGGUGUCAGUUAGCACGCUAUUAAAUUAGGUAUCAAAAGGGCGUUAGCCUUAGCGCUAAAGUAAUCAAGUACCCAAAGUUUAGAAUCUCUAGCUGCAUAAAUAGUAAGAUAUUCUCCCAUAUCUUAUUGGUUUUUAAUUGAUCGCAAAAGAGCUAGUGGUGACUCUUUAAUCAAAAUUCGCAUAGGCUUAAUUGAUGAAAAAUGUGAACACUCGAUAUCGUGCGAGGUAUGGGUUUAGGCGAGCCCGAGUCAAUAGAAGGCCAUUGGACUGAUAUUGACAAUGCCCCUAAACCAAAUAGUCUUGCUCACGAGGGGUUAGGUCGCGACAAGCUAAAUUUUAAUCUUAGUAGAAAAACUUGAUUUAAUAAAUUCACUUAAUAUAUUAAAAUGCAUUGCCUGAAAUUGUAAAUGUCAUGAAAAGCACUAUAUUUCCCUUCAUAUUUGACUAGUGAAAAUUUCCUCUAACCAUGCGUAUGAAAAUUUCAAGUUAUGUAUCAUGCGAAUUGAAUUAGUGCAAACCUAUACAUAAAAGUAUGUGAUGUGCAUGUUUGUCAACAUAGCCCUCCCUUUAGUAGGUGCAUGGUAUAUGAGCGGACUAGGGCCAUACCUAGUAUAAUGAGGGUGGGGUGUGAUUGUUAGGGUGAGAAACCUUGAACAAUUUGCAUAUCCUAAAGGACUUCAAGGAUGGCAAAAGUAACAAUGAUGGAUCAGGCCACACAUUGAAUGGAGGAAGUAUCACCUGGGGGACAAUCAACACUGAUGAGGACAUUGGUGAUUUAAGUUGAUGAGUUGGUAACAUCUAGAGUCGUACAUUGGAUGGGUGAGGCAUUAUAAUGUUAUUAAAAUGAAAGAAAAAUAUUACUUUAUUUUUCAAUUUUUUUUAUGAGGGUUAGAAAUAGAGUUCAAGCUUCACAUUGUAAUUUAGUUUUCAAAUAAUCAAUAUUUGAGUUUGAUUGAGUUUAAUCUCGAACACACAUGCUAUAUAGAAUUCAGCUCGAGCAUGGGAUUGAGAAACUGAGUUUUGUCAUACAAUCUAAUAUCAAACUAUCAACAUCAAGUUAAACUUUGCGUCAAAAAACUACUUCAAAUGAAUUUAUAGCUUGAUUGUGCCUUUAUAGCAUUUUUUUUAUAUAAUUAUAAUGAUGUACCUUAUCUUAGGCACUUUUAGUGCAUUGAUCCACUAAAUGAUAUGCUACUUCACCCCUCGCAUGCCAACAAGAGUGACGCUAGUGGUCUUCAAAUCUUCACAAGCCUCUAGGCCGCAUGUGGUUGUCCGGACAUUUUUGCCGGAUAGGAUAAUGUCGGAUAUGAUAAGGAUAUGAUAUAAUUAAAUAUCCAAUCCAAUGUUUGUUGACAUUUGGAUAUAAUAUGAAUUCAAAUAAAUAUUAUCCAAAUAAAUAUCUAAUUUACAGAACUAAAACUAAAAAUAAACUAGGGAAAUAAAACAACCUCUCUUCCUCAUGAAGCAAAGGAGGAGGCCGAAAGCGCUCAACUCAACUUUCCACAAAGGAAAGAAAAGGCAGAACUUUGCCGGAAAGUGAGGCAAAUUGAAAUCUCUUUAUCGGAGAUAGCCAAUCAUGUGGAUCUUCAAUGAAUAAAUGAACUCGAGAAAAAACCCAACUUUGCACUUUGCCAGAGAUGUCAAGUUACAGGGUCGAUCAUUUAAGGAUGAUAUUGUCAAAUCUGGGUCUUUAGCGUGUGUUGAACAGAGGAGAGAGCACGGAAUGCUAUUUGGAGAGAUAAAGGGGAUGGGGGCAGUUUUUUUUAGAGAUUAUUGAAAUAAUCUUAGGCAACGCUUGAGCUUUUUGCCUGUUCCUUUCUAUUCAUCCCUGCUUUUCUCAUUCUAUAUCUAUGCAGGCAACCACGAAGGGUGGCUUGGCCAUGGACGGUCAACAACUGCGAGCUGCCACGACUAAUAUGGUGGCUCGACCAUGGACCCUGGCUCUAGAUCUCACCUCAUCGAUCACAAACUAGUGGUGUCACUGACUAGAUCUGGUCGGCUCUGUCUUCCCAAGGCCGCCACGACUUUGGCCAGAUCUAAAGGAGAGGGGAGGAAGAGAGAAAUUUUAUUUUUCAAAUUUCACAUAUCCUAUUCAGGUAGAGGGUGGGAUUUUUUUAUCCGAACUAUAUUUGGGCUAUAUCUAGUGAUAUCCGGAUUUCGCGUCACUCCAAACACUAGAUAGGAUAAAAAUGAUCAUAUCCGGAGAAUUAUCCGGUCUACCAAAUGCAACCCUAGAGUCUAAAACAUGGACAAGUCCGGUAAGAGCUUAAUUCCUGAAAAAUAAAAUUACAAUCAAUCUAUUGAGAAAGUUUAAGAAAAGGAAUAGCAUGAUCAAAUUAUGCAGUCAAAUCAAUUAGUAAUCCAUAUGAACUAAUGUUUACCAUGUUUAAUUUAUUUGCCAAUGUACACUACAUACAAGAGAUUAGACUAAGAUGUUCUAAAUUCCUAAACUAGAUAUUGACAAAAGUCAAAUAUGUAGGUUAACUGCGUUUAUGAGAAAAGACCUAUACAUAAGAUGAAACAAUAUCAUGUAAAAAUAUAUAGUAAAUCUUGCGGGAUUCGCAUAGUGAUUAAAGAAAGGAAUUGUGUGUGUGGAUUGAGCACAUCAUGAGAGUUCAAUUUUCCACACCAGCAAAUUUAGACAAUUUUAUACCCUACCUGGUCCAUGAGAUUAGUAAUAUAUGUCAUGGGCUUGACCUUUUAGCCGCUUAAGAUAUAAGCUUCUAGGUGAGAGAAAUAACUUAUUACCCGAAAAUGAAAAGAUUAGUUAAUCAAGUAGAUAAAGCCUUCCCUCCUCCUUUCCCCCCCUUUGUAUCUAGCAUAGUUAUGGAAGCAGGUUGAUGAAAUUUCGUCUAUGUGAUUUUGCGUACGUGUGAAUACAUUUUGUGUUUUUAGGUAUAUCACAACUUUGAUGAAAACUGGUUUGUUCCCAAUCUAGCUAAAUUAAUAAUUUUUUCAUGGACACAAUCAACUAAACUAUAGAAGAAAUUAAAAUCAAGACUCAACCUCAACAUCAAAAGUUAAAUAAGUAGCGGAAAUUGACUCUAUACUCUACUGGAAAUGAAACCUUCACGACUUAAAGACUGAAUGCCUGGAAGAUCGACUAAUUCAUUUCCUAUUUGAAGUGGCUUUAAAUCAAACUGUAAAAGGUAGGGGAGCACACAGAAAUACAUCAUCCACCAAUUAAAUAAGUACUUUAGGUGCUUCUAGAGCACAAAUCCUGCUCGGCCGACACCAACCACACGCAAAAUUCAAGGAACACUCAAUUUUAUCAAGGACAUAAGUCACUUGAUUUGUAGUUGUGUUCUUGAAACACCUCCCCUAGCAAUAUUUUUUUUUUUCAAUUGUGUAUCGAGUAUUUGACUUUUUUAAUAUUGAAAAAAGUGUACUAGAAAUCCUAAAAUUUAUUGUAAAAGUGCAAUUAAGAAAAAAUACAACUAAGUCCUAAAAUUUGUCAAUUUGAUGUAAUCAAGUUUCUCUAUUAAUUUUGUCCAAUUUAGUUGAUGGAAAAUGCUGACAUGGCUUCUUUUCUUCUUCUUUUUUCAUUUCUCUCUCUUACUGGCAUAGAGCUUAAAAGAAAAGGUCCGUGUGCAAAAACGUCGUUGUUUAAGAUUCAGCCCAAAUUUCCAAGCCAUAAUUGAGUUUUCCUUCUCAAGUUUUGUUUACUUCUUCAUCCGUCUUUCGUCCAGAGUGUCCAUAUUAUUCGUGGAGUUCGCUUCUUAAUUGUCGAUCCUCCUGUUCUUUGUCCAAGUGUCCUUCUUCUUCUUCGUCGAGUCCCCAAAUUUCCUCUUCAAUCGAACGUGACGAGGUCGAGUCAUCGCACAGGAGCUUGAUGAGCCAACAACGACGUCGAGUCCUCUUCGUCCAAGCCGUUAUAAGCCACUACAUCGACCUUAAUCCCCUUUCUUGGAUUCUUCUUUCGUUCUCAUGGAGCUACGGAAACUCAUUUGAGGUGUUUUCUCUUGGGGAUUAUUAAAUAUGUCUGAAGUUUGAGAGUGAAGUCAAUGUUACAGCAGGUGGCUGCAUCUAUUUGAAAUACCGUGAAUUAUGUUUAGACAUAUUCUCAUGGUUUAUUCUAAUUGUCAGAUACUAAAUGGAAGGCAGUUGUUUUGUGGCUCAACAGCCAAAGCAGAAGCAAAAGAAGGGUAGAGCACAAAAAGCGUGCUCAAUUCUGUGAUUGAGACUUGGUGUAAGCAAAAGUAGCAAGCUUUUCCGACCUGCCUAUAUCUCCUUUCCUUCUUUGUUCAUCCUACUGGCAAGCGGCUGCUGUUCUUCGGUCAUUCCUGGUCUCAAAUAACAAGACUCGGUCUGAGUGAGGGUUUGAACUUUUGAGAGCUUUUUCUUUAGGAUUUUGUCACGGGCUGAGAGUUUCCUUGGCCUUGGAACGACCCGCGGGCGUUUGGCGAGCAUAAUUCGCCAGGCCAGCCUUGAUUCGUGUAGCUAUUCCAGUGAACGAUACGGUGAAUGCUUUUUCGUGCGAGAUCCUACCACGCCCAGCGUCACUCGGGCGUCUAGUCCAUCGAGUGAGACAUUAGAUAUCUUUUAGGCACAACAAUUGGUUUCGGCCUACCAUGGCCUCGUCAGGAGAGCGGUAUCAGCUCCCGACCAAUUUGUGCAAGGGAGGCCUACCCCGUCUUUAGAGCUCCUAAGUGAUAUAAUCCUUCUAUCCUAGAACUCCUAGUACCAAUUGUUCUGAUGCCACUCUCACGGACCAGUUGUGUUUUAGCCUUCCACCUCCUCACUCUUCACUCGAUAACCCCUAGUGCCACUCACAAGUGUCACGAGAACGGGAGAAUUCACGGACCGUGAAAAUUCCGUGUUGGGUUUCGCUUGGAGGAGUUUAAGUUUGUUUAUUCGAGGCUUUGCCUCUCUUAUUGUGGCCAUUUUCUGUUACAUUUACGAUCUUAUCAGAUAUUCUUGUGACCAUUCGCCUGCAGUGAAUCAAGAUAAUAGACGAACAUUUUAAUUGAGUUGCGAUCUCUUACUAAGAAUUGUUAAUACUUCCUGUCUUUGUGAUUUAUAUCCAUGGGAAACACAAGACGCAUGGUCAUUCGUGUGGGUUCAUGCGCAAUACAGAUAAGCUCUGAAUUAGAAGAGAAGGUUGAAAAAUUACGCAAUGGUGAUGAGCUACGUUCUAAUUCAGAGACUGAAAUUGAGUAGUCUCAAGAAGAGACUACAGAUGUGAAUGCAUCAGGUAAGACCUACUUACAUAUAUAGCGUGUAAUUUUUCAUCAUAAUAUACUAAAAUGGUCCGAUUAUUGAUCUGGUUUGAUAAUAUUAGAUCCAUCUUUCAGUAUUUAGAAUUUCUUGUCUAAUAGCUACCACCAGAAAAGGGAAGCAUAGCUUUACAUGUCUAUCAAGUGUAUACAGUCUUUCUCGCGGGAAAUACAUCAUUGUCAAGGUAGGGAAGAAAAUGCAACCUAUUGGAGGUUUAGGGAGUUUCUCGGAACCAUUGCUUGCAAGUUGGCACCAUUGUUUACAACUUGAAAGCAAAUUACCAAGGAUAUGAGAAACAGUAUGAUUGGGAUUGUAGAGGUAGGUAGCUUGUUGUGGCAUGAAAUUCCAUUCAUGUUUUAAAUAAAUUUAACAUCAUUAUUAAUAUUUCCUUUCCGUCUAAGCAUGAUUAUCUUCGUACCAGCUACAGAAAAAUGGAUUCCACAAUCCUAAAUGUAGGUAUUGGAAAAGUGAUUUAAAAGCUGCUCGCUAUGAUAGCUCUCAAUCAUUCUCAUAUCAUUUGAAGAAUCUAUUGGAGAGAGUGAGAGAGAUCAAUGCACAAUUCUCAUCACUUUUUGGAGUUCAAAGGAAAGGAAGGGAAGGUGCGGAUCUUGUUAUGGGAUUGUUUUAAUUGACCUGUCAACAUUAAAUGGACUUUCAUUACCUGUUCAUGACUACUUUGUGAUAACCUUUCUAUUUUUCAUCUUUUUCAUUGCAAAAGCUGAUUGGUGCAAAUAAGGCUAACGAAGCAAAACAAAAGAUACAACACACCUUAGAGAGUGAAAAUUCGGCUAGAAUAACAACAGAAAAGGUACUCUCAUGUUUACUUAAAUUUUUGUGUUCCUUAUAAGUGAUAUUUCCAUUGUGUAAAUCAAUAAUCUUGCUUUAGAAAAGAUUAUGCUAAGGUGAUAUAUUUUUGGACCUAAGGUAAAGAUGUCUAGAGAUAUUUGCCACUUUUCCAACAAUAUGCAUGUUUUGAACAGCAAUUGUCAUAGGAAGAUAACAUAGAAUGUGUUCUAGCAUUGCCUCCUUAAGAUUGUCUAUGUUAUCAGCACCUGCAUUAAUAUCUUGUUAUUCCCAUAGCUUUGUGAUUUGGGUUUGCUAGUGACAGCACAAUAAUCUAUAACUUGGUGGGGUUUAUCUAGCACACAUAGUCCACCAUCAUUAACAAAAGAGCUAUACAGCAGUUAGAGCUGUAAAGUAAAUUUGAGAUGAUGAAACUUGUACAAUUUUCUAUUAAUUUGUGAACCUGACUGCAGUUUGGUUUAAUGAGAGAUAUUGCAAAACAAAAAAGUACUGCAGCCUUGGAGUGUGACAUAUUGAAAUUCGACCUCAUUUCGAUAAAGUGAAAUGGACAUUUCAUCGACAUACUUAUGGUCCUUUUUCUCUGAGCUGAUCACUCACGAAUUAACUAACUUAUUGGAUGAAGCCAUUAAGGGAUGUAUCCGCGGUAAAAUCCAUAAAAGCUACCUAAUUAGUUGGACUGGGCUAAAAUCACGUUUGAUCGAUUCUAACCAUGAAAUUUAAUUUGGUUUCGGGAAUCGAAUAUUUGAGCGUGUCACAAUUCAUUUUUAGGAUCCUAUCUCAUCGUCCGUCAAAUUAUUGACGCGUCCGAAAUUUCGGGAAAGAAAUUAUCGGAGGAAAAAUUGAAGACCGGAAGAAAUUAAAAAGAGAAAGGAGAAAUAAUAGAAGUAAUUUGAAUAGUAAAUUUUUUACUAUUUGAUUACUUUUUUAUUUUCUUUUUCUCUCCCUUUCUUUUUCUCUCUUUUCCCUUCCCCCCUUCGUGCGCACUCCCCCUCCCCACUGACCGAAUGCCCCUUGCCAAUUUCAAAUUGGCUUCUCUCUCUCCUUUUUACUUUUGACUAGUCAAAAAGCCUUCAUCUUAUCUCUUCUUUCUUUCUUCUUCUUCUCUCUCCUCUCUCUUCUCCCCCACUCCCCCACGUGACCGAAUCCCCUCCUUCCUCCUUCUUCGUGCAAACCAGCGAACCAGGAAGAGGAAGACAGCAGCUCGCCGAAGCCCAUCGCCGCCGCACCGGAGCUGGACCUCCACCCACGCGACGCCCGCCCGCGCACGCCGCGCGCUCCACCGCUUCCCGCCCGUGCCUGCCGUCCUCGCCGUGCGCCGUCCAGCCCCGUUCAGCCUCUGCUCAGCCCUUGUUCCGCCCCGUCCGGCCAUCUCCGGCCACCGUUCGAAGCCGCCGGACCUCCACCGGUCCUCCCCCACACCUUGCCGCCCUUGUUGAAGUGAUUUGUGGCUGUUUUGUGUUCUUUUUCAGUGCGCGCAGCCACCCCACCGAGUGGGUUUCCAGCCCCCUUCAGUCUCACUUUUGGGCGGUUUCCGGGCCCCGAAACCGAGCCGUGCGUUGGGGUUUAUUGUUCCUCGUGUCGUCCCUGUCGGAUUGGUACAUUUUGCGCUUAAUUCCGAUGAGUAAUCUCACUAAUUCCUGCUUAGUUUGUUAAUUAUGCUUAGGGGUUGGUUAGGUUUAAUUAAAUGCAAUUAGGUGGUUAGAUUAGAAUAGAUUAGUGAUUAUUAGAUAAAUGUGAUGCAUAUUAGACAAUUUGAUUGUGUAAUUAGCAAGUAGACGUAGUCUACUAUUUAUUGAAAGCAUCUCAGGAUUUUUCCCGACCUUUAGCGGGCUUCAAUUAGGCAAUUCGGGCAUAAAUUGGAUUUUUAGUAAUUAAUUAUUAAUCUUCGAAAUUAAUUAAUUAAUUAUUUAUUUUCCGAAAUUUAACCCGGGAUGGCCGUGACCGGGAAUUUAUGCUGGUGAUUGUGGUGAAGUCCGUUUAUUUAAUUGGGCUUUAUUUGAGCUAAAUUGAAUUUUUAAUAUAAUUAAUUAUUUUCCGAAAUUAAGGUUGAGAUGACCGAUGACUGGAAUUUCGUGCUGAUUGUCGUGGUGCAAUCCGUUUAUUUAUUUGAGCUCUACGUUGCAUGGAAUUAAAUUAAUUGUGAUAUUUUAUCAAUUUAUCUUAAAUUGAUGGAAAUUGAGUGAAAUUGAAUGAUUGAUUGGUAGAUGGCCGAGUAUGUUUAUUUAAUAUUUAUAAUGCUUUGUUGAGUUGUAAAGUGGAUGGAAUCAUGAGAGUGAAUUGGAAAUACUCUAGGCUAUAACCGAUUAGGUACGAUGUGAUGGACCUACGUGGUUCGGUGACUAAGGACGUCACUGGCGAAAAUGGCGCCUUAAAGAACGCACAUAUUGGUCUAGUACUCACAUCGUCAUAGGCAUGUGUGGUUCGGUGAUUAAGGACAUCACUGGCAAAAACAGCGCCUUAAAGAACGCACGCAAUUGUCUAUUGAACACAUCGUUGUAGGCAUGUGUGGUUCGGUGAUUUGGGAUAUCAUUGGUGAAAACGACGCCUUAAAGAACGCAUGCAAUUGUCUAGUGGAUACGUCACCUUGGCGAAGUUGACGCCCGAGAGCAUUAAGAUGGCUCUGUGACUUAGAGUGUUAUUGAAGGUUUCAUGGUAUGAGAUGAAUGACCUAGUGAGGGUUCGAUUGACAUGUAAUCGAUUAAGUCGAUUGAACUGUGAUUUGGCUGAUUGUUCAUUGAGAUAUAUGAAGCAUCUGUAUAUAACCUUGAAUUACAGGUUGGGACUGAUGCCAAAGUACGUCUUCUGACCUAUGCGUGUUUAGGUAGCCUAUAGUAUAAUGGUUUACUAAUCGGGUCUUAGUGGGGUAGAACUUGUUGAGAAGCAGUCUCAUCUUGGUUGUGGGACAACAUUUCAGGCCCGUAAAUGAACAUGAGGAGAAGGAAUCGGAGAAGGAGAACAUUGAAGUGAAACUUGAGGAGGGGAAAGAUUUUUGAAGAAGAAGAUGAUCCAAGAAGGGAUCCUGAGUACGAUCGGAUGAGGACUGAGGUCCCAUCUUCUUUUGGGAAUCCUGUUUUGAUGUGAAUAGAGUGAAAUUAGAAAGCCGUGAAUAGUUUGUGAAAUACUUUGAGUUAUGUUCUGUAUAAAAGUAUGGUUGUGAAUUUCAAUAUAAAAAAUAUGACUUUACUUUUCUAUCCCAUUGUUUUAUUGUCUAGGGAUUAUAACUGCUUCCGCAUGUGCUUAAUAAAAGAAAGGGUUGGCGAUACAUAGUUCUGAGAUAUCGCAUUAUAAAAUUGACCAAGAGAGAAGGAUGUGUGCGUGCCCGAGGAUCGGGGCGUGACAUGGAGUACCCAAGUACUAGCUGUGCCACCGCACACAUCCCCAUAAUUGUUGAAAAGUUAUUCAAUAUAGUUCAUCUAGUGUCAACAAAUGUUAUGCGGUCUUGGCAAUGACAAUAUUGUUGUUACAAUGUAUUAGGAAUUUAUAUAGUUAUCUGUGUAGAAGACGAAUGAAUCAAGAAAAGAGGGCAAGCUGGAAUAAAUAGGCUAAAAUUAAAACCUAAAAUCUAACUUCCUAGUGUGUGUUUUCAUAUGGUUUUGGUCGAUAAAGUCAUAUAACAAAUCAGCAAGGAACAACUAUAGUUAGGAAGAAUGUGAUUACUUUCUCAAUUUGAUAUCUCUGGACAUAUUUUCCUGUUUCAUAGUAAAGUGCGAGAUAUUGAAUGUCUUCUUGAUAUGGUUCAUUUAGUUAUGCUGACUAAACCAAGUUCUAGCACAUGAUAGGAAGUAGAGUUAAGAAUCAAAGGCAAUCAUAAGUAUUUAAGACUUCAGCUUAAUAAAUAGUAACAUCAUUGGUUUAUAAGGUUUUUAUGUUACUAAAUUGCACGGAAGUAUGAAUGAUCUCAUGGAGGUAUAUUUGGAACUUGGACAGAGCGAUAACCCCUUGAAAUAGUGUUUCUCUAGUGUUGGGAAAAUAGAAACCUAGAUGGUCUGAUGUUAGAGCAUAACCCAUGCUCAAAUGAUUUGGGGCCUCCAAAUCUAGUUUUCUUCUAACCAAUAACUUAAGGUCAAAGAAAGCAAAGAACGAAGAGAUUCACAAGUUGAAGGAAUCUAGUUGUCUUCCAACCGAGAACUUAAGGUCAGAGAAUGAGAAAGAUGAAGAGAUUCACAAGGUGAAGGAGAUACUGAAAGCAACAAAGAGAAAUUACAAAAGACAAAUGGAGAUGUACAAGAGUUACAGGCUCAAAAAGCUGCUACUAUUAUACAAAAUUGUCUACAUGCGGUGGACUUGAAGUGGUCUCACAAGAUUUGGACAAGGUAAGUAUGUCAUGAGCCAUGAGGUGUGACUAAUUUCAUUGAAUGUUACAGUAGUGAAAGGUGUUUUAUUUACUAAAUACUGAGUGAUCUUAAUAUUGGACACUAUGGUGGUUUUAAAGGGAAUAUAGGUGGAUGGACUUGAAACAUAAGUAUGGUAUCGGGAUCGCUUCAAUGGAGCUUGGAAGUGGAAUAAAAAUUUAGCAUAUUGUUACUAUGUUUUAUCUUUUUGCUCUAACUAAAUCAUGUUUUGGGUUCACUUCUCUUGCAUUAUGCCUUGUCCUUUUUGUUCAUUUUGAAGUAUACAAGUGAUUGCCCUUAUUAGUCACUGCUUGCUAUUUCUUUCCAUGUUUCCAGAUAGUCACUGUUGAGCUCUCUUUUCCUUCUCUGUAUAGAUCCGGGAGUGUUAUAGCAUCUUUUCUAUUGAAGAGAAGGUGAAAUGUUGCCUGUUUUGGCACUUGAGAGUGGAUGAGGGACAAAGUCAAAUACUUGGAAAUAGUCUCUGUUGAUGUAUGGGUUUAUUAGAUUACCUAAAACCAUAUGCUGAUAACCUUACUCUAUAUUUUUUGCCCUCAAUGCAAUUCUUCUUCUUCUUGCUCUUAAGGUUGGGCUUCUAUUUUCAUAAUCGAACUUCUCAACUUUACUGUGUUGCAGCAAUGAUUUUGAUUUACUUAAUCAAAGAUUGUCCGCACAGGCCGAUGGGAUCUCAAUUGCCGCCGCCGCCACCAAUGGGACAGAACAGAGGAAACAUGCUACAGGAUGCAUUGCAGACAAGGCACUAUUAGGAUGGCAAAAGGGGCAGGAAUGAAUCGAGGUAUGCAUCGAACAUGAAGGAUAGUGAUCUCGGAAUAAUUUUAUUUGAGUGGCGCAACGGAAAUAUGUUUAAGCUUGUAGAACUUCAAUUUAUUGAAAUGGAGUCGUAGAAAGGAGAAUCGCUGGCUAGAGUUGUACUUGAAUAUUUUGCCUAUGUAUAACUUUAAUGUCAUAUAUAAAAAGGUUUGACUCAAUGAGCAUCUUGUUGUAAUGAAUUGUGUGUUCAAGGAGUAUCUGGAUCAGUUUAUGAUCGUUUUCAUUGACAAUAUCCUAGUGUACUCGAGAAGUCCAGAGGAGCACGAAAGACAGUUGAGGAUAGUACUUCAGACUCUGUGAGAUCAUGGAUUGUACGCUAAGUUCAGUAAGUGUGAGUUUUGGUUAACUCGUGUGGCUUUCCUAGGUCACGUGAUUUCAAGCGAAGGAAUCUCCGUGGACUCGACUAAGAUUGAAGCAAUUAUCAACUGGCUAAGACCAACGACAGUGAUAGAAAUCAGAAGCUUUUUGGGAUUGGCAAGUUACUAUAGAAGGUUCGUUGAAGGAUUUUCAACAUUAGCCUUACCUUUGACUUGACUGUUGAAGAAGGAAGAGAAGUUCGCAUGGACAGAUAAGUGUGAGCAUAGUUCCCAAGAGCUUAAGCAGAAGCUGAUUACCUCACUAACGUUGACAAUUCCAUCUAGACUUGAAGGAUACGAGAUCUAUAGUGAUGUGUCAUUUAGAGGACUGGGUUGUGUGUUAAUGUAGCAUGGUAGAGUCAUUGCAUACGCAUCCCAUCAGUUGAGACCUCAUGAGCUGAAUUACCCAACGCAUGACUUAGAACUCGCAGCGAUUAUUUUCGCCCUGAAGAUUUGGAGACAUUAUUUAUGCGGAGAAAGGUUCCAGAUCUUUACAGAUCAUCAAAGUCUCAAGUAUUUAUUCUCUAAGAAGAAGUUGAAUAUGAGACAGUGUCGCUGAAUGGAACUUCUCAAGGACUAUGAUUGCAACAUCCUAUAACACCCUGGAAAGGCUAAUAAGGUAGCAGAUGCGUUGAGUCGGAAGUCUUCGAUUGUGCAGAUGAUGAUUAAGGAAUGGAUCAUACUCGAGAGAACUCGAGAUUCGGUCUUCAAAUUUGAGGUAGGCCACCUUUCAAAUCUUAUGGCCACCCUCAUAAUUGAACCAGAAGUGUAGAUAAGAAUCAAGACGUUACAGUUGACAAACGCAGAGAUCCAGAAGAUUCUGCAAGAGGAUAUAGACAAGAGAAAAGCUGAUUUUCAUAUUUUUGAAGACGGAAUGUUGAAGUUUCGUGGACGAUUGUGUGUACCUGACGAUGUAGAGCUUAAGGAAGAGAUUUUAUCAUAAGCUCAUCAUAGCAGUUACAGCAUUCAUCUAGGCAAUACGAAGAUAUCAGAAUCUGUGUUAACACUAUUGGUAGACCGGUAUGAAAGCGGAUAUCGCCAAGCAUGUCACCAAAUGUCUUAUGUCUCAACAAAUGAAGGCACAGCACUAUAAACCGGGCAACCUCUCAAGAUUCCCGAGUGGAAGUGGAAACACAUCACAAUGGACUUUGUGAUUGAGUUGUGGUUGACAAAUUGACGAAGUCUGCUCACUUCAUCGCUGUACGAAAGGACUAUGCAUUGGACAGAUAUGCAAAAUUGUACAUGCAUCAAAUUGUUCGUCUUCAUGGAGUGCUAGUGACGAUUACAUCUGAUAGUGACCCGAAGUUUACGGCAGCCUUUUGGAAAAUUUUACUGACUACCUUAGGAACAAAGCUGUAGUACGGUACGACCUAUCAUCCGCAGACAGAUGGCCAGUCUAAGAGGACAAUUUAGACCCUCGAAGAUAUGUUGAGAGCUUGCAUGCUAGACUUCAAAGGAAGCUAGAAGGAACGGCUUCAUCUCGUCGAGUUUGCCUACAACAACAGUUAUCAGCAGAGUAUUUAGAUAGCACCUUUUGAGGCGUUGUAUGGCAAAGUGUGCAAAACUCUAGAGCGGAAGAUUAUAGACCCAAAGUUGGUUUAACAGUCAGUAGAUGCAGUUACAGUUAUUAGAGACAGAUUAAAGACAGCUCAGAGUCGCCAGAAAAGCUAUGCCUAUAAGCGUCGAAGACCAUUGGAAUUCCAAGUUGAUGAACACGUCUUUUUGAAAGUGUCACCAAUAAGGGGUACUCCGGCAAGAAAAGGAAGUUGAGUCCGAGGUACGUAGGUCUCUUUGAGAUUCUGGAGAGAAUAAGGACUCUGACAUAUCGUCUUGCAUUGUCGUCGAGACUGGCGCAAGUGCAUGAUGUCUUCUACGUGUCGAUGUUAAGAAAGUAUGAGCCUGACCCAACCCACGUGCUGAAUUUUGAAGAAUUAGACGUGGAUGACAAAGUGUCAUACGCGGAGAGAGUAGUUCAAAUUAUGGAUCGGAAGGAGCAGGUUCUGCGCACCAAGACGAUCCCAUUAGUUAAAGAGGUCUAGCAACACCAUGGGACAGAAGGAGCAACCUGGGAAAGUGAAGACUCGAUGAGACGACGAUACUCUAACCUUUUUGUUUAAGAUUUGUAAUGGUUUAAAUUUCGAGGACGAAAUUUUUAUAAAAGGGGAAGAAUUGUGAUAUCCUGAUUUUCAGCCCUAUCUUUGAUGAAAAGAAAUGGGCUUUUCAUUGACACGCCUAUGACAUUUUUCUCUAAGUUGGCCACUCACGAGAUAACUAAUCUAUCAGGUGAAGCCUUAAGGAAUCUAAACGCAAUAGACUUGAGAAUUCGAUAAGAAAUCGACUGCUUGACCGUGCUAAUCUGUAAGGGUCAAUACAUCACCGUCAAAAUCGACCAGAGAUCAAAGAUAGGUCGUUUCAAUCGAGACAUGUAAUUGAAGUGUAGGUGAUUCCACCUAAUUGCAAAAUUCUUGUCGAAUGGCGCUACACCGAUUUUUCUAUUAUUUAUGUACCCUGUGCCCGUAUUUAAAAUCUCAAGAUUUUCACGACAACCGAGAGUCACUUAUGAGUCGAAUAUGUACAAUGUGGCUUGAAAAUAAUCGAUCACGGGUCAAAUGCACUAAAAAUUCCUAAAAGCUACCCGGUAGGUUAGGUCACGCUAAAAUCACGCAUAGUUAAAAUUAACUGCGAAAUUGAACCUGAUUUCAGAAAUUGAAAGUUCUGUCAUGUCACAAUUUAUUUUAGAAAUGUCGUCUCAUCCUUCGAAGAAUUUUUAGUGAGUCCGGAUUUUCGGCGAAAAAUCAAAAUUGGACAAUAUCGGACCGAGAAAUUAAGAGAGCCGUUUUUGUGUGGAUUUUUGGCGUUUGAGAUGGAUCAACUAGCAAGGAAAAUUUUGGAAAGUAGUGUGGGUAUCCUCCUUGGUAAGUUGGCCAUUAAUAGUCCAAUUGGAGAGGAUUUGAAUUGAAAUUGAAGAGGGAUGCACAAAAUUCGUAGCCAUGGGUGGUGUGCAACAUUUGGACCACCUUUGGUGGCUUCUUGGGGAAGUUUGAUGAAGGAAAAUGGGCUGGGGAUAGGGCUGAAGGUGGUGGGGGUAGCCACUUGAGUUCUUGGGAUAUUUGUGAAGACUUUUGAGGCUUUGUGGUCCCCCUCUAGUUACAGUAGCUCUUCUUCUUCCUCCUUGUGUCCCUUGAUCUCCAUCGUUGCUGUUUUGAGAGCCAAAGACCAGCAGAGGAUUAGCCAAGACUAGCCCGCACCCCCUUAUAGUCGCCACACACCGUCCAAGCGUCGCCCAAGCCCGCCAAAGCCAUUGACCGCGCCCGCGAGCUCGUCCGCACGUCCUCACAUCCUGCACGUCCAGGCUAUCAUUUGCCAUUCACCUGGCUACUGUCCGAAGCCGUCAAGCCGCCUCCGUCACCAUCCCGAAGCCCCUGAUGCAGGCUGGUCCCGCCGUCGUCGCCUGGCCACCCAGCUCCAUCCGCCAAGCCGUCGACCAGCUCUUUCGGCCAGCAAGCAAAACUGAAGCUUCAGCUUCCGGCUGAGACUUCAUGGGCCUUUUUCGGGCCUUUUAGGACCUCGUUGGGUGUCGUCGUAGGCUUGAGUCUCACUCACCUCUGCGUUGCCGUAAACUCACCGGCUCUCUAAUUCGGUGAGUUUACUUGCUAAACCUUAUUUAUUGGGUUAAUUAUGCUUAUGUGAUAAUUAGAUUAGACUAAGCUUGGUUUAGGUUGUUAAUUUAGUUUAAUUAGUGAUUUAGUUUGUUAAUUAGGCUUAUUAGGUGGUUAGAUUAGAUUAGUUAAGAGUUAAUUAGAUUGUAUUAUUUCACUAGUAUAGUGCAUUAUUUUUUUAGAUCCAAUUAGGUGGUUAGAUUAGCAUGUUUACCUUAAUUAGGUAUUUAUUAAAUUAAUUUGCAUUUAUUUAUUUAAUUUUGUAAUUUAUUUAAUUAUUUAAUAUUUUUCGAAAAUUAUAUUGGGAUAGCCGGUCGCCGGAAUGUUGUGUCGAUUGUCGUGGUGUAAUUAAUUUAUGCAAUUGAAUAAUAAUUUGUGCAAUUGUGUGGUGAUUGUGAUUUUUGAUUAAUUAUUUCAAUAUUGUGAAAUUUUUGUAUUUAAUUAGAAAAUACCGGGUGUUGGGUUUUGAUACCCGAAAAUGUUUUUAAGUACUAUAUUAAACAAUAUGACUUUUAAAAUGAAGAAUAUCAAUUUUUAAGGUUCGAUCUGACCGUGUACCCACAUACGAUUAUUUUACCAAGUGUUUUUAAUAUGAAGAAAAUAGGCCAAGUUCAUUAUUUUAAUUGAGACAUUUGAGUGCAAAGCACAAUGUCCUUGGCUAAGAUUGGAUAUAUAUGGAAUCACUAUGAGAACCCAUCAUGAGCUUUUGAGUUGGACGAUGCUCCUUUGGGAAUGCCCCAAGUCAACGGUUGCCAGUCGCAGUGGAGGCUGAAUUGAUGCUCCCAUAUGGAAUGCCGUCUAGAUAUAGACGUUGCUGUGCUCGAUGGUGCGAGAUGAAGACCGCUGACUGUUGAGUCGACCGUGACUGUUGGGUCGUAAUCAAUUGGGACGCAUGGAUGAUUGAAAUUAACGCUCCUAAUUAUGAAACAAAAUUGUGUGGCACGAAAUAGGACGUGUCAUAACAAUUUUGCCCUAUAAUCGAGACCCAUGUGAUUGAUUGAGAUAUGAGUAAGACGUUCGAAUUGAUGGGUCCAUUUAUUAUAUGCAUCCGGUAUAUGAAUUGUACUGACAUGCAAGGAGGUGGUGAGGCGAGGUGAGUCUUUAGGAUGUGUGAUUAGACUACCUCUAGGCGUAUUUCCUUCAUAAUCAAGGUUUAGGACGUGAACUCACUGAGAUAUUGUUUCACUCUGUCAUGGGUUUCAUCUUUUACAAGUCCUUAAAUGGAGGAGCGUCACGUGCGGUAUAGGGUUCCGCAGAUGAUGGAUUUUGAGCAUACUUUCAUUCCUAUUCCUGAGACUACCUUGACUUGGGAGUUAGUUGAGUCCGUGGUAUGGGUCGAUGAGGGCUUGCCUCAAUUGGUACCUCACCGAUUCAUAGCAUGGUUCAUUGACUUCCAUCGAGGUGGUUGGGAGGGUCCCUUACGGGGUUUCGAUGGGCCUCCCGUCAAGACUGGGGAGUGGGAGGUAGUGCAUGCUAUGGAUCUCAACACUCCUUAUGGUGUCGUGAUAGAUUCGGAGCCCCCGGAGGCCAUGGAUGAGGAGCCUAGUGACUAGAUGGUUUAGUGGCUCUUCUUUUUGGAGUGGACUCUUGUGUAUAGACUAGUUGUGUAUAAACUUAGUGUGUUUAUAUAAGUGUGUUUGGUUUGAUUUGGUUGUCUUGCUUUUCUAUCCCAUGUUGUUGUUGUUUGGGGAUUGUUUAUUUGCUUCUGCUUGUGCAUUAAAUGAAUGGGUCGGCGACGCGUCCUGGGACAUCACAGUUCUAUCGACCAUCGAGGGAUGCGCGCGUGUUCGAGGCUUAGGGCCUGACAAUAGCCAACUUGCUUGAAAGGAAUCAAGCAUUGUGCGGGUCAAGCUAAUCGAGGUGCCACAAGGUCGACGUGAGAUGACUUCUAGCUGAAAUCGAGGCUCAAAGGGCAAAGUAUAGAUGUUAAAAGGAGGAGUUCGCACAAGUGAAGAAAGAAAAUAUGAUAUAUUAAUUUAGUUGUUCUAUGUUGUGUCAUUGUGCUAGUUGUGUCUAAUGCGAGAUUUGAUAGGAAGUUUCUAAGCCUUCCAUAGUUUAUUGAGGUGAGUGUGCACAUUUGUAUUAGGUUGAAAUACUGAAAGUCCUACUUCCCUCAUCUUCAGUACACUUGUUGCCGCUUCAUGCUUCAAAGUUGCUUUACUACUUAAAAAAUAGAUAUUCUAAUGGAAACUUGUUGGUUGUUUGGCAAUCUGACAGAAAGCUUUCAUCGUUCUUACCAUUCUUAUUGGAGAACUUUUGAUUCAUUCUCAUUCUGUUACGAAAAAUCUAGUGAACUUAAUAGCUUUGGCCUCAUAUGUAGUCCAAUAUAUCCAUGAAUUGCCUGCUAGUCACCUGGUGUAAUUGGCACAUGCUAAUUUGGAUAGGUGCCCUAGAAGCGAGACAAUGAAAUGACAACGCCCUCGAGCAGGGAACAUUCCACCAUAAACAGUGAUUAAAAAUUUGACCCUAAAUGGUCAGAGCAUGAGGAAUGAAAUGAUCUCAUUGUUUACUUUUCCUCAGCCCAAUGGUUUAUCAGAGGUUUAAAUACUUGUGUACUUCUAGGAUAAAGACACUAACAUGUGAUUAUCAAUAACACUAAAAUAUCUCCGCAGAUUUGCCGACCGGUGGGAAAUACUCGUUCUUGUGCUGAAUAUAUUAGUUUCUUUCAACUCUUAUUGAAAUCAUUGAACGGGUGGACAUGUACAGCUUGGGAUUCUGCUUUGCUUUUGUAGGGUCCCUUGGCUCGGAAUCAUGGUCGUCGGUUUCCCAUCACUUUUGGGUGUGUGUCAGUCACAGGCCCUCAUCCACAUUAGAAAGCAAUUUCCAUAAUGCUAUGCCAUUUUGUAGGUCCAAUUCAAUGUAUCAAGUCACAUAUGCAAGCCGCCUUUGGGCUUUUUAGGUAGGUCCCAGUAUUUUUUUACCAGCCUCAUCGAUCAUAAUGCCGAAAUUUCGGGCGAUUGAUUCAGAUAUAGAAGUGUUCCUACUUGAAUGUCAAGUCUUUUAGAAGUCCGUGAUAUGUAUAAAGCAUGUCAUGAAUCAAAUAAAGAUGCGGAUUCAAAAUCUCAAAAAUUCGUUUGACCAUGAGUUUUUUCACACCAGAUGAUAUAAAUGACUGAAUGCAACCAAAACCCAAUAUGACUAUUUCAAGUUCAGCACUCUCAAAGCAUAAAUUAGAUGUACAAAAACCACUGGAAAUUUGAGAGAAACCCUUUUUCUCAAGACCAAUUUCUCUCAACACAGACAUGAAUUACGUCCAAUACAAAAAGCCACACCAACUGCCAAUGCAAUAACCAAAAGCAAAUCGUAGUGAAAGAACUAGCUGUACUCGGACACAAGCAGUGGCGUCCUGACGAGACGUGAUGUCGUGCCUCAUCUGCUUCACCAUCGCCUGUCUCUUGUUCCUCAGCAGCUUUAUAAUCACGAAAACCCCUCACCUCUUAUUUGCUAUUACCAGAACAUAGAGAAGAAAAAGCCCCCAAGUAAACCAUUUUCAAGUGGGGAAUUUCAUGUUGCGCACCUCACGAAUAGUGGCCAAGCUUUUGGUCUUUUCCUCCAUCUUCUUUGUCUUGAUCUCCUCCUCCUUGGCCCUGAAAGUGGACAGAGCCGACCUCGACAUCUCCUCGUCCUCUCUCAACAGCGACAUGCUGCUGCGGAAGCUCAAGCUCCCCGACGAGUUCUGCAGGAUCAGCUGCUGCUGCUGCUGCUGUUGUGCCGCCCUCUGCAUGCCCAACCAUCAAUCGGUCUGUUGAUGCAGCCACGCACACUCUUCCUCCUGCAAAAAUCGGAGACAUUAACAAACCCAUGGCAUCGUAUAUCACCAUUUUUGCGGCCUCACCAGAGGAAGGACACCUAAUUGCCACAUGUUGGCCCUACUCAAAUUUGAUUUGACAAAGAACUGACUAGACCAUUUUUAAGACUCAUAAACAAACACAUUUUAUCCAAGUUUUCAUUUCAUUGCCCGAAGGGCUCCAAACAACAAAUUUGGCAACAUGAAAAAAGAAAAACAAAUACCGUCUUCCCUAAGUCGCCAUCUAAUGCUGAUUAUUGUAACACUGAAAACGUGCCUUUUUCACCCAUAGCACAAAUGGUCCUGUACCGGUAAAAGCUUCAACACCUCAAACCAGAUUGUCCUUGAAAAUCGGCACUCCAAAAAUAGAUAGCACUUUGGAUCGUCAAAUUAUGUAGGCCAGUUCAAGCUCUAAAUUGAAAAUAUCCCAAAUACAAUAUUAAAGAAAUCACACAUUCAUUGGAUAUUCAUUGGACAUUUGGAGAUUCUGAGUGAACAAAUAGCGCUUUAAGCAAAGAUCACACAUUUAUUUUGACUCCCCAAUCCAAAAGAUGGAUUCAUAAUAAUUUGAAAUUGACUUUUCAGAAAAUUUCGAAGGGGCGGCAUGCAUGAUAAUCAAGCCAAGUCCCCAAUUAUUUUUUAGCAUGUUUCCAAAGCAGAGAACCGCAAAAUUGAGCAUUAAAUAUAGUUGCUCCGGCCUUAAUUAAUCCAAACAACAUCAUGUGAACAAUCCGUGCCUUUUUUUUUUUGGACGAUCCUAUCUUUUAUUUUGCUAAGACUAGUAAGAUCGCAAGAACUUCCUGUGUAUGUGCAUAUACUCAUUGACAUCACUCCCAAAUUUCAGACCUAUUCAAUCCGCAAGGGCAAACACCUCAAAUGAGUUCCCAUACCUCCAUCGGAAUGAAAGCAAAGUACAAGAAAAGGGAUUAAGCUCGAUGCAGUGGCUUUUAACACCUUCGUUCACACCGUCUGGCUCGAACGAAGAGGACCUGACGUCGCCGUCGACCUCAAGCUCUUGCACGAGGACUUGACGUCGUCGCAUUCAAUGGAGAAGAAAAAGGAGACUCAGACGAAGAACAGGAGGAUCGAUGAAUGAGAAGCGGACUCCACGAACAAGAAGCACGCUAUGGACGAGAAAGACAGAUGAAGAAGUGAGGAGAACUUGGGAAGAAAACUCAAUUAGGGCUUGGAAAUUUGGGGUGAACCUUAAAAGGACAGAUGUUUUCGCACGCAAACCUUUCCUUUUAAGUUUUAUGCCACAUAGAAGAGAGAAAUGAAUAAAAAAUGCAUAGACAGCAUUUUUCGUUAAUCAAAUUAGAUGAAAUUAAUGGAGGAAUUUGAUCGUACUUUAACAAGUUUUAUGACUCGAUUGCAAUUUUUAUAAAUCUUAAGACUAUUGCAUUUAUCCCUUUAAUGUUCUAUCUUCAUUGUAAAUAUCACAAAUCACGAAAGUCAUUGUCAUAGUACUGAUUGGUAUUAAGUAAGAAAUGGAAAAAAAAAAAAAGUUGCAGUAUAUUAGUUGAAAAGAUGCUAAGUAAAACCAUUUGUUUCUUAUAAAAUGAGAAUUUUUUUUAAAUAAUAAGCUCUAAGCUAUUCUCUCUCUCUCUCUCUCUCUCUCUAUAUUUCCUACAAUAUGAAGUGUUUCUAAAUAUUUGUGAUAAAAACUAAACUUCUCUAACUGCAACUACGUAACUUUCUCAUUCUCAUAUACAGAAAAAGAAGAAAAAAGAUGGAGAGAGAGAGUAUCGCAUGCGUCUACUGGUUUUUAAAGUAAGUGAGACCGAGUUUAAUUCAUGUUUGUAUGAUUGUUUUUUGAUUUUCCACAAUUAUUAUAAAUCUGCCUAUAGUUGUUCAUGUUUGUGGAUGGUUUUUCUGACUCACCUUAUAACGCUUGAAACUCUGGACGGAGCCUGUGAAUUCUUGCUUAACCCCAAGUAAUUUCGGGCAAUGGUAGAUAGAUAAACGGCAAUCAUUUGGCAAUUCGGUGGUUGAUACAUCAAUCAGACUUUCCAAUGAUCUGCAGUCAAUAAGUUUCAAUUCGUUCAAAAACUUUAACUUGUCAAGGCCCUCGACAAUCCGUAGCUCUGGGCUGGAAAAUAUUUUCAAAGACUUGAGGUUCUUUAAGUUUGACAAACCACCAAGACUUUGCAAAUGAUCACCAGAAAGUACCAAGUCUUCCAACGAUUCUGACAUACCAACAACUAGAAUGCUGAGUAUCUUAUCGCAAUUCUGUAGCAAGAGACGCCGCAACUUAUUGAAGACUUUCGAUUCAAGGAUCAGUGAAGAUUCAUGAGAAGAUUCUGAAUGUAUGUUGACGUACACGAACCUUCUGAAAGACUUACACUCACUGAUAUCCAAUUUUUUCAACGAUUCCAGCACCCCAGCAAUGUGGACCUCAUCUAAUUUUGGGCAGCCACUCACGCUGACCUCUUUUAGCUUCGUCAUGCUGGAUAGCAUGAAUCUCUCAAGGGGUUCACCUCCAUUAAUAUAAAGCUUCGUUAAAUCUGGAAGCUGAAGCCCAUCAAGUAUAAUCUCUUGCAUUUGAGAGCGAACGAGCCUUAAAUCCGACAAAUUCUUUAGGGUGGAGGAGAGAAAAGCGAUUGAAUUGAAAUUCUGAACAAUUAGAGUAGAGGGAACUUGCUCUAGGGGUUGCUGGUUCAAUCCAUACCACCGGAGUUCGUUAAUCUGAGGAAGGGAAGCCAACUCAGUGGAAGCAGGGACAUGGAGGAGACACAAGUUUAACAUUUCUGACCUCCCAUUCCCCCUCCAGUCACCAGUAUGAAUUCUAUCUCGUCCGUCAAUUUUGGAGCCAUUCUUUAGUCUCCAUUCAAUCAAAUCAGCCAAAUCAGAGUUUUCUUGGAAAACUGGAUCGAUGUCUCUGAAAACUGGCCAGACACUUUUGUAAAUUGGCAAAAGCUGCAAUGACUUAGAUGACACUAAUAAAUAGGUUAAACUUGUUGGGAGUGCUGGCAACUCUUGGAUUUCAUCACGCCCUUUUAACACCAGUUUUUGAAGCCGCUGAAGCAAACCAAUUUCAGAAGGAAGUGGACUUUUAGAAUUUCCUUUAAACAGAUGCAAUUUUAGAAUCUCAAACUUUCCGAUAGCACCUGGUAACUCCACUGGACCUAGAAUUGAAAGCUGCGACUCCCGUAAUGAUUUCCACUUAAAUAUGGAAUCUGGUAAUCCCCUUAUUUGACAACAAUCCCAUAAAGAGAAGUGCUCUAGAUCCCGUAGGUCCCCGAUUUUUUCAGUUAAACCUUCAAACCAAUGGCCAAAAUCAAACUUUAAGUAUUUCAGACGCUCUAACUUCCCAAUAGAGCCAUCAAUCUCUGUUAAACUGUCGCACUUCCUAAAAGUCAGCCUCUCCAAAGUUGAGCAUUCAGAUAAGUCUGGUGUUCUAGUUAUGCCAUGACAAUUAUCAAGCCUAAGAACUUUCAAUUUUCUUGCCUCCUGUAAAAAGUGAAUGCAUUAUCCAAUGGAGGAACAGUUCAAAUGUUGCUUUCAAGGAUAAAGAACAGAAAUAAGCAUAUGACGCACCUUUAUUAAGUUCCAUAAUUUCAGAUCAUCCAUACCAGCAAUGAAGGAAAAUUGAAGGACAACUACAUUCUUUAAGCACAUAUUGGUCAGCUCACACUCUAAAUCAGGAGCUUCCCAAUAAAUCCAUCUUAAAUUGGGAAAACAAUCCAUUAGAUCACCAACAAAGGUUCCUCCGCAAAGUUUAAGGAACCUUAGCUUUUUAAACCUUCCAAUCUCUUCACUUUUGAUAGAUACUCCUUUAUGACACAAGUUUAGUUCCAUUGCUUCAACGUUAUUCAUCUGCAAAUGAGAGCAAGAAACAAGUAGUAUUUAGCAUUCUAUUUUAUCAAGGAAAAGUAUUAAAACCAAGAAGAAAAAAGAGAAUCCAUCUGUUCUCUCAUAAGUGUUCCACCUCCUUUGUCUUUAUUGCAUCGAGGACUUCAUCCUCAAUCCAUAACCUACUACGCUGUUCAGGAUUCAUCAGACUUUCGUUACGAACAAUUCCCUUUCCGAAAUCUCUUAGCUGAUCGUGCAUCAAAAAUUGAUUGCCCUCUCCAAUCUUUAUCAAGGACUUGUUUUUGAGCACCUCAAUUCCAGAAAGUGGGAAAAGUCCACAAUCCUCCCACAUGUAAAUUGCGUUUGUCUUUUCCUCACCAAUGAAAAAGCAUGCAAUAUCCAGAAAAUUUUUUUGUUGCUCAGAACUCAAUGCAUCAUAGCUAACUUUCAACACUUCGAAAACACCUUGUGGAGGUAAUUUGCGUAACUCGUCCAAUUUUUCUUUCCAUAGUUCUUGUGUUUUAUAUUUCAGCAAUGAACCAACUACUGCAAUAGUCAAAGGAAGUCUUCCGCUAGCUUUUACAAUUUCCUUUGCAAUAGCAUAGUGAUCAUUUGAAGGAGAGUCCUUCUCAAACGCAUGUCUGUAGAGGAGCUCAAGCGCAUCAUCACCACUCAUCACCUUCAUUUCAUAAGGUAACACUUCGUACUUUGGUCUAGUGCUUUGCAAAAUAUCCUCAUUUCUAGUAGUAAUUAGUAUUCUAGACCCUGAACACAAAGCACCAUUUCCAACUAAUUUUUCCACUUGCUCAUUGUUAUCCACAUCAUCCAGCACAAUGAGGACCUUCUUAUUGCGAAGUGUUCCUUCGAUCCUCUUCAUUAGAUGUUCAGUUUCAUCGAUGCUUCCUAAUCCUAUGGCAUUUCCUAUUUCAGAUAAUAAUUUCCUUUGCAAUUUAACCAAACCAUCAGUUCUUGAUGAAUUUUCUCUAACAUUUUCAAGGAAGCAGCAACACUUUCCAAAGUGGGUAGAAAGUUCAUUGAACACGACCUUGGCAAGAGUCGUUUUACCGAUACCCCCCAUGCCAUGAAUUUGAAUGAGCCGCACACCUCCAGAGUGUAUGUCUAACAAAUUUCUUACUUCCACCACUCGAUCAUCAAUUCCAAUUAAAUGUUCAGUCACAGACUUUUGCUUUAUCUUCAACUUAAUUACAACCUCCUCGACGACCAACUUGAUUAGGUCAGCUUGGCUGUCAUGAAGGAAAACCAANNNNNNNNNNNNNNNNNNNNNNNNNNNNNNNNNNNNNNNNNNNNNNNNNNNNNNNNNNNNNNNNNNNNNNNNNNNNNNNNNNNNNNNNNNNNNNNNNNNNUGGGCGUUUCAUGCACAAUGAUAGGGUGCCAUGUGUCGCAUGUGGUCAUACCACCCGAAAAUUGACUUGAUCCCAACGUGAUGAGCAAUUUUCAAAUUCUGUUAAUCUAGUUUGUGCAAGAUAAAUGUACAACUAUUUAUGCAUCACGAAUUAGCAUAUUAUCAGUUAUAUUCAUGGGACAGUGGGACAUUAUAUGUUCAAGAGUAGAAAUAUUUGAUGUAAUAAUUGAAAGAUCAAAUUAUUAGACAGACGAGCAUGGUACUCAAUUAUUCCACUUCAUCACCUAUUAUAUAUAAUGCCUUUUCUCCAGCAGUUCCACUUUUUUUUUUUUUUUACACACAUGUACCAUUUAGUAUCGCUAGGGGAAGUUCCACCUCAAUUGUGGUGAUAUAUCUACAUUAUUAAGUUUUGAGUAAAAGUUCUAGAAGAAUUAGAAUUUCACUAAGAGUUGCUUACUAAGUGACAGAGGUGAAAAAUGAAACAAAAUUUAUAUAGACCAUCAACAAAAGGAAAAGAAUGAGCGUUCGUUUCUAUUUUCAGUUCUUCAUUAAAAAUAGACAUAUGAUAGCGCCUCUAGUGAAAUCAAGAACACUAUCAAUUUUAGUAGCUCUAGCGUGAAUUUUUAUGUUUUAGAAUUCUCUCCUCCUACCCGCAUCUAAUAUGUUCCUUCUAUCUGUGAAUUAUUUACUCAGUUUUAGCAAACAGGAAAAAAUAUUAGGGAAAAAGACGGAUCUUGGAAUGCAGCAUGCUCACCGAUCGCAUUUCUUGACUUCCCAUCCCUUUAUUGCAUCAACCUCCAUCAAAGCCUUUCUCCAGGAAUCUACUUCUUCAAUGCUCAAGUUAUCCUCGCCUUGCAAAAUGAGAAUGGCAUCGCGAUACAACCGGGUUUUCAUCUUAACAUCUUUAGGUUCCACAUCAAAGAAAAUAGGUAGGAUCUCUUUAUUCCCAUUUGACUUGGAGGUGUUCUCCAUAAUUUGCGUGAGUUCACGGAGACACCAUUUGCUCGAAGCGUAGGUUGGAGAGAAGAUGGGGAUGUAGAUCCUAGAGUUGUCAAUUGCUCUAUGGAGCGCUCCAUCGAUUCUUUCACCAACAUGGAGCUUUUCACUGUCUCGAAAGACGUGGAUACCAGUAUCGGUCAAGCUGUGGUAGAGGAAGUCGGUAAAUCCAUUACGAGUGUCAGGUCCUCUGAAGUUCAAGAACACUUGAUGCUCACAUUCUGAUGAUGCUUCUGCCUCUGAGUCUCCAUUUUAACUUUAGCUUUAGUAGCUCUNNNNNNNNNNNNNNNNNNNNNNNNNNNNNNNNNNNNNNNNNNNNNNNNNNNNNNNNNNNNNNNNNNNNNNNNNNNNNNNNNNNNNNNNNNNNNNNNNNNNNNNNNNNNNNNNNNNNNNNNNNNNNNNNNNNNNNNNNNNNNNNNNNNNNNNNNNNNNNNNNNNNNNNNNNNNNNNNNNNNNNNNNNNNNNNNNNNNNNNNNNNNNNNNNNNNNNNNNNNNNNNNNNNNNNNNNNNNNNNNNNNNNNNNNNNNNNNNNNNNNNNNNGACUUUUUGAAAAGAUUGCAUAUGUGAGAGAUUAUUUGAUAGGUGUGUUAUAUGCAUUUUCUAAGCAAAGAAUAUACCUUUCUUCAAUCUUGCCAAUUUUAAAAACACUACUAUGGACCUUAAAAAAAAAAAUUAUAAAAAACACUAUUCGAAUUUUUUAAAGAUUGUGAAACCUUAUAUGUGAAUCUAGGAAACUGGAAAAGACCGACAAUCAACAAACUUAAGAAAACCAAAAAUUCAAAAAGUAAAAAAGAAAAGUCAAUUCAAACUUACAUAAACAUAUAUAAUAACUAGUAUUAUAAAAUAAAAUACUAAAUCACGGAUUCUUCUAAAAACUUAAAUUUUUGGAACGGUUUGACAUUAGCCCGCAAUCUUUUCACAAAUCCACUUGUCCAUUCUUGUUAAGAAGCUGAUCGAGGAGACUUUAGGUCCAAUUACACAGGAAGGAACACAACAAAAUACAAAUGGGGAUUUUAGUCCCCGACGACCAGAUCCAGCCUCGAUUGUGGACAACGCACUCAUUCUGAGCAAGUAUUUCAUCAAACCGAAUUCUUCAGGGCAAAAUCCAGAAUAAGUCGAAGAGAAUCGUACCGUCUUCGUCGUCGCUGCUGCUGGAAAAGGGCUUCGUGAAGAUGAAUAUCGACGGCUCCCGGUACUGGCGAGCCAAUUCGCCGGAGGGGUCGGUUGCCGGAGUCGCUCGGGACGACCAGGGGACGUUGAUCCCUGGGUUUGCGACGAAGGUCGUCGCCUCAUCCUGCUCUGCACACGGAAAAUCCGCUUGUCCAUUCUUGUUAAGAAGCUGAUCGAGAAGACUUUUGGUUCAAUCACACAGGAAGGAACGCAACAAAAUACAAAUGGGUAUUUCAAUCCCCGACGACCAGAUCCGGCCUCGAUUGUGGACAACGCACUCAUUCUGAGCAAGGAUUUCGUCAAGCCGAACGCUUCAGGGCAAAUCCAGAAUAAGUCAGAAAUGAAUUGGACAGUGUUCGCGGUCGCUGCCGGGAAAGGGCUUGGUGAAGAUGAAUAUCGAUGGCUCCUGGUACUGGCUACCCGAUUCGUCUGAGGGGUCGGUUGUGUGGCCUCCUCUGCUCUGCACACGGAAAAGCCAGCCCCCAAACAAGUGUUUGUCAGUGACUGCGCGAGGAAAGGAAGCUCGAAGACGUUUCAAGUCUUCCUAGUGAUCUGAGCGUGACUUUAAGCUGAUAUGUACAAUGCAUGUCAGACUCGUUUCUAAGUCCAUGGGCCCUCCGGUGUUCAUUUCAGGAAUCAAAAGGAGUUUCAAUUUUGCAUGAUUAUGUUUUAGGAUAAAAGUUGCAAAAAAUUCUAAACCAUGCCUAGUUCGAUAUAUUUAUUUAUCUUAAAUUUUUUAUGAUAUCAAAAAUUUCAAAUUUGUAUUUAUUUGACACAUUAUAUUUAUCCCAAAUUUCUUCUUGUGACAUUAAAAAUUUCAANNNNNNNNNNNNNNNNNNNNNNNNNNNNNNNNNNNNNNNNNNNNNNNNNNNNNNNNNNNNNNNNNNNNNNNNNNNNNNNNNNNNNNNNNNNNNNNNNNNNNNNNNNNNNNNNNNNNNNNNNNNUAUCUGUAAAAUUUCUAUACAUAGAGUGGCUUGCUUGAUGUGUCAACCGUUAUCAGGUACAGUACUUCGAUGCGAACCUGAGAAGAACAAUAAUGCACUGGAAAAGGGUGAAAGGAAACAGCAAGGAAACCCUCGCAUGUCCAUACUUUAUGGAAGCGAAGCAAAGCAAUAGUCGACAAAAAGUUGAAGAGAGGCAUGAAGUUUCUAAAAAUGCCAAACAACUUUAUAGAAACUAGGUCGCAAGGUGCCCUUGCUUUUCCUAAAAUAAAUAAAUAAAAAUAAAAACCAACCUGCCUUUUGAGGCAAGCACAUUAAAAUUCUCUAUGGAGGCUUGUUCCAUUUUUCAAUUCUAACCAUUAGAAAGGACAUCCGAAAAACACAUACAUAAUUCAAGGAGGUGGCUUAUAUUUUGCAGCGUGCAUGCAUAUAAUUUAGGCAAUGGGAUUAUAUCGCGAAUCAUGAAAUUGAUUGGAUACUCUUAAAUACUCAAUACCCGAUAUCAACAGGAAACAACAUACAACAUAUUUUCUAUAUAUCUCCACGCGUGCAAAGAAUUUUGAUUCAAGUUUAGCUCCCUACAUUUUCUAGCACAAGUUGAUCUCUUUGAAAGGGAUUAAAAUGAUGAUGAUAUAUGUGCAAACACUUCAGAAUCUUCAAAAAGAGAGGAAGAAAGAAAAUAGUCAAAGGCUAUAUCUUAAGAAGGAACAAGCUCAUCUUGUGAUUACUCCCUUUAGUCGAUCUACAUCUCUGAUUGGAGGUAAAAUCUCUCAUUUUCCAUAAGCUUAUUGAAUCGACACAUCAUUCUAAAAAAUCAAGCUAUCUGAUUCAAUAUUUUACAGGUUCGUGCCAACUACAAUGUUAUAGGAGGAUGAAUGACAAAAAUAAAUGAAGUGCAGGCUCUGCUGAUGUCAUGACGAUUGUAAGUGGGGGUAUUUCCGCUGUUUUCAAACUCUCAAGCAACCUCAUUGGCGGUUCCACACCCUACGAAUUUCUUUUUUCUUCAGUUUUUGUUUCCUUUUGUUUAGGUUUUCCCUGAUUUUUAAAAUAAUUUCUUUGGUCUUUCUUCGCCUCAUUAGCACCAAUAUAGAAAGAAAUUACAAAGCACCACGUCCAAUUUUGGAAUCUACGUUAGCAAAUCUGGUUAUGAGUUUGUCGGAAGGAUUAAAUUGCAGCCAACAAAAAAACGUUUAGGACUUGAUUGCAUAUUUGGCCAAACAUUAUGGACUUUUUGGUGUAAGUUUCAUUUAUAAGUACCUAAAAUGAGAUCAGCAUAGUGGAUAACAAAUAUUCUUAUAAGAUAAUAACAAAUAAGGGUUACUCAAAUAAAAAUUCAUAGUUUGAUUCCCAUCCUACAUUGAUCUCUCCCACCGACUAGAACUUUGCUAUUGACGGGUUUUCCAAUGCAUCUCUUACCUUGAUUUGGCCUAUCCUUCCACAGCUGUAGAAUAAACUUGUAGAUUAGCAGCAAAAAUAGCAUUUGGUUGUGAUGACAGAUUUCGCGCCGACAAGCGCAAGAAAGGGAAAACGCGUGGAGUGGGGUCGCUACGUUCCCAGCCAUGCCGUGUAAUGAACACAUGAAGUUUCAACUCUAUAUCCUUGUGAAAUCCCCCGUGUAAAGGCAAGAAAAAUUGAAAACAUGUGGCACGACUCUAUUAUAUGUUGGCAAAAGCAAAAGGGGAGAGACUCAUGCAUGAUUGUUAUCUCUUUCAUAUUUUUUCCACAACUUUGUGUUUGUCUUUUUGACAAUUCGACUCAAUCAUGAAUAAGUCGAUAAAGGAUACAUAAAAGACAAAGAGAGGAAAGAGACUUAGAGGAUAGGAGACUUUUGCAAAUGGGGUCGAAAUUUUUUUAGGCUUCUUCAUUGAUGGGAUGUUAAGUUGAAAAUGAGAGAAACUGAGUUGGCAGGUACCUAUGCCUAUCCUUAAAGAAAAACAAUUAAAGUAACUUUUGGGUCAAGCACAUAAAAUCCUUUGGUGGGUUGUCAGGUAUCCUCAAAACACAAACAUAAUCGUUGAGAGGUGCCACAAAAGUAAUGUAAGGGACUGUAUCACGACUCAUUGAAUUGGUUAAAUGCAUAGAGAAUUAAAUAUUCAAAAAAAAAAAACUUCUUUUUGUAUAUCUUCGUGUGGGUGUAUAAUUUGCUUUAUGUUUAGCUCUCUCCAUUUUCCAAUAUAAGCUAAGCCAAAUAAUCAUAAAAUAUUAAUGAAAUAUAUAACUUAUAGUUUAAUAUAGCUAAGCCUCACAAUAAAGGAAAUAAAAAUGCCUAAGUUAGACAAAAUCAUCAUCCAUUUAAAAAUAGGACUCGCGUGUAAACCAAUUUGGUUGGAAAAUUUCAAUGCUAUAUAAUCAGUUUCUUUUGGCUCUGAUACCAAAUAAUUUGAGAUAAUAAGGAGAAGGGAAGCAAAAGCGGAAAGGGGAUGCCGAGAUCAACAAUCGACAACAAAGAAGAGAAAAAAAUGAUUCGUAAAAUUGAUUGAUGCUCUAAAAAUAUCAUAUACUCAAUAACAAACAACAUAAAACUUAUUUUUGUCUGUUUAUAUAUAUCUCCAUGCUUGCAUAUAAUUUGGUUCAACUUUAGCUCUCUCCAUUUUCCGGUAUAAGUUGAUCUUUUUUUUUUUUUUUGUCGAUCCUCCUCUAUUCUUACUCUAACACUCACUCUCAGACUUUUGUCCUACCUCAUUGCAGGGCGUGGGAGUCGAAACUCAUUCCGGAAACUAAAUCGUCCCCACCCCAACCUCCCCUGAGAAGGUGCGGAUUCGAACUCCCCACCUCCCUCUUCCAACUUGGAAGGGUGACCACUUGGGCAAACCCCAGCAGUUUUAUAAGUUGAUCUAUUUGAAAGGGGAUAAAAUGCCGACUAUAUACGUAUAAAUAUCCCUGGUUAGAGGUAAAAUAUUUCAUUUUUCAUAAGCCCAUUGAAUCGACAUAACAUUCUAAAAAAUCAAACUGUAUGAUUUGAUAUUUUACAGGUUUGUGCUAACUAAAAUGAAUAGGAUGAUGAGGACAAAGAAAAAGAACGCGCUAGCUCUGCUCAUGACANNNNNNNNNNNNNNNNNNNNNNNNNNNNNNNNNNNNNNNNNNNNNNNNNNNNNNNNNNNNNNNNNNNNNNNNNNNNNNNNNNNNNNNNNNNNNNNNNNNNNNNNNNNNNNNNNNNNNNNNNNNNNNNNNNNNNNNNNNNNNNNNNNNNNNNNNNNNNNNNNNNNNNNNNNNNNNNNNNNNNNNNNNNNNNNNNNNNNNNNNNNNNNNNNNNNNNNNNNNNNNNNNNNNNNNNNNNNNNNNNNNNNNNNNNNNNNNNNNNNNNNNNNNNNNNNNNNNNNNNNNNNNNNNNNNNNNNNNNNNNNNNNNNNNNNNNNNNNNNNNNNNNNNNNNNNNNNNNNNNNNNNNNNNNNNNNNNNNNNNNNNNNNNNNNNNNNNNNNNNNNNNNNNNNNNNNNNNNNNNNNNNNNNNNNNNNNNNNNNNNNNNNNNNNNNNNNNNNNNNNNNNNNNNNNNNNNNNNNNNNNNNNNNNNNNNNNNNNNNNNNNNNNNNNNNNNNNNNNNNNNNNNNNNNNNNNNNNNNNNNNNNNNNNNNNNNNNNNNNNNNNNNNNNNNNNNNNNNNNNNNNNNNNNNNNNNNNNNNNNNNNNNNNNNNNNNNNNNNNNNNNNNNNNNNNNNNNNNNNNNNNNNNNNNNNNNNNNNNNNNNNNNNNNNNNNNNNNNNNNNNNNNNNNNNNNNNNNNNNNNNNNNNNNNNNNNNNNNNNNNNNNNNNNNNNNNNNNNNNNNNNNNNNNNNNNNNNNNNNNNNNNNNNNNNNNNNNNNNNNNNNNNNNNNNNNNNNNNNNNNNNNNNNNNNNNNNNNNNNNNNNNNNNNNNNNNNNNNNNNNNNNNNNNNNNNNNNNNNNNNNNNNNNNNNNNNNNNNNNNNNNNNNNNNNNNNNNNNNNNNNNNNNNNNNNNNNNNNNNNNNNNNNNNNNNNNNNNNNNNNNNNNNNNNNNNNNNNNNNNNNNNNNNNNNNNNNNNNNNNNNNNNNNNNNNNNNNNNNNNNNNNNNNNNNNNNNNNNNNNNNNNNNNNNNNNNNNNNNNNNNNNNNNNNNNNNNNNNNNNNNNNNNNNNNNNNNNNNNNNNNNNNNNNNNNNNNNNNNNNNNNNNNNNNNNNNNNNNNNNNNNNNNNNNNNNNNNNNNNNNNNNNNNNNNNNNNNNNNNNNNNNNNNNNNNNNNNNNNNNNNNNNNNNNNNNNNNNNNNNNNNNNNNNNNNNNNNNNNNNNNNNNNNNNNNNNNNNNNNNNNNNNNNNNNNNNNNNNNNNNNNNNNNNNNNNNNNNNNNNNNNNNNNNNNNNNNNNNNNNNNNNNNNNNNNNNNNNNNNNNNNNNNNNNNNNNNNNNNNNNNNNNNNNNNNNNNNNNNNNNNNNNNNNNNNNNNNNNNNNNNNNNNNNNNNNNNNNNNNNNNNNNNNNNNNNNNNNNNNNNNNNNNNNNNNNNNNNNNNNNNNNNNNNNNNNNNNNNNNNNNNNNNNNNNNNNNNNNNNNNNNNNNNNNNNNNNNNNNNNNNNNNNNNNNNNNNNNNNNNNNNNNNNNNNNNNNNNNNNNNNNNNNNNNNNNNNNNNNNNNNNNNNNNNNNNNNNNNNNNNNNNNNNNNNNNNNNNNNNNNNNNNNNNNNNNNNNNNNNNNNNNNNNNNNNNNNNNNNNNNNNNNNNNNNNNNNNNNNNNNNNNNNNNNNNNNNNNNNNNNNNNNNNNNNNNNNNNNNNNNNNNNNNNNNNNNNNNNNNNNNNNNNNNNNNNNNNNNNNNNNNNNNNNNNNNNNNNNNNNNNNNNNNNNNNNNNNNNNNNNNNNNNNNNNNNNNNNNNNNNNNNNNNNNNNNNNNNNNNNNNNNNNNNNNNNNNNNNNNNNNNNNNNNNNNNNNNNNNNNNNNNNNNNNNNNNNNNNNNNNNNNNNNNNNNNNNNNNNNNNNNNNNNNNNNNNNNNNNNNNNNNNNNNNNNNNNNNNNNNNNNNNNNNNNNNNNNNNNNNNNNNNNNNNNNNNNNNNNNNNNNNNNNNNNNNNNNNNNNNNNNNNNNNNNNNNNNNNNNNNNNNNNNNNNNNNNNNNNNNNNNNNNNNNNNNNNNNNNNNNNNNNNNNNNNNNNNNNNNNNNNNNNNNNNNNNNNNNNNNNNNNNNNNNNNNNNNNNNNNNNNNNNNNNNNNNNNNNNNNNNNNNNNNNNNNNNNNNNNNNNNNNNNNNNNNNNNNNNNNNNNNNNNNNNNNNNNNNNNNNNNNNNNNNNNNNNNNNNNNNNNNNNNNNNNNNNNNNNNNNNNNNNNNNNNNNNNNNNNNNNNNNNNNNNNNNNNNNNNNNNNNNNNNNNNNNNNNNNNNNNNNNNNNNNNNNNNNNNNNNNNNNNNNNNNNNNNNNNNNNNNNNNNNNNNNNNNNNNNNNNNNNNNNNNNNNNNNNNNNNNNNNNNNNNNNNNNNNNNNNNNNNNNNNNNNNNNNNNNNNNNNNNNNNNNNNNNNNNNNNNNNNNNNNNNNNNNNNNNNNNNNNNNNNNNNNNNNNNNNNNNNNNNNNNNNNNNNNNNNNNNNNNNNNNNNNNNNNNNNNNNNNNNNNNNNNNNNNNNNNNNNNNNNNNNNNNNNNNNNNNNNNNNNNNNNNNNNNNNNNNNNNNNNNNNNNNNNNNNNNNNNNNNNNNNNNNNNNNNNNNNNNNNNNNNNNNNNNNNNNNNNNNNNNNNNNNNNNNNNNNNNNNNNNNNNNNNNNNNNNNNNNNNNNNNNNNNNNNNNNNNNNNNNNNNNNNNNNNNNNNNNNNNNNNNNNNNNNNNNNNNNNNNNNNNNNNNNNNNNNNNNNNNNNNNNNNNNNNNNNNNNNNNNNNNNNNNNNNNNNNNNNNNNNNNNNNNNNNNNNNNNNNNNNNNNNNNNNNNNNNNNNNNNNNNNNNNNNNNNNNNNNNNNNNNNNNNNNNNNNNNNNNNNNNNNNNNNNNNNNNNNNNNNNNNNNNNNNNNNNNNNNNNNNNNNNNNNNNNNNNNNNNNNNNNNNNNNNNNNNNNNNNNNNNNNNNNNNNNNNNNNNNNNNNNNNNNNNNNNNNNNNNNNNNNNNNNNNNNNNNNNNNNNNNNNNNNNNNNNNNNNNNNNNNNNNNNNNNNNNNNNNNNNNNNNNNNNNNNNNNNNNNNNNNNNNNNNNNNNNNNNNNNNNNNNNNNNGCUCAAGUAGUUUCAUGUUUGUUUCCCAAUGUUCAAGUGAGUGAUGCUUAUCUCUUCUAAGAUUUGGAAACCAUGUAUUGAAAAAAUAAAAAGGAAAAGUGGUGUUUCAAGCAUAUUUGUUGUAUAAGUCUAGAUCAAGUAAUUACUACCCGUUUGUUCAUUGGAUAUUGCAUAGUAAACCAUUUCUUAAAAUAGUUUGUGAGUUAAUUAUUUGUUAUAAGGUUUGGGAAAUGCUAUGUAAAAAGUAUUGUGCUUGAUGGAUUAAAUUAUGAAAGGCUAUAUGAUUUGUGAAUCCAAUUUAUGAAAUAAAUUCAGAGUUGGUUUUGUAGAUGGUUGGAUAAUGAGUUAGUUGUUUAUCAUAAUCACUAUGAUCUAAAUCUUUACGGGGUUGAACAUAUGCAUAUUGUUCUUAAGAAUUGGUUUUGUCGAUGGUUGGAUAAUGAGUUAGUUGUUUAUCAUAAUCACUAUGAUCUAAACCUUUAUAGAGUUGAACAUAUGCAUAUUGUUCUUAAGACAUGCCAUUAGGACCAAGCCACCAGUUGUCAUUGGCAAAGGCAUACGUGACCAAAUAAACAUUGUUAAGCUACAUAAAACAACUAUUUUGUGAGAUAAUUGGAGCAAGGUUAGCGAAUCAUACAAAAAAAGAGUGCUAGACACCCUAAGUGCCAAAACUUGGCAUGGGUAAAUACUUAAGUACUAGAACUUCUAAAAGGUACACUUAAGUACCAAAAUCAGAGAAGAAAAGAACAUUUAAGUGCCAACGGCGAGAAUUUGCAACUAAACUAUUGAUGUGGCUCUUUCCGGCAAGAUUUUCUUACUGAUGUGGCAAUUCUUUUAAAAAACUUAUCUACAUGAUGCUAACGUAGCUAGAUAUGCCCAAAACGAUGUCGUUUUGACUCCAAAUUUGAUUUUUAAAUUAAAAAACUAAAUUACAAAAAAGGAAAAAAGAGGGAGGUAGCAUUCGGCAAGGGCCUCCAUAGCCCUUGCCAUCACUGCCGCCACCCCACCACCGUCGAAAAGGGCCAAUGAUGAUGGGAUGAGGGUUAGCCGGGGUCACCAAACCCGAGCAAGUGGCCAAUGACCCUAGUUGAACGCCAACAAGGGCCUGUAGGUCCUCAUCCAAAUCUAGGGUGAGAGGUCGUGGGUGACCCCAUCACAACUAACGGCGGCCCUUAGCCCCUUUAGGCAAGGGCCAGUGACCCCGAUCGACCUUUGCCCCAUUAUCGUCGACCCUUUCCAACGAUGGUGAGGCAACCGUGGCAAGGGCUAUGGAGGCCCUCAAUGAAUGCUACCUCUCUCCUCUUUUUUUUUUUUUUUUUUUUUUUAAUUUAGUUUUUUAGUUUAAUAUAAUUAAUAAUUAUAUUAAAAAUCAAAUUUGGGGGCAAAACGAUGUCGUUUUGCACAUUAAUUACUAAGUAGACAACUCUAGCGAGCCACAUAGACCAUAUUUAUUAUUAAAAUAAUGUCAUAUCGGAUUUCUGGCUAUCUUCACUAGGGGUGAGCAUCGGUCCAGGGUCAAUCCUAGACUGACCCUAGACCGAUCCAAUCCUGCCGAUCCUGGUCCGGUUCCCAGGGAGACUGGGUCGGUCCUUAGUCCUGAGAGUUCCAGGUCGGUCCAACCUGAAUCAACCCUAACUAUAUAUAUAUAAUAAAUUAUUUAUAAUUUUUUAUAAAGAGAAAACCUUAAAAUAAAUGGCGUCAACAACAUUAAACAGCUCUUUAGUGAGGAGUUCAAGUAAUUUUACAUUGUUCUUCAAUAACUUAGGUUUUUAAUGUCUUUUACGGCGUCAAUAGUCACAAUUUAUGAAGGAAGAAAAUGUUUUUGUGAGGAGUCCUCACGGUGGCAUCCAAAAAGGCACCUUAUGGCAUCCUCCUCUAGUAUUCGUUAUCUUCUAUCUUAUUUUCCUCUUAGUCUUUAAUUUGCUAAAAUCGAAAAAAAAAAAAAACAACUUCUCCGCUUGCCACUCGACACUCGCCUCGCUUGCCUUAGGUUACCCGUGUUGCUCGCUGCUCGAUACUCGCUUGGCUUGUUGCUCCCCGCUCGACAUUCAAUGCUCAUUCUGUUCGACGCUUACCCCACUUGACCCUCAUUGCUUGCCUUUCUUAGCUAACCUUGCUCAUCAUCGAAUCCAUUGGGUCGAUACGGUUCUCGAUUGACCUUUCAAGGAGUACAAAAAAUGAAAUAAAAAAUUAUUGGUUAGUCCUAGGUUGACCUUGAAACAGGACCGAACCUAUUGGGAUUAGUCUAGUCCUUAAUUGCUUUUUUAAGGAGUUAUGAAAAAUGGAAAUAAAAAUUAUCAGUUGGGUCCCGGGNNNNNNNNNNNNNNNNNNNNNNNNNNNNNNNNNNNNNNNNNNNNNNNNNNNNNNNNNNNNNNNNNNNNNNNNNNNNNNNNNNNNNNNNNNNNNNNNNNNNUGCUUUUUUAGGAGUAUGAAAAAUGAAAUAAAAAAUUAUCAGUUGGUCCCGGGUUGACCCUAGAACAUGAUCGAAUCCAUUGGGUUGGUUCGGUCUUCGGUCUUAAGCUCAAAAAGGUUGGUCCUCAGUCCCAAAAAUUGAGGACCAGCACUGUGCGGGUUAGUCCUAGAGUUAUGGGGUGGACCAGCUCAACCCGGACCAUGCUCACCCCUAAUCUUCACUAGAGUUGGCAUUUAAGUGUCCAAUUUUCAAAAAUAGUUGCACUUAAGUGUACAUUUUAGAUAUCUUGGUACUUGAGUGUCCACCUGUGCCAAAUUUUCACACUUGUAGUGUACCUUUGCCUACAAAAAAUGUUAAAAUUUGCAAAUAAUAGUAGUAAACUCAAGGCGUUGCCAAGAAAGGUAAAUAAAAAUUAGUAAAAGAUAAACAAAGGUUUUUGUCAAAGAUAGAAGAAGAUGGUAAUUUAAAAACAAAUAUAUAUAUAUAUAUAUAUAUAUAUAUAUAUAUAUAUAUUGGCAAGUAUCUUAAAAAAAAUAUACUAGCAAUCACUCUAAUGAAGUUGGCAAUUUCAAAAAAGAGAUGGUAAAUUGAAAAUUUCAGUGAGUGAGGCCAAUAAAAGUGGUAACUCAAUAAAAAAUCUAGUCCAUGUAAGUAAAAAUAGUUAACUAUUGAUAAGCAACUCAAAUGAGAGUUAGAAACUCAAAACUAGUUGGUAAUUUGACCCCAGUAACUUUGUAAGGUCAUGCAAACAAAGAUUGAUAAUUUCAUAUAGCAGUUGGUAAAUUUAAACCUUUAGUAAGAAAGGUAAAUAAAAGUUGGUAAGUAAUUAGAGAAGCUUUUUUUGGUUAAAGAUAAGAGAAGUUGGUAAUUUAAAAGCAAACCCCAAAGAAACAUUGGUAGCUAACUCAAGUAGGAGUCGGUAUGCAAAAUAAGUUGGAAACUUAAUUAGUUAAAAGUAGGCAAUCACUAAAAAUUUCUAAAAACAACCGGUAGAUUUAUAAAGUUUGUAAAGAAGGCAAACAAAAGAAGUGACUUAAUAAAAAUUUGGUAAAUAAAAAUAUUAAAUGAACUUUGUUAUAAGCAACUCAAAUGAGAGAUGGCAACACAUAGCCACUAGGUUACUUAAUUGGAGUGACAUGAUUAGUAACUAAAUUGAAGAUCGGUAAUUUUAUCUGGUAGUUGAUAAAUUUAAAACAUUCAUGGUAAACAGGAUGAGUUUUUUUUUUUUUUUAGUCAAUCACAAGGGAAAGUUUUAAUUAAAAAUAAACAAACAUCAAUAGCUAACUCAACUAAGUAUAUGUAAUGCAAAUUUUGUUAAUGACUUGAUUGGAUAAUGUUGAGAAUCACUCCAAUUCCAUUUUCCAUUAGAAAUUUCUAAGGAGUUGGUAGAUUUAACAAGCGGGUAAAGAAGGCAAAUCAAAGUUGGUAACUCAUUGAAAAAGUGGAUAAAAUUUUUAGAAAAAUAAACAUUGGUUGGCAAUUCAAAUGAAACUUAGUAAAUCAAAGCUAUUCAAUAAUCUAAUGGGAGAACAACUGUUAAUUCACACAAUUAAAGGUUGAUGAAGUCAUAUAAAAGUGGAUAAAUUUAAGUCAUCUAUAAGAGAGACAAAUAAAAGUUGGUAAUAAUAAGAAAAUUUGAUAAAUUAAAGUAAAAUCAAAUAAAUAUCAGUAAGUAAUUCAAAUGAAAGCUGGAAAACCAAAACUAGUUGGUAAUUUGAUCGGAAAAAAAGUUGAUAAGUCACUCAAAUAAAUGUCAAAAGAUUAAUAUAUUUGUUGGUAAAUAUUAACGAUUCAAGCAAAAAGUUAGUGUAAACUGUGGAAGGAGUUGGUAAUUUCAUGAAACUCUUACUAAAUUACCAAUAAGUUAGGGAAUAAUAAUAGACCAGUAGCUUAUUUCUACUUUUAUUUUUAUAUUUAUUAACUGUCACACCCGAUCCUUGAGCGCGUGCACAUCCCUCGGUGGUCAAUGAAAUUGCGACUUCCCAGGACAAGUCAUCGACCCUUUCAUUUUAUUGCACAUGCAGAAGCGAAUAAACAAAUCCCCUGUCAACAACCAUCUCGGGAUAGAAAAGCAGGACAAUCAAAUCACAAAAGCCACGUUUACAUAAACAAACUAAUUUAUACACAGAGGCCAACUCUAGGGUCUAUGUACAGGAGGUCUAUCUUCAAAAAGAACUAUUGAGCCACCCAUGCUCUUGACCCUUCCGCCUCAAACUCCGGAUUCUUCACACUAGAGACUCGAAAAUGGUAACCCACGACAGGGUAAGAUAUAAAUCUCAACAAGUUCACGCCCUAAACCCCGAUUAGGAAGAUAAUAUACCUAGAGGCAGCCUACACACAUAGCCAAUGAGACUCACCUUGCCUCAUUUUUUUCUUGCAUGUCAGUACAGUUCAUUAAACAUAAGCAGAUAAUCAACGCCAUACGUUAAUUGGAGCUGCAGGCUAUCAAACCAAUCAAACACAGAAUCCCGAUAUAAAACCAAUCAUUAUGACACGUCUCAUACCGUACCACAUAAUUUUAUCCCAUAAUCAGGCGCGGGUAACUCAUAUCGGUGGUUCAUUUCCCACCCGAUAUUCACUCUUAAUACUCAAAUUCCCAAUUUAAACUCAACAUCCCCACUCAAUAUUCCGACUCCACAUUCUAACUCAAUGCUCAAACUCAAUAACAGACUCAAGGCUCUAAAGGUGACCCACACGAAGUCUCGCUAUCAUGUAGUACUUACCCUUGACAACAAAUAGCAAUAGUACAAGGCACUAGAGGCGACUCACACGAAGUCUCGCUAUCUUGUAGUACUUAGUCCUUGACAACAAAAAAAACAAUAGUACAAGGCACUAGAGACGACUCACAUGAAGUCUCGCUAUUGUGUAUAUGACACCCCCGAAUGGUCCCCGAUCCGCUAGGGUCGCCAGUCCACUUGCCUUUCUCUUGACCUGAUAAUAUAUUACUCUGAUACCUGUCGCGACCCGAUCUCGCCGCCCCUCGAAAAGUGUCCAAGGAGGGAAAGGUCGGGUUUAGGGGUACUUGAUCUCAAGAUCACGAGCUCUCCCAAGCUCGUACCCCACGUGACAGCAUAUUUAUUUAUACGAUCUAGGUAUUUAACAACCUAAAAAAUAGACAGGAGUCGCCACUAGCCUCAUUUUUGGGGGUCGGCUAGAAACCCAAUUGAGGGUCGGGAGUGGUCCCUCGAUUCCUACGCAACCAGAUAUCUAGGUUCGGGGACUUGGGUUACGCUAAUAUUGCUAUUAGCGCCCUUUCGGUACCUAAACAGUAUGUUGUGUUUUUCCUAACAUGUCAAUGCGUUUCUUUUAUAUUUUCAGGAUCAUCAAUUCUAUACUAAAUGAUCAUGCGUGAUGGAUUACUUUCAUUCUAUUCUAUUCCUAAGAAAUGAAAGGAAAACAAACAAUGAAAUUAAAUUAAAUUGCAAGACAUGAAGUAAACAAUCAAGAAAAGCAGUUAAACCUAAUCAUGCAAUUCUAAAAAAUAUAAAAGAGAAAACAAUUGGGAAAGAAAGGAAACCCGCACCUCGUCGGGUUUUAUACAAUGCAUGGAACCCGAGACAUAUGUCGGGAAAAUGAGCAUUACAUGAUAACGGUCGGAGUGGACAUCGACCUCCACCAUCUUCACGCCUUACCCCUUCUCCAUCUUCGGGGUCCUAAUCUAAACCUAAUCUAAGAAACAAGAAUCCCUUGCCUCAUCUUAUAUGACUAAGACAAUGCAUAGAAAUCAUUAUUAUAAUGAAUAGACAUAGGCAUCAGACAUGAACAUGAAUCCAGCAAAUUCAAGUCACAAACAGGACAAAAUACAAUGCAUGUUUAAAGGUUCGUAAGACCACCUAGACAAUGUACAAAAAUGUGAAACUUGCACAUGACAUAAGGUUGAAUGCGAAAAAGGUUUGGGUAAACAUUUAACCCUAAAUCAGAAUACAAAGAAGUCACACAAGUCAUUAACAUUGCAAAGUGACUUGGAACUAAGAAGCAAAAUGCAUGACAAUUUCAGUUGUGGUAUAUCGACUUGAAUUCUAAGAUUACUUGACCUUAAAAAUUCUCAAAUUUUAGCAUGGGAUGGAUAUGGACAUUAUGGACAGCCUUCAUUGAGAAUUUAUCCUCAAGAUCAUUAUGUAUAAGAUCACACAAAAUUGGUAGACAGUCAGAUUCAUAGAGACAAGACAGCACUGCAGGUCAAGACAAAUUCAGACUUCAAAACUUGAUCUAAAAAAAAAAAAAAAAGCAGGGCAAAUGAUGGGAAAAUUGGACAAACUAGGCAUCGUUAGAAAGCUCAAGGUGUCCUUUACGAAUUCCUAUUAGGUGACAAUUGCAAUUUAGGUCUUUUUCUAGCUCAAGCAAAGCCAUUUGUAUAAGUGGUCAGAUCAGAUCAUAACAAGCAGAACACAUCAGCAGAUUAGUGCUCUUUGCAAGAAGCAUCAGGCAGGGCAAAUGGUGGCCAAAUCGCACAUAUUAUAUGUCUAUGGAAAGCUUGAAAAGUCUAUUACAAAUCUCUAGAAGACAUUAAACCCUAAUAACAUCAUCUACCAGUUCAUAUCAAGCGGUUUAUACAGAAGGUCAUCCGAAACAGAGAAACAAAUAUUUGGCAGAUUCUGGACCUAACUUUGGACAGGCAAAAACCAUAUUAAAUGAAGUCCGAUUAGGGCAUUCUAUAGCUUAUUGGAAAGAUAAUCGAACCAUCUUCAACCUAUAUGAAGACUUCGAACACAGACAACCACAGCAACCCGCUCAUCUCACGUCAUUUUGCACAGAAGGUCAGAUCAGAACACAGAACACAAUAAACAACACAGAUUCAGUAACAAUGGCACAAUGAGUGGUAUCAGAUCUAUAUACUCGGUAAAUCAACUUCUAAGAAAUGUUUCAUAUCAACACGUUUUCAGAUCUGACAUUAUCAUGAUCUAUUUCUCGCUCAUGCUUUUGAGGUAUUUCGUCAAACACUUCACGUACAACAAAACGAUUAACUCAAGCUAUGGAACGGGACUGAAGCUAUGUUCUCAUCUAACAUUCUAAAAUCAAUAUUAAAAUCACAGAGCCAUCACAAGUCAUCUAGUUACAGCUCAGAUCUUAAGUGAAUCACACCUGAACUACGUGAACGUGAUUCUUCUACAAAUCUUUUUGUAACAGAGCAGGAGAGAGGGGAAUGAGUUUACCUGGUUUAUCAGUGAUACGGAUACUGAUCGAGCCAGAGACAGAGAGCUGAGCCGAGGCUUCCAACUCGGCGUGAACCCGAACCACUGUAUCUCGAGCUCCGGAAGGGCGCGAUUCGCAACGAGGGCGUUAGAUCCAACCGAGAGAGCGAUUACCAGAGAAAACGAACGAGAGAGGGGAAGGUCAGAAUCCAAGACCCGAACGGAUUGAGAGAGAGAACAGAAAUCCAAACCCUAACAAAUCGAGAGGGAUAGAAAGAAAGCUCACCGAUCGAGCGAGCUCGAUCCAGAGAGAAAAAUCGGUCAAGCGUUGUUGUCGUCGCAACUGUCGCCGAUCCUUGUCCCAAACCGAGAGAGAAAUUUGCUGAGGGAGAGAUUCUCUGGUUUCUACCCCUUCGACAAGAGCUCGGGUGGUUGAUGAUGAACGGAAAAGGUCGAAUCAAUGGUGGAAUCGAAAAAUUAGGGCUUGCGGCCGAGGAGGGGCUCGAGCUGAGGGCACGCGCACGGCAGAUCCGCUCCGCGAUGGUGUCGACGACUUCUCGACCUCGCUGCUGGGUGAUUCCCUCGCUCCUCUUUCUACCUCCGACUCCAGGGUCUUCUUCCGGUGGACGUCAAGCGAGAACGAGAGCCGACGAUCAAGCAAGCGAGCGUUCAAUUUCCGAGAACGAGCCGGAAAACAUCCGAUUGAGAACUUCUGGAGCUGGAAGCGAUCGUUGAGGGAGAGAGUAGAGCCAUGGCUGGCGCCGGAGGGUCCUCCGUCGGCCUCCGAGAUUGGGAAGAAAUCCACAGAGAGAGGAGGUUGUUACGGCGGAAGAGAGGGAGUCUGCGAAUCCGUUCUUGGCCUUUUGCCCAGAGAGCAGGAACCAGCGGAGAGAGAGGAUCCGUGCGCCCAAAAAUUUUAGAGAGAGAGAGACCCCCCAAGAGCCAGCCAAAGCAUCGUCAAAUGGCCCUCCUUCUAUAUUUUUUUUUUUAUUUUUUAUUUUUUCCUCUCCUUUUUCUUUUUGUUUUCUUUAUUUCUUAUUUUUUCUUUCAUUUUAUUUCAUUUUUUGUUUUGUUUUGUUUUUUUUUGUUUUCUUUAUUUCUUAUUUUUUCUUUCAUUUUAUUUCAUUUUUUGUUUUGUUUUGUUUUCUUUUUCUUUUCUUUUUUUCUUCUUUUUUUUCUCUUUUUUUUCUUUCUUUUUUUUUCUCUUUUUUUUUCUUGGCUCGUUAUUUAUUUUUGCAAAAUGGAUGAUUAAAAUGUCGACGAAAAUUUCGGGUGUCAACAAUACCAAAGAAUUAUAAUAAGUCUAUAAGUCCUGGGAGUUUAUAUCUUUUAGAUCGGUCCCUGCAUAGUUUACAUAGCGGAAGCACAUCCAUCAACUUCCCUUUCACAAAUUAAAACGAUGCACACCUACUAAACAUUUUAUAAGUUAAAGCCGAACACCUUUAUUUACAUAAACCAAAUGGACAUCUUUAGUCGGUACAUAAAAAACGCCACGGUUUUCUAUAUCCGGCUAUUUUUCGAAAGAUACCCGACUAUUACAAUGGCUAUAAACAUAAGUCCAUCAAACAGUGUCGGCGACCAAAAAUGCUUCUGCUGCAAACCUCAACUCUUGGUCAUAUCCACCCAUCUGGUCCAUCGGCUGGCGGCAGUGGCAACAACCCCAACGAGCGCCCAUCUCGGCGAACAAAAACAGCGAUGUACUCAUGUAGAAUGGGAUCGACGGAGAGACCAACAUCGAACACCAAGAUAACUCUCACUCGUUCGAACGACAACCCAUGCACCUCGGGGUGUUGGUACUCAGACCGUUCCCAUUGGAGGUCGACCGGAAGUCCGUAGAAUGAAACCGGGAGUUACAGGUAGCAGAGGCAUUUCUUCUAAUCUGAAAUGUUAGUCCCAAAAAGGGGUGAGUACAACCACCCAGCAAUUGAAGAUCUACUAAGCUAUACUAUGCACGGCAUCACAAUCCAAGUCCAUGCAAGAUAGAUAAAACGAGUAAUCAAAAGAAUGAGUAUGCAUCAAAUCAAUAAACUUUUGAAAGCAAUGGCAAAUGCAGUUUCAAAAUCAGAACGAAUCAUUUCAGUCACACACAGGUCCCGAUUAUAGGGCCAAACCAUAACGACAUGUCCCAUACCAUGUUAUAUAAUUUAGUCCCACAAUUUGGCAUAGUUAUUAACAGGGUCGUUAUUUUUAGAAAAACUUAGUUCAUUUUCAUUUCCCUAUGUCUAGCCCAGAGGACCAGUGUUUGCGUCCCUCCAAGAUUUCGCAUCCCACCUGGCAUCACAAAAGCCUCCAGUAUUCAAUCACCGGGCAUCCAGAGCGUGUUACGUCACACCUCCAGGCAUCUCGCAUCCCACCUGGGACUCGUGAGGAAUCGUUGGGGCUCACCAUGAAAAUGGUUACCCCUACCCUCUGGAUUUACGUACCAACAUACAAUCGGGCAUCCCGACACUCCCAGGAAACCUCCGAGGUACUAUGGACCCCAGGCAUCCAACGGCAUCGCCUCAUGCAAUCCUAUGGGCAUCUUGACACUCCCGGGGCAUCGUCGACUCGAAGGUCCGAUGGCAUUCACAACACAUCUCAGCCAUGGUGUCUCAACCAAAUCAUUUCAAUGCCAAAACAUUUUUAAAACAAGCUUUGAAAUCAUAAACCAAAACGUUUUUGAAUCACCAAUGAACAAAACUCAGUAGCAAAACAUCAAACCCGUAGGUCUACUCCCACGGCAAACCUUCCAAUGCAUUUAAAAAAUUAUUUGCGAUUCCAUAAACCAUGCUUGCAACUCUCGUACAAAAUUGAAAAGAGUUACCAAAACAAAAAUUCGAAUUCGGCACAUUGACAAAUCUAAACUUCACUCCUAACUUCAUGAUUUUAUAAGGAAAAUCAGUUCGCAUCAAAGUUUGAGAUUCCGAGAGCGCCAAAGAACCUUUUCUUUUUCUUUUUGAAACGUUGACAAGCGGCACCUCGAUUUAUAUAAAAUUCCAGCGAGGGUCGGGAGUUUUUUCCAAAUCAUUUUUUGGCCGAUUUUUGUUCCAAAGCAAUAACUAAGUUUAAAAAAACUCAUAUGGUAAACCGAGAUAUCAACCCGACCUUUAACGGUUUGGACAAAUUGAUACAAAAUUCGAAAAUUUGGAAAGCACCAUGCGGUUUUUGAAACAUUUGUAGCCGGUGCCUUAGUAAAUAGAGUUUCAAACACAAGUCAGGAGGUUUUCUUUUCCAAAACCGAAACAAUGGCCGAAUUCCUCAAGAUUUUAUAGUCACCAAAUAUCUGUUUGGCUGAAAUUCGGAGAAUCAACCACAUGCAUACGAAAUCCGAGCAAUCCAUCCAUUUUUUUAACCUCAAAACAGUCUCGGUUUCUCAAUAAACCAUAAAUCAAGCACAUGCAUGAGAAAUCCAAACACUUCAUUAAUCGCUCAACCUCAAAACAGUCUUGGUUGCUCAAUUAAAGCAUCACUCACAUCAAAAUCCAACUAUCCAGCCUAUCAAUACAUUUCCUAAGACAGCAACAACAUUACACUAUAUAGAUCAGUAGACUUCAACUUGCCUUAGGUCCCACGACUCAACGGUAGCACAACAGGGGGGUUGCGGGUCGCAGACAUGGCUCAACGGCGGUGAAGGCGAGCUGUGUCGACGGCGGCAGCACGCACAGGCGAGAGGCGGUCCUUUCCCUUCUCCCUCACUGCCCUCUCUCGCGGAUCACUCGCUCUGCUCGCGGUUCUGCUCGCUCAAUUUCUCUCUCUCACUCGCCGCUGCUCACUCUCUCUCUACUUGCUCGAACACACUAGCACUUUUCCCAUUCUAAAUCUUAAUUAAGUUAAUUAAUUGCAUGCAGGUUGCGGUGACUGCAGCAAUCAAUGGACAGGUGGAGGAGGCGUGUCUUCAGUUGGGGUUUCUUGAUUUUCAUUGGCAACCCCAAAUCGAAGCAACAUGGCUGUUGCUGGCCCUCAUUCGGUCAAUAAUCCUCCUUCAAAGUUGACUAAAGUGUCAAUUAAAUUGAGAGAGAUUGGAGCAGCAUUGGACGUGGAUGAUUCCUCCUCUCCGCGCGGGCAUGUGUUAGGGAAAUCCCUUAUGAUGUUUUGAAGAUGACAAAAUAAAUCAAAGGCUACUAACAUGUUUGAUGGUUGAGUAAUAGACCAUGCAGAUGAUAGAACAUGUAAAGGAUUUUAUCAAAGUCAGAAGACGACCAGAAGACUGAACGUAACAUAUGUCCAGAGUAUAUUCUGAAGAUUUACAGGCUUCUGUGUCAAAGUCUGAAGACUGUGUCAAAGUCUGAAGACUGUCAGACUCAAGACUCAUAUUGUAAAGUCUCAAGACUCAUAUCGUAAAGUCUAAAGACUCAGACUUUACAUCCAGAUUACGAUGAAUCGUAACUCAAGCCCAAUCAUACAACGGCUAGUGAUCUGGUUUGGAUUCCACAUCAAGAUUGAUUUGAUUGAAGACAAGAACUUUCUAUACGAAGAAGCUUUACUUAUGGAAACCAAGAUUUCGUUUGUAUGGGCGAUCGGAAUCAAUUUGGGAUUUUACCUUUGUCACUCAACGGCUACCAAAUCUUCUAGAUACAGAGCUGUCCAAUGGGUAUAUUGGAAGACGAUUCUCCGGGAUGCUGUCCAACGGGUAGUUUGGAAGUGGAGGAGUAUUUAAGAAGAUGAAGGACCGAUGAGCAAGUAAGAGACGGAGCGUAGAAUUUAUAAUUCCAAAGUCUAAGCGACUUUAGAUCUUCACUUGUCUCUUGAGAGCUUAAACGUUUGUAAUCGUGAGAGAAAUACCAAGAGAGUGACUUAGUGAGAUAGUGUGAUCUACUAAGUGUUUGCACUCGGAGUUGUAAUCUCUUGUUGAUUGCAUAGUGGAAUCCAGCCAAGAAGGCUGUUAUCGUGGGAGAGUGGACGUAGGCUUGGAUUAAGCCGAACCACUAUAAAUUUUGUGUUUUUAUUCUCUUCCCUAACUCCUUUAUUUUGUUCAUACUAGCACUCUCAAUUGGUAUCAGAGCCAAGUGCUCGAUUUAUAAAAGUGUUUUUACUUUUGAGUUAAAGAUUCUUUAUGGCUAGUAUGUUGGCACCAGGACUUAUGGAAGGGCAAAGCAACACAAGGCCACCAUAUUUCGAUGAAAGAAAAUACAAGCAGAAUGGCCAGAAAAGAACAAUGAAAGAAGAUGAUGAGUAAAGAAAUCUAUGCUUGAUGGCACAUUCAGAAUCUGAGUCUAACUCAGACAGAGACUCAGAAUCAAAGUCUGAUUCAGAACCAGACUCAGAAUCCGAUGAGGAAAUCAAGGAAAUAAAGGAAAAGAAGAAGUUGGUAAGGAAUGUUUUUGGGCACAUAAUUCUCAAUAUGCUUGAAAUUCGAUAUAUCAUUGAUUGAUUCAGAUUUUAUAAUGAUCAUAUUUUUUUUUAUUUGCUUUAUUGAAGAAAGAAUUGUGUGAUUUGUGAUUCGAGAUUUAAUUUGAUACGUGUGAUCAUUUUUGAUAUCAUGCUUAAAGAAAAAUGAAUUUAUUUGGUUUGAUUUUAUACUCUCAGAUUUUAUCAUAUUUUGCCAAAUAAAAAUCUGUUUUACGUAAUAUUAAUUUAUGAUGCAAGAUAUUAUUGUGCAUAAUAUUCUUUCUUUGAAUACUUUGUUAUGAUGAAUUAAGAAAGAAUAUUUGAUUAUGGAGAUUUCAUCUUUUACUCUAACGUCAAGGAAGGAUCCAGAUUCAUGGAUACCAAAAAGCAAAUGAGUUGAUUGCAGGAAAUUCUUUAAAGCGAAGAUGAUUGCAAAUCUACGCAAUUUUUGGUGCAAUCAGAAAAUAUCUCCUGCGACAAUUGCAACAAUAGUUUCUAUUCGCAAAUAUUGUCAUGAUCACAGGGGGAGAAAUCAAAUCCAAAAGAAAAAGGAAAGAAUCGUGAUCAUCUCAAAAAAGGCAACAAAUUGAGGGGGAGCUUUGAUCAAUUAUGGAAAAAUCUUUUUGGAUUGAUCGUGAUCUUAUUAUGGAUGGAAGGAAAGGUAAAUGUCUUAGUGCAUAUUUUAUUACCUUUUGUCAUUAACAAAUCUUUUAUUAAUUUUAUGACAAAAAUGGUACGUGCAAGUUAUGAUGCAUCCGUGAUUUUUAUUGGAUAUUUACUGAUAUAAUCGAAGUGAGCUAUAUUGCAUAUCUUUAAUAUUUGAUAAAAGCUGAUUUUUCGAAAUUGUGAUUCAUGCAAGAUAUUUGUUAUCAUUCUCUACGUGAAUUCAUUAUUAUCGCUUUUUGAUUAUGACAAAAAUGGGGAGAAGAUAUGAAUAUGCAUAUGUGCUGAUUGGUUGAUAUUAUUGCAUAAUAUUGAGCUGAGAUUAUUUUCGAUAUAUUAUUAUGCUCAAUCUAUUUGUUAUCUUCUGAUAUCCUUUGAUUUAAAAGUAUGUUUACAAAUCUGCAUAUUCAGAGAUUGUUUUGUCAUCAUCAAAAAGGGGGAGAUUGUUAGGGAAAUCCCUUAUGAUGUUUUGAAGAUGACAAAAUAAAUCAAAGGCUACUAACAUGUUUGAUGGUUGAGUAAUAGACCAUGCAGAUGAUAGAACAUGUAAAGGAUUUUAUCAAAGUCAGAAGACGACUAGAAGACUGAACGUAACAUAUGUCCAAAGUAUAUUCUGAAGAUUUACAGGCUUCUGUGUCAAAGUCUGAAGACUGUGUCAAAGUCUGAAGACUGUCAGACUCAAGACUCAUAUUGUAAAGUCUCAAGACUCAUAUCGUAAAGUCUAAAGACUCAGACUUUACAUCCAAAUUACGAUGAAUCGUAACUCAAGCCCAAUCAUACAACGGCUAGUGAUCUGGUUUGGAUUCCACAUCAAGAUUGAUUUGAUUGAAGACAAGAACUUUUUAUACGAAGAAGCUUUACUUAUGGAAACCAAGAUUUCGUUUGUAUGGGCGAUCGGAAUCAAUUUGGGAUUUUACCUUUGUCACUCAACGGCUACCAAAUCUUCUAGAUACAGAGCUGUCCAAUGGGUAUAUUGGAAGACGAUUCUCCGGGAUGCUGUCCAACGGGUAGUUUGGAAGUGGAGGAGUAUUUAAGAAGAUGAAGGACCGAUGAGCAAGUAAGAGACGGAGCGUAGAAUUUAUAAUUCCAAAGUCUAAGCGACUUUAGAUCUUCACUUGUCUCUUGAGAGCUUAAACGUUUGUAAUCGUGAGAGAAAUACCAAGAGAGUGACUUAGUGAGAUAGUGUGAUCUACUAAGUGUUUGCACUCGGAGUUGUAAUCUCUUGUUGAUUGCAUAGUGGAAUCCAGCCAAGAAGGCUGUUAUCGUGGGAGAGUGGACGUAGGCUUGGAUUAAGCCGAACCACUAUAAAUUUUGUGUUUUUAUUCUCUUCCCUAACUCCUUUAUUUUGUUCAUACUAGCACUCUCAGCAUGCAUGUUCCUCAUGCAAUGGCCGAAUUCCAUUUCUCCAGCUCUCUAAAAAAAAUCAAUUGAUCAAAGUCCAAAUUCCUUUCUCAUUCCAUAUACACAUAGGUGAUAUAGUUGUGUAGUAUCAUCGAAAGAAAUAUGUACAUAAAUCGGCAGGGUCUAAAGUGGUGCCGAUGAUGACGAUGGUACAAUGGGGUCCAACAUCGGUGUCGGCGACGAAGUCCGAUAACAAAUUCGUCAAUCCACGACGUGUCAUCAUUUUUCUCUGAGGUCGGCAAAAAUAUAGAUGAGGUUGGUCUCACCAAUGACCUUAAGUAAAGGGAUUCCGACAAGGUUAUAAUUUAUUCGACAAUUGAAUCAUUAUUAAAUGAGGCAUAACGGUCCGAUGGUAAUAUCAAAACGAUGUCCGUAAAUAAUACUAAUGACACAGUCCGACGAUACUCCUGUCGAUUAGUCACGGACCGUCGCAUAAUCGAGGAUCGUCAAAAUUUCCGGAUGCCACAGUGUAGUACUUAGCCAUUGACAACAAAAGGCAAUAGUAUAAGGCACUAGAGGUAACUCACACGAAGUCUCACUAUCGUGUAGCACUUAGCCCUUCACUAUGCUUGUUAAUACUACAAGACUCUAGAGGUAGUUCCCAUGUGACUUAAGUCGCCAUGUAACACUUAACCAUUGAUUACAAUAAGCAAUAAUAUAAGGCCCUAGAGGUGACCCACACGAGUUUCGUCCUCGUGUAGUACUUAGUUCUUUACCUGUUCACAACCCAUCGGUUUUCUUAACCCAACACAUGUCACCUAAAUGUUCAAUAGUCACCUUGCAAUGACUAUAAACCAUCACACGAUCAUCAAGCAUAAGCUCAAGGCAUGUCAUAAACCAACCAUAUCAUCAAAUAUGCACAAACCAUCAAGUAUUGCACCAAUAACACUACCAAAUCAUAACCGGCCCUAACCGACAGAAAAGGCCCACUCGCGCGUCUCUGAGUUUAAAUCUAGAAAUCUAAUCAAACGAGUUCGGAAAAUUCCUAAAUUUGAAUAUGUUGUAAAUGACACAUAAAUAAACAUUUUUGAUGCAGACACCUUAAUCUAGAUCUUUCUAGAUUUGUCCUAGUAAAUCACUCAAUCCAAUACCAAAAAAUCGGUUCAUUUCCAUAAAGUCUGUUUUCUAAAAUUAGUUUGGUUUGAGAUCCAAAACUUAUCCAUUUGAUCUGAAAUUCAACUAUGUUAAACACGAAUGAUGUGAAAAACAACUUUUGUGAAUAAACCAUUUUGAAAUUCAAACCUCAAGAGUUAAUAAAAAUUCCUAGAAUCCCAAAAUGUCUCAAAUUCCAGUAUAGUCCGAGAUUAUGUUUGCAAAUGACAAAGCUGAUAUAUCCUUCUUGUAAAUCCCUAAAAAUAUUAAGAAAAAUAUAUGUUAUAGCUGAAGAUGUCUAAAACAAUUCUCAAGAAGGAAACAACCUCAAAAUCGCAACACAUUUUGGUUCACAAAAAAUGGAAAAUGGCGAGGGUCCAAAAAUCAGAACUGAAGAAAGUCCAUUGAAUUGGACUAAUCCAUCCUCAAUGGUGCUAAUCUCACUAAUUAGAUUAACACUAAUCCAUUCUAAGGCUUAUCUAACCAUUUUAGAUUAGUACUAAUCCAUAUUAAGGCUAAUAUAACUAACCCUUAAGCAUAAUUAACCUCCUAAGCAAGGUUUAGUGAGUAAACUCAUCGGUUUUGCAAGCCGAUGAGUCCAUGGCGACGGCAACAUGGAAGUGAGCGGAACACAAGCCCACGGCGACACCAAAGGAGGCCGAGAAAGGCCCAAAAAAGCCUCACAAAGUCUCAGCUGGGCUGAGAUUUUUGGCUUAUGCUCUUGGGCUAUAAAGGCUGGUCGAGCGAUCGGUUGGGGCUAAAACAGGCCAAGCGAGGCUAGGCGACAACGACAAGGGCUUGGGGAUGGCAACGACAGCUUCUAGGUGGCUAGAGGCAGCUCGACGGGAGGUGACAUGGAUGGAUGGAUGGAGGCCUCAAGAUGAUUGGGGACGCGCAGAACAGCGCGCGGCAAGCGGAUGACGGGCACGACUUGCGGGCGUGCUCGGGCGGUGAGCAAUGCUCGAACGGGAGGCAGGGCUACUCAGCGGUGGCUGCUGGCUUGCGGGCUGGCUUCCUCUGAUUCUUGAGCUCACAAACACAGCAAGAAUGGAGAAAGUGUGGCCAAGGGAAAAGGAGAAGAUGGCAGCUGCCAAGGGGGACCCAAAAUGCCUUCAAUGCUCUCCAAAUUGCCAAGAACACUUGAGUGACUGCCCCACCAGCCUUCAGCCAUAUCCUCUACCCCUUAUCCACUCCAAAACUUCUCCAAGAAGCCUCCCAAGGUGGCUGAAAUGUUGCACCCCUCCAAGGCUACGAAUUUUGGACAUUUGCCUAUUCAAUUUCAUUCAAAUCCAACUCAAAAUAAUCUAAUUGAAGCCCAAACAAUUCAGCCAAGGUGCCAUUGCCCCUCUUAUGAUUUUUCCUUGUCAAUUCGUCCAACUUGAAUCCCAAAAACGCGACAAAAAAUGGCUCUAUAAUUUUUCCGGUCCAAAACGUCCCUACUUUGACUUUUCGCCAAAAAUCCCGAUUUGCAAAAAACUCUUCGGAGGAUGAUGGGAUAUUCCUAAAAUGAAUCGUGACAUGACAAAAUUUUCAAUUUCUGAAAUCGGGUUCAAAUUCAUGGUUAAUUUUAACCAGGCGCGAUUUUAACGUGACCUAGUCUACCUAGUAUCUUUUAGGAAUUUUUAGUGCAAUUGACCCGUGGUCAAUUAUUUUCGAGCCACAUUAUAUAUUUUCGACUCAUUGGCGACUCUCAGUUGUCGUGAAAAUCUCGAUGUUUCAAAUACGAACAAUGGUACCAAAAUGACAGAAAAAUAGAUCCAGUGCCGAUCGACACAAAUUUUUGCAAUUAGGUGGUGAUUCUUAAUCACGUGGCUCUAUCGAAUCGACCUAUCUCUGGUCUCUAAGGCUGCGCAUGACAAAAUUUCUGAAACAUAAAUUGAUUUCUGGCCAAAAAUCAAUUUCUCAAUUUAUAUUCCCCAGACAAGUUUCUGAGCAAAAAAACCCGUUUGAUAACGACUCAAAAUUUCUAUUUCUGAAAUAGAAAUCCGUUUGAUAACAGAAAAAAAUUUCUAUUUCUAUGAAUCAUGUUGUCCCCAUCCUUUUACCUCACUCUUCUUGGUGCUUGUGAUGGUAAUUUAAUUUGAUAAAAGUUGGUAUAUCACUUUAAUUUAUAUUGGUAAUUCGAUAGAGUAGUUAGGAACUUCAAAACAUUAGCAAUUUAUGUAAAUAAAAGCUAGUAAUUAGUAUAAAAAAUGCUAAUAUGCAAACUAUAAAAGAUUUGGGAAUAGGGAACUUACAUUUGAGGGAUAAAGGACACUUAGAAUAAGAUGUUUCAAUAAACUUUGAUUUAAAUAAAUCUUGUGGAAAUGGUUUUUUAAUCAGUGAGGUUAACUGAAGGCAAUGAAUUUCCAUAUUAAGCUUUCUUUGGCUUACCUAAUAGUCUUGUUCACGUUUAUCUACACUCAUCAUCCAACUUAUAAACAGUCAAGUGGAGCGAGGCAUUUGACGUACAUUACCGUGACAUGGACUUCAAUUCAAUUAUGGCCUAAAUGGAUCAAAUACUAGUCCUGAUCAAUAUAAGAAUUGGUAUCUUAAUGCAGAAAAAUUCUCAAUUAUUACUGGCUAUACAUUUUUCCGAGUUCAAGCACGUGCAUAAUUUAUGCAAUCCUUUCACUUUAACAUUCAAAACAAAGUGAGCAUAACCACUUCCAGUCAAAUCUUUCUUAUAUUCCCACAGGUAAAUCUCCAAUACAUGUACAUAAUCAGUCAUCAGACUACCAAUUACUACUCCUCAUAGUAUAACUUCAUAACCAACAUGCCUUUUCUUGGAGGUGAAAUCAUGCCUCAUAUAAAAGCAAAUGCAGGAUCAACACCAAAGUGACUCACUACUGGGAAUGAUCCCGGCAAAAUUUCGAGGGAUACUGCCUUCAUAACUCAAAAGUUUUGUAGAAAAUCUCGGAAUCAAGUAGGAAAUAAACAAAAAACUUCGAGGACAAAAGGUUCUCAAAAAGUCAUUUUCCCACUGCACUGCAUAUAAAUUUUAUAGUAUCUUAGCACAGGGUCAACCCACCUGAAAUAUCUAAAGCAUCAGUGCAGAUACAUUCAGAGAUUCAAACAUCAUAACAUCAUCAUGUUGCGUGAAGAAAACAAUGAAACAACAAAAGAAUAGAUCGAAAAUAGAACCAAAUGCUCUGCUUGGCAGUCAUUUAUGCUUCUCUCAAUCAAAUAACAGAUGCAACCACAUAAAAUGAUUUAUGAAAAUCUCAUACAUGAAUUAAAAUGUCGCCCCCAAAAAACUAUAUCCUUGACUGCUUGCUGUCAACUCAACUUGAUCAAGAUCUAACCGAGAGCUCCAGGGCAAAAUGGGGCUCUCAAACCAUAUCAUGAAUUCAUAAAACCAUCUAAACAAUCUUGACACUUAGCCCUACCUUCUCGAAUCAAGUUGUGCAACUCAAAUGAAAUUGGCCCUCUUUAAGAAUCUAAUUGUUCUACAGUAAUAUGGCCAUAUCGACUCAAUAAAAUCCAAAUACCACUCCAGCAACCACUCUUGCAAUUCUUUGAGUUUCCUUCUAGAAAGCUCCUUGUAGUCCAAGUUCUUUACAUCCACCACAGGUUGCCAGACACAAGAACGUACGUCUUCUUUUAGCUUCCCGUUUGCAACAUACUGAUAAGCAGUGAGGUAGUACACAGACAAGUUCUUAACUACUUUAACUAUCCGCUUGAAAGUGAACAAAUAAGUGCCCACAAUCCUCGGAACAGCUUGACAUAGAGGGCAACGAGGAGUGGCCCCAGGAUCCACAAAGAGGUCAGGUCCUUUGAAACUUCACUCCCAUAGGUCACAUUAAUAGCCAGGUACAAAGGAGCACUGCCAAUACAACAUAAUUAGAAGUAUGAGGAUAAAUCUCUGUAAUGGCUCAUCAGACACUAUCGAGCAUGAGUCCACUUGCCAUAAGCAAUUUUAAGUCAAAGAAUUAAUAUGGUUUAUAGAAUUUAUAUGAUUUACAAACAAAAUCAAGGGAAAGAACAGUUCUAGUUCUAACAAUUCCAAAAUCAAGCAUGAAUCCCACCAGUUUCUUAUUGUUAUCAUUUAUGUUUUUCUCGGGGGUUGUUUCAAAAUUCAUCUCAAAUUAUGAUAAAUCUUAGCUCAAUAUAACAUCUCUUUCUUUUAUAUCUACAAUAUAUAUCAAACAAUUUUAGUUGAAAUAUUAUCCAUGACUGCUAUGUUUUACAUAUUGUCCUAUUAAGCAAAAACAGAUUUCUGAUAUCAACAGUCCGUUGACCUUCAGCAAAAAUAAAAAAGGUGCCCAUCGUUCCUUUCUCUUUUCCCGUUGUAAAAAUUAUCUCUAUUCCCCACCCCCACUGAGAAAAAGAGCAGCCCUGAUGAAUUCUACCUAAGAACUUGCAGCACAAACACCAACCAUUGACAAUCGCUCUCACAUUCCCCACCCCACCGAGAAACGGAGCAGCCUAGACUCGCAGCACAAACACCAACCGUUCGUUUGCAGAGCACAAGCACAGAACAAGCACAGAAUAACCAAGAAAGAGGCGAAAAGGGAAGGGAUCAAUCGAACCUCGUGAGGAAUCGAGAGUAGAAAGGGGCGACGGCAACUGGAGUUGCGGAAUCGAGAGCAGAAGGGGACGCAGACGAAGAUGGGUGACGGAGAUGGGCGACGGCGAGGGCGACUGGAGAUGGGCGACGGCGACUGGGGACGCGGACGGAGGAGGCGGGUCCGACGGGACGACCGGAGCAAAUUGGCCAGUCUGAGGACGGUGACGGCGAGAUGAGCGGCGACGGCAUUGGAGUCAAUGGCAAGGAUGAACAGCUUCGGAGUCGCUAGGGUUUUUGGUUGAGGUGAGGAGAAGGAAUGGGAAAGCAAGGGUAGUGAGGAGAGAAGGAGUUGACGUCUCUACUGAAGGAAGAAGGGUGGAUAAAAAAAGAAACGAUUUCUAUUUCUGUUUCAGAAAUAGAGAAGCUAAAAUUUUUAGCUUCUGAUUUCUCCUCCAAAACAAUUUCUAGAAUAUAAAUCUAUUUCAGAAAUAGAGAAAUCAAUUUAUGUUACCAAACGGAUUUCUGUUCCAAACCUGUUCCGGGAAACAGAGAAACAAAGAAAUUGAGAAACAGAAAUUUUACCAUGCGCAGCCUAAUCAAUUUUUAAUUGUGCCAUAAUGACCUUUGCAGAUUAGCAUGGUCGAGCAGUCGAUUUCCGGUCGAAUUCUCAAGUCUAUUGCGUUUAGAUUCCUUAAGGCUUCAUCAAAUAGACUAGUUAUCUCUUGAGUGGCCAACUCAGAGAAAAAGGCUAUAGGCACGUUGAUGAAAAGCCCGACUCACUCAAUUGAAAAUAGACCUAAAAUUCAGGAUGUCACAACUCUUCUCAUCUUAUAAAAAUUUCUUCCUCAACAUUUAAACUAUUACAAAUAUUUAAACAAAAAGGUGGGGUUACAGUCGUCUCAUCGAAUCUUCGCUUUCUGAUCCACAAUCUGAACCGGGCUUUCCACAUACGACACUCUGUCGUCCAAGUUUAACUCUUCAAAAUUUAGCACGUGGGUCGGUCAGGCUCAUACUUCCUCAACAUCGACACGUGAAAGACGUCAUGCACUUGCGUUAACCUCGGUGGCAAUGCAAGACGAUACAUUAGGAUCCCGAUUCUUUCCAAAAUCUCAAAGGGACCUAUGUACCUCGAACUCAGCUUUCCCUUCUUACCGAAGUGCGAAGUACCCCCUUGGUGACACCUUCAGAAAGACGUGCUCACCCACUUGGAAUUUCAAAGGUCUUUGACGCUUAUCUGCAUAACUUUUGUGGCGGCUCUAAGCGGUCUUUAAUCUGUCCCUGAUAACUGCAACUGCAUCCAUUGACUGCUGGACUAACUUUGGGCCUGUGUUCUUUCAUUCUACGACCUCAUCCCAACAAACUGGCAUUUUGCACGCUCUCCCUUACAACGCUUCGAAAGGAGCCAUCUGAAUGCUCUGCUGGUAGCUAUUGUUGUAGGCAAACUUGACAAGAUGAAGCUGUUCCUCCCAGCUUCUCUUGAAAUCCAACACGCAUGCUCACAGCAUGUCUUCGAGGGUUUGAAUUGUCCUCUCAGAGUGGCCAUCUGUCUAAGGAUGAUAGGCCGUACUAUAUUGUAGCUUCGUUCUUAAGGCAGCCUGUAAACUCUUCCAAAAGGCAGCUGUGAAUCUCGAGUCUUGGUCUGAUGUAAUCAUCACCGGUACUCCAUGCAGAUAAACAAUUUGACGCACGUACAACUCUGCGUGCCUGCCAAAAUCAAGAUCCUUUCAUAUAGCGAUAAAGUAAGCCAAUUUCAUCAGUCUGUCGACCAUUACCCAAAUGGAAUAAUUACUCCUCUGACUCCUUGGUAAGCCCACCACAAAGUCCAUUGUGAUGUGUUCCCACUUCCACUCGAAAAUCUCGAAAGGUUGCAGAAGUCCUUCCGGCUUACAGUACCGUGCCUUCACUUGCUGACAGGUCAGACAUUUGGCGACAUGCUUGGCGAUAUUCGCCUUCAUACCGGACCACCAAUAAUGUUGACGCAGAUUCUGACACAUCUUCGUACUACCAUGAUGAAUAUUGUAACUGCUACAAUAAGCUUCCGAUAAGAUCUCUUCCUUAAGCUCUACAUCAUCAGGUACACACAAUCGUCCUCCAAACCGUAUUUUUUCGUCAUCAGAAAUCUGAAAGUCAGUCUUUCUCUUUUUGAUAUCCUCUUGCAGGAUUUUUUGAAUAUCUAGGUCUAUCGGCUGAAGCGUCUUAAUUCUAAUAUGCACUUCCGGCUCAAUUCUAAGGGUGACCAUAAGACUUGAAAGGUGGCCUACCUCAAAUUUUGAAAACCAAAUUUCUAGCUCCUUCGAGUAAAAUCCACGCCUGAAUCACCAUCAGUGCAAUCGAUGACUUUCGACUCAACGCACCUGUGACUUCCGUUCCUUCAAUUUUGACAGCGGCAUACAGUAAGGGGCCUUAGUGAUUGGCUCCAUCCUAGGGGCCAACUCAAACACGAACUCGAUCUCCCUUUCUAAGGGCAUAUUGGGUAAUCCUUUAGGAAACACCUCAGAAAACUCCCGUACCAUAGUCUCCAUCUUGGGUUCCUCAACUGUCGUAUCUACUACAGUUGCCAAGUAACAUUGACAACCCCCGUUUAACAAACAAGUUGCCUCAAGUGACGAGAUUAAGGUAAUUGAUGGUGCUCCUCGAUUCUCAAUAAACUCGAAACUUUCACCCGCUAACGAAUUAAAUUGGAAUACUUCACGACAACAGUCCAUCACAACAAGAGACUCCUUGAGCCAACUCUUUUCAUAUAUGACAUCAAAGUUAUACAUAAGCGAAAUAGUCAAGUACAUCCUUAGUCAACGAUUCUCAUUUUUACAACUUCACUUCAACAAACAGAAAUUCUACAAGCUUAACCAAAGUCCCACUGUGCCACUCUAAUAAAAUUACCCCAAAAACCUUCUUCCCCUUAUCGGUGCAUGGCUCGAUUCAUUCCUAUCCCCUUCGCCCUCCUAGUGGCAUCUUGUCUACGGUGCAUUCCCUCUGUUCUGUCCCAUCGAUGGCAACGAUAGCAGUUGAUGUGGUCUUAUUUGCUUGCGCAGACAAUCCUUGAACUAGUGGCCAUGCUAGCCACAUUUAAAACAAGCUCCCGUCCUAGUAUAACAUGGAGUUUAACCAUGUCUUUUCCUACAGAAAUGACACACGUCAUUCAAGUUGGGCGUUGACUUUCCAAUCCCAUCAUUUUUGUUGGGCGGAAUGGGAUACCUUCCUUCAGUCAUAGGUUUCUUCCCAAACCCUUUUCCAUCCCUGCUUGACCCAGACGCGGUGGCUUGCUCACUCAAAUUUCUCUCUAUCAACUGGGCCCGACCAUAUACCUCAUUAUAAUCCUCCAAGUCAAGCGACACCGGUGGGUUCUUCAGCUCUAGCCGGAGGCCGUUCUUGAACCUCCUAACUUUGUCUUCUGGAUCUUCUACCAAUCUUGGAGUGUACUAAGAUAGCUCUGCAAACUAAGCUUCAUACUGAUCCACAGUUAGCAUGCCUUGAUGGAGGCGUUGAAAUUCCUACAUCUUUUGCUCUCGGGCACUACCCGAAAAGUACUUACCAUUAAAGACUCUGAGAAAGGCGUCACCGGAACUAUGCCUUCGGGGAAAACGAUACCUCUGGUGGCCCUCCACCAAAUAUUCGCGUUACCCUGCAACUGGUAUACUGCCAGGACAACCUUUUUCUCCUUAGUGCACAUCAGAAAUGCAAAAGCUUUCUCUAGGCCUUGGAUCCAGAGCAUUGCAGCCUCAGGAUCUCCUGCAUCGAUGAACCUCGGCGGGUUCAGCUUCAAUAACCGCUCCAUAAGCUUAUGCAUCGGCCUCUCUCUCUCCACAACUACGUUCCCAACUGGAACUUUGGUAGGUGCGGCAGCAGCUGCGGUCUCAGCGGUGGCGGCAGCAGCAAUAGUAGCGGUAGCUUGAGUGACGGCAAUAGUGGCGACAGCUUGAUUCUAGGCUUGCUGCUCCAUUAGAGCUCCAAGCAUCUCUAGCGCCUGCAUGAUCCAUUUGAUUCUGGGAUCACCAAGGGCUGCUACCCCAGCACCAACAGAAGGCAGUGCUACACCACUAGCGCUAGCCUGAACCAACGCUCUACCACGACCCCUUCAGGUACCAACCCUAGUCGGCGUCCUACCCCAAGUAGCAGGUCCAAUGGUUCUCUUUCUAGGAGUCUUUUGCUUAUGAUCACUCAUUAUACAAGUUUUUUAUAGAAACUUACUUUCCAAUUCCACACAGAAUUAGAAGCUAAGCGAUCCCCACAAAACAAUCGACCAAACAACUAUCACUGACAUGCACCAGCAUAAUCAAAAGGCCUUUCCUACUAACUAUCCCAUAACCUAUUGCACAUUAUCACUCCAACUAUCAACCAACUCUGAUACCACUUCGGACGGGGAUGUCACGCCUUGAUCCUCGAGCGCGCGCACAUCCCUCGGUGAUCGAUGAAAUUGAGACUUCCUAGGACGAGUCGCCAACCCUUUCAUUUUACUACACAUGCGGAAGAGAAUAAACAAAUCCCUUGGUAGCAAUCAUCUCAAGAUAGAAAAGAAUGACAAUCAAAUCAUAAAAGCCACAUUUACAUAAACAAACUAAUUUAUACACAGAGGCCAACUCGAGGGUCUAUGUACAGGAGGUUUAUCUCCAAAAAGAACUACUAAGCUACCCAUGCUCCUGACCCUUCUGCCUCAAGCUCUAGGUUCUUCACACUAGGGACUAAAAAAUGGUAACCCAUGACGGGGUGAGAUAUAAAUUUCAGCGAGUUUAUGCCCUAAACCCUGAUUAUAAAGAUAAUACACCUAGAGACAGCCUACACACAUAGCCAAUAAGACUCACCACGCCUUAGUUUCUUCCUACACAUUAGUACAGUUCAUAAAACAUAUGCAGAUAAUCAAUGCACUCAUUAAUUGGAGCAUCUCACUAUCAAACCAAUCAAACACAGGAGUCCCGAUUAUAAGGCCAAAUCAUUAUGACACGUCUCAUACCGUGUCUCACAAUUUUGUCUCAUAAUUAGGCACAGGUAACUCAUAUCGGUGGUUCAAUCCCCACCCGAUAUUCACUUUCAAUAUUGAAAUUCCCAAUUCAAACUCAACAUCCCCAUUAACUAUUCCGACUCUACAUUCCAACUCAAUACUCAAACUCAAUAACAGACUCAAGGCUCUAGAAGUGACCCACACGAAGUCUCGCUAUCGUGUAGUACUUAGGCCUUGACAACAAAUAGCAAUAGUACAAGGCACUAGAGGUAACUCACAUAAAGUCUCGCUAUCAUGUAGUACUUAGCCCUUGACAACAAAAAAAGCAAUAGUACAAGGCACUAGAGGCGACUCACACAAAGUCUCACUAUCAUGUAGUACUUAGCCCUUGACAACAUAAUCAUAACCAGCCAUAACCGGCAAAAAAAGCCCACUCACGCGUCUUCGAAUUUAAAUCUAGAAACGUAAUCAAGCAAGUUUGUAAAAUUCCAAAUUCGAAUAUGUUAUAAAGGACACAUAAAUGAACAUUUUUUUAUGAAGACACCUUAAUCCAAAUCUUUCUAGAUUUGUCCCAGUAAAUCGCUCAAUCCAAUAUAAAAAACUCGGUCUGUUUCUAGAAAGUCCGUUUUCCAAAAUCAGUUUGGUUUGAGAUCCAAAACUUGUCCAUUUGAUCUGAAAUUUGACUAUGUUAAACUAAAAUAUGUGACAAACAACUUUUAUGAAGAAACCAUUUUGAAAUUUGAACCCUCAGAGUUGAUAAAAAUCCUUAAAAUCACAAAAGGUCCUAAAUUCCAACACAGUCCGAGAUUCUGUUUGCAAAUGACAGAGCUGAUAUCUCUUUCUUAUAAAUUCCUAAAAAUAUUGAGAAAAAUCUAUGUUAUAGCUGAAGAUAUCUAAAACAUUUAUCAAGAAUGAAGUAAUCUCAAAAUCACAACACAUUUUGGUUCAUAAAAAUGUAAAACGGUGAGGGUUUAGAAAUCAGAACUGAAGAAAGUCCACUGAAUUGGACUAAUCCAUCAUCAAUGGUGCUAAUCUCACUAAUUAGAUUAACAAUAAUCCAUUCUAAGGUUAAUCUAACCAUUUUAGAUUAGCACUAGUCCAUAUUAAGAUUAAUCUAACCAACCAUUAAGCAUAAUUAACCUCAUAAGUAAGGUUUAGUGAGUAAAUUCACCAGUUUUGCAGGUCGAUGAGUCCAUUGUGACGGUGACGCAGAAGUGAGCGGAACACAAGCCCACGACAAUACCAAACAAGGCCGAGAAAGGCCCGGAAAAGCCUCACGAAGUCUUGGCUGGGGUGAGAUCUUCGACUUAUGCUCUUGGGCUGUAAAGGCUGGUUGAGCAACCGAUUGGGGCUAAAAUAGGCCUGGCAAGGCUAGGCGGCGAUGGCAAGGGCUCAGGGACGGCACCGACAGCUUCUAGGUGGCUGGAGGUAGCUCGACGGGCGGUGACGUGGAUUGAUGGAGGCCUCAGGAUGGCUGGGGACGCGCGGAACAAUGCGCGGCAAACGGACGACGGGCACGACUCGCAGGCGUGCUCGGGCAGUGAGCAGCACUCGGAUAGGAGGCAGGGCUACUCAGCAGUGGCUGUUGGCUUGCAAGCUAGCUUCCUCUGGUUCUUGAGCUCACAAACACAGCAAGAAUGGAGAAAGUAAGGCUAAGGGAGAAAGAGAAGAUGGUAGCUGCCAAGGGGGACCCAAAAUGCCUUCAAUGCUCUCCAAAUUGUCAAGAACACCAGCCUUUAGUCCUAUCCUCUACCCCUUAUCCACUCCACUUCUCCAAGAAGCCUCCCAAGGUGGCUGAAAUGUUGCAUCCCUCCAAGGCUACGAAUUUUAGACAUUUGCCUCUUCAAUUUCAUUCAAAUCCAACUCAAAAUAAUCCAAUUGAAGCCCAAACAAUUCAGCCAAGGUACCAUCAUCUCUCUUAUGAUUUUUCCUCGUCAAUUCAUCCAACUUUAAUCCAAAAAAUGCGACCAAAAACGGCUCUCUAAUUUUUCCAGUCUAAAACGGCCUUACUUUGACUUUUAGCCAAAAAUCUCGGUUUGCAAAAAGAUUUUUGGAGGAUGAGUCGAUGUUCCUAAAAUGAAUUGUGACAUGACAGAACUUUCCAUUUCUGAAAUUGGAUUCAAAUUUGCGAUUAAUUUCAACCGAGCGCGAUUUUAGAGUGACCUAAUUUACCGAGUAGCAUUUAGGAAUUUUUAGUGCAAUUGACCCAUUGUCGAUUACUUUUGAGCCACAUUGUACAUCUUUGACUCAUUGGCGACUCUCAAUUUUCGUGAAAAUCUUGAGAUUUGAAAUACGGACACAGGGUACCAAAACGACAGAAAAAUUCGGUCUAAUGCCGAUCGACAAGAAUUUUUGCAAUUAGGUGAAAUCACCCACACUUAAUCACANNNNNNNNNNNNNNNNNNNNNNNNNNNNNNNNNNNNNNNNNNNNNNNNNNNNNNNNNNNNNNNNNNNNNNNNNNNNNNNNNNNNNNNNNNNNNNNNNNNNUGUCUUAUGUGACACGAUUGUCGCUAAUGUAGACAAUUUUUAUAAUUUUGUUUGACUUUUUGAAUUUUUUAUUUUAUAUAUUCUUUUUCUUUCUUACUUUUCCUUCUUCUUUUUUUCUUCUAAGUCCGAUGAGGGUUGUCGACCCUCAUUUGCCAUAGAUCGCUAGUCAUGGUCAAGGGUCGUCGGCCCUCGCUUGUGGUCGAUGAGGGUCGAGUGGCCCUCAUCGAACUUGGUAAAAAAAAAAAGGAAAAGAAAGAAAAUUAAUAAAAAUAAUAAUAAAUUAUAAAAAUUGUCCACAUCAUAGUAUCAAUGUCAGCAAUUUUCAAUUAAAAUUGGCCAAAAUGACUACAUUAGUAAAUCGUCAAAAGUUUUAGGAUUCAAUUUACAAAAUUCAAAAGCUUAAAACUAAAUUGACAUAUGUACAAUAUGUUUAUGACUUUUUGGGUAAUUUUACUCAUUUGCUAUUGAUAAUUCUUUGAAAAGUUCAUUUAAUAUCUUAUUAAUCUUUCAGAGUGAGAAAGGGAAAAAAAAAGAAAAAGAAUCGCUUGGUUUUGUUUUCCUAAAGGACAAUUAAUUUAUUUUUUUUGGUCGAUCAAACAUUAUAUAAAUCAAAUCCUUUUCAUGUAGAGUCCUAGCAAGGUCUAGAUAACCGGGGAUAUUGGAGUUGGCAGUUGAUUAUCUAGACCUUGCUGUAAGGCAGCCAGUCCAACAGAGGGCAUUUCACCCUCCCUUUUUCACCCUAGACGUGAAAGGCUAUUAUACCUGCCUAUCUGACAGUAGCCAGAGUGUUUCCACCCUGACAUGGUGUCUAUUUUCACAACUAAAGGGCCUCCUAAUUCCCCUCUCUAUCUUUUUCUUCCUGAAAAGGAGGGAAUAUAGGAGUGACAUUACAGGGUCUUUCAUCUUAGGGUGAAUCUCUCACCUAUUUCUUCCCUUUAAAGUCUACUCUAUUUAGUAUCUCAUCAUAAGGGUGAGCAUCGGUCUAGGGUCAACCCUAGACUGACGCUGGACUGGCCCAACCUUGCCGGUCCUGGUCUGGUUCCUAGGAAGACUGGGUCGGUCCUUGGUCCUAGAAUUCCUAAACCAGCAUUAUGCGGGUUGGUUCUCAGUUCUAGGAGUUUAGGGUCGGUUCAACCCGAACCAACCCUAACUCUAUAUAUAUAUAUUAAUUAAUAUAAUAUAUUAUUUAUAAUUUUUUUAUACGGAGAAAACCUUAAAAGAAACGAUGUCAACAACAUUAAGCAGUUCUUUAGUAAGGAGUUCAAGUAAUUUUACAUUGUUAUUUAAUAACUUAGAUUUUUAAUGUCUUUUACGACGUCAAUAGUUACAAUUUACGAAUGAGUAAAAUGUUUUUGUGAGGAGUCUUCAUGGUGUCCAAAAGGGUAUAAAUAGCUCCUUAUGACAUCCUACUCUAGUAAUCGUUAUCUUUUGUUGUAGUUGUCAUCUUAGUCUUCAAUUUGUCAAAAUCAAAAUAAACAACUUCUUUGCUCGUCACUCAACACUCACCUCGCUUGCAUUUGGGUCGCUCAUGCCGCUUGCCACUUGAUGCUCGCUUGGCUUGUUGCUCCUUACUUGACAUUCGAUGCUUACUCUAUUCGACGCUCACCCCACACGACCCUCAUCGCUUGCCUAUUUUAGUUGACCUCGCUCGUCAUCAAACCCAUUAGGUCGGUCCAGUUCUUAGUUGCCGUUUCAAGGAGUACAAAAAAUGAAAUAAAAAAUUAUUGGUUGGUCUCUGGUUGACCUUGGAACCAAACCGAACUCAUUAGGUCAGUCCGAUCAUCAAUCGCUUUUUUAAAG